rnacentral:lncRNA from 1 species
CAGGUCCAGGAUCAGGAACUGGAAGCAAAGAAUCUCUAAAGUGAUUCUUGCUUGCAGACCUCAGAACGCAGGUCCUCUCUCCAUACUUGAUAAUUCCAGCCACAAACAUCGGAAUGGAUAGAAAUGUGAGUGGAGUUCCUGCCCAUGACCUCAGAAACACGUAGAAAGCCACUCCAACUUGGACAACUAGUCCAAGCAAGUGCCUUAACCACAACUCAUUAUCUUCUAAGGAGUAAGCUGUGAUAGUGUCCGGACCACCAAGGUGCAAGAGAAGGAAUGGCGCCCAAAAUGCCAUGAGGGUAUAGUUUGGAUCCAGAAGUUUCCCUUCCGAAUCUCCUUGGCUGUUUGAGAGGGUACCGAGGGAUACUGUCGCCACCCAGUCUGCGGACAAGUAGGCCGACCAAAUCAGGAUUCUGAACCAAGGUGUGACUCUGUACUUUCGUCGGUUGCUAAAGAUGAUUAGGACGAUUUGUAGGAAAAGGCUGAGUAGAACCAUCAAGCGUAGGUCCCAUUCAUUCCAAAGUUUCCGCACACUUUCUGGGAAUAUCUGCAUUGCUCUCGCGCGUGUUCUCUGUAAAAAGAUCAAACUGAAAACAACUAAACAUUAAAAAAUAUUAGAGCCAAAAAUGAAGAAUAAAAGAAUAAAUUUGUAAAAUAAAACUCUUAAAUUCAUACCAAUCAUUUUCACUUUUAUUCAUUUGCCACUUGUAACUUUCCAACAUUUAUAACUCAACAUUAAAGUUUAGCACUUAAUUUUUAAUCUUCAAUUUUAUUAAACACCUUAUAAAUAGCUUCACUUUUCACUUAAAAUUAGAAAGAUAGGUUGUUUCACCAUUUUUUUCUACUUUUUUUUUAUAAACUAUUUUUAAAUUAAAGAAUAAAAAAAUAAUUUUUAAAAAUUUUAUUAAAAGAAAUAAGGGUGUUUGACAAGUUUUUAAAAAACAAAAAACAAAAACUUGUUUCCAUAAAUUAUUAAAAAAAUGAUUUUUUUUAAUUGAAAUAAUUAAUUAAAAUUGAUAAAAUAAUAUUUUUGAUAUAGAUGUCUUUUACUAUUUCAAGUAUUUAUAUAUAUAUAUAUUGAAAAAAGGUUAUUUCAAUAAGAAAAUAAUAAGGGCGUUUUUAUCAAAAUAAGGCCAAAAAUGGGUAAAGGGUUAGAUUUAAAAAAUUGGGCUUCAAAUGAUCCUUUUAAUCAAAUAACCCUUUUCUAUUUUGAUUUUAUAAAAAACAUUGUAAAUUUUAAUUUAUAUAAUAUUAAUUAAAUUUAAUUCAAGUCUUCUUUAAAAUAAAAUUGGUUUUUUAAUUACAAAUAAAUUAAAAAAUUAAUAGAUUUUAGUAAAACAAGAAAGUAAUAUUAUUAUAAAAUAAUAAAUUAAAUUUUUUUAUAAAAAAAAUACUACGUUAAUAUGUAUUAAAAAAAUAUGGAUAUUAACAUUUUCGUAAAAGAGUCAUUAAUUUCUUUUUUUUUGUUAAAAGUGAAUAAUAAUAAUAUUUAAUGAUAAAUUGUUAAUAAUAUUGUAUUUAAAAUGAAUAUAAAAUAAAGUUUAGCUUUUUUAACAUGUAAAUGAACCAAAAAUUUUCAUUACACGCACACAUUUAGUCAUCAAUUAUAAGCACAAUAUUUUAGAAUGUUUGGAUUUAAUAUAUAACUAAUCAAAUCAAUUUUUUGAAUUUCAAAUUAUUCUCAAAAAUUAAAAGGUUCAUCAAAUAAUUUAAAUUAUAAAUUAUGUGUUACUUAAUUUAGAAUCUAUUUACGUAAUAAGAAAAUUAAAAAAUUAUAGUUGUGUAUAAAAGAAAAAUAGUAAAGUUAUAAUUCAUGAUAUAUCAAUUUUUAUUUCUUAUUUUUUAUAGUAAUUAGAUCUAUUUUUUGAGUUUCAAUUAUAAUAUUUUUAAUACUUAAAAAUUUUUAUUAUUCAAAUAUUAUAAAAGGUAUAAACAUUUCUAAGAAUCACUAGGGUGUACUCAUAGAGUCACAUUAAUAAUUGUAAGGGAGAAGCCCAGAGUGUAGGACUUGGUCACAAGUCGAGGAACACAUGCUAAUUUCGCCUUUGAUUUUCUGAAACUCUGUUAUGGCUGCAAUAUUGAUGGGUUGAUAUCUAACCCAAAUUCAACUGGAAUAAAAAACAAUUGAUCAAAAUCUAACCCAAAUUGACUUCAUGCCCAAAGUAUUAAGCCAAAACUUAACCCAACCUCAUUUCUCUAAACCCGCUUGAGUUCAAGGUAGUCAAGUUUUAUUUCAGGUUAAUCGAGUUAUAUAAUUCAAAAUCCUUCUACAAUGUUUUAUUUUCUUCUUUUUUUAACAAAAUUUCUAUAUAUUUAUAUGAAAAUUUAAAUAAUAAAAUAAGACAAUUUAGAUAUAACAACAAAAAUAUAAAAACAAAUUUGUAUAUAUAUAUAUAUAUAUAUAUUUUAAAUGAAGAUGUAUAUUAUAUAAUAUUAAUUUAACAUUUUUUCACAAAAAUAUAAAAAAAAUGAAUAUUAUUGUACAAGAUAAUAUAUAUUAUAAAUAUUAAGAAACAUUAAAUUGAAUUCAAAUUAGGUUUAUUCAAACCCGAGGAAAAUAUAAUGUUUUUUUGAGUUAUAUAAUUCAAAAUUCAUUUAUAAUAUUUUUUUAAUAAAAUUUUUAUAUAUUUAUAUGAGAAAUUAAAUAGUAAAUAAGAAAAAAAAUUAUAUGUAACAACAAAAAGUAAAAAUAAAUUUAUAUUUAAAAAAAUAAAAAUAUAUAUUAUAUAAUAUUAAUUUGAUAUUUUUUCUUAAAAAUCUAAAAAAAUAAAUAUUACUAUAUAAAAAAAUAUACAUUAUAAAUAUUAUAAAAACAUAAAAUUGGAUUCAAAUUAGGUUUAUGUUGUCCAAACCUUAAUCUUAACCUAGGCACAAACCAAAUUGAACUUGAUUUGAAAACUUUAACUCAAGCUCAAUCCCAAUAAUAAAAAUGAUUAUCUAAACCCGCCAAACAUUAUAUCAAGUUUAGAUUGAGUCGAGCUGACCCGCCCCAAAUUGCACCCUAAGCACUAUCCAAUGAAUAAUGAACUUGUGCAUUCACUUCAAAAGUUCCCUAUCAUCAGUGACAGAACAGUACUAUAUUCACUGAGUAUGGCUUAAGCUUUCUUUUUCUUUUUCCUUUUCCUUUUUCACACCUCACUCGUUAAUUUUCUUGUUUUUCAGAUCCUCCUGUGCCACAUUUUACCUUCUAACCAUUAUUUCUUAACUACGAAAAAACUCACAAGACUAGACAGAAGAUUACACGAAGCAGAUUCUCCAUGGCUUGCUCCAAUCUUUUUCUCCUUAGACUCAACUCAUGUGUCUUUGACCAACUCAAAGAGAUCAAAGAGCAAUAAUAAUUUGUUGAAAAAUUAGUAUCGCAUAAUUUUAUGUUUAAAAAUGAUAUUGUAAUUGUAUAUUUUUUAAUUGAUGGAUAAUUAUGAUAUUUAAAAAAAAAAUUCUAUUAUGGUAUUAUUGUCUUGAUCAUAAUGAAGCAAUAGAGGAUCAUUACCUUGUUCAUGGAAGCUAAUAUACAAAUGUCGGUAUCUUAGGUUUGCAAUAUAACAUCUUUAGAUCUUAGAAAAUAAUGUCUCAAAUCCUUGGGAUUGUAAGCUACAUAAGGGGAUUAGAGUGCUCAAAAGCCUCAGAAUGGUAAGCCUGAUUAUAAUGCCAUGUUAAAUGUUAUAAAAUGAUGAGACUAUGAUUGCUGAGGUGGUGGUUCACUGUGUGAAGUUCGUGAAGGUGGAGUGUAGUGGUGAGAUGGUAUGGUGACCAACCAAAAAAAAAGAGGAAGAAGAUUUGCUGGGAACAAGGAAAGCACCCCAAAUCAGUUUUUCUUUUUCUUUUGACACUUUUUCUUUGUCCUGUUGGAAUAACCCAACCUAGAGUUUGGAUUAGGUCUUGGUGGACAAGAGACUGAUCACUCCAAAUCAAUUUCUCUUUCUUUCUUCUUUUAUCAGUUUUUUGAGCAUCACCCAGAAUUCUUUAUUCACAGGAACAUAUUUACAAGAUUAAACAGAAGAUUAGCACAAAGAAAUACAGAAGAAGAUUGUGGUGAACUGAUGUAGUACAGCAAGAGAGUUGACAGUGGCAGAGUGACUAAAAUAGAAUACUGAUGAAGAGAAUCUAAUUAAAAAUAUCCCAUAAAAUGUAGGAAAUCCAUGCAUGGAUAAAUCAUCUUCAUUUUGAAAAGAUUAUAUUAGAAACUAUUACAUAAAUUCUAUAAAAAUUAGGAAACAAUAAUAAUAAUAAUAAGAACAAGAACAAAAGCAAAAGGUUUGAAAGCCAAAUAAGAAGGGAAAUAUAUAUACCAGAGAGUGAUGGUGGUGGGUUGGUUGGUGGUGCUGCCGGGGAUGUCACGAGACUAAGAUUGAUAUGGAGGUGGUCGCCUGUUUGAACCACAAUGCUUUGCUUCAGUUGUGUGAAGGACGAUGACUGUCCUGUAGGAAUUAUGGUGGCAGUGGUGUGAAGCUCAUGAAGGGGGAGUACUGUAGCAGUGAGAUGAUGGCCUUCUUAUCUUUAAACCAGAGCCUGGGCUCAAACACAGCUCAGAAUAACAUUUUUUUUUUCCUUGGAGAGUUGCCCCUCUGGCCACAUGCUUGGAGGAUUCAGAGCCGGGGGCGGGGGAAGGGGAAGUUGUCCCUCUGGCCACAUGCUGGCUCUGCCAAUGGUUGCAGUAUAAAAAGGAAGAAGACAUAGAGGGGCGAGAGAGAGACGGACGUGGACUGAGAUGGUAGCAACAUUAACACGACCAGUGGAGGUGAUGCCGGAAUUAACGGAGAUGGGGAGAGGGGAUCUGUGAGAGCAGUAGCUCCACAAUGAUGAAAGCAUUAAAAUAAACAAACGAAACCGAAUCUUCCAGCCAAUCCAGGACGUGAUCUGAAGUGGAGUUUAACUUAGGUUCUUCAAUGGCCAUUGUAGUGGAAAAAGAAUGGUGAAGAAGAGAAGUUGUGCGGUACUGUUUGAUCAUUGACCAAAGAGGAAGAUAAGAGAGGGCUUUGACACACAUUCGAUGAAAGCAUUAAAAUAAUGAAAUGGGGAAUGAUGGCUUUUGGAAGAGACGAUGACAGCAUAUUCAAAGCUUGACUUGAGAUGGUGAGGAGCUUUGAAAGUUGGAAACAGUGAUGGGAUUGACCUUGAAUUUCCAAGAGACGGCAAACAGCGAGGAGCUUUGCUCCUUAUCAUACAAUAAAAUCAACUAUCAUCAAUUUUAAUUAAAUUUAUCUAAUUAAAAUUCUGAAGUAUAAUUGACAUUCAUUUAAAUAUCCGCUAGAAGUAAUGAUUUUAAUUUUUUUUUUCAAAAUAAAAGCUAGGAUGUUAUGUUUUCCCCUAAAUUAAAAAAAAUCCAAAAAUUAAAUAAUUAAUCUCAAUAAUAAUUGAAUCACAAAUCCAUAAAUUUAAAGAUGUAGCACAUAAAAAUCACAAAGUAAUUAAUAUAACUUAAUUAAUAUUUUUUUUAACACUUUCUUAGCAAUCAAAUGUAAUUGAAAACCCCUUAACUGUCAAUUGCUUAACCAAUAUAUAAUUAAUUAUUAUAAACUUUUGUUAUCAUAAUAAACAUUGUUGUUUUGAAAUAUUUGGAAAUAUUUUAAAUUAGUUUAUUUAUUUAUUUUAUUUUAUCAAAUGAUUAGUUUUCAAAUAUUUUUAUUUUAACUAUAUAAAAUAAAAAGACACAUAAUCAUUAAUAUUUUAACAAAUGUUUUAAGCAUAUAAAAAUGAAUAUGUUUCACAUUUAAUUUCCAAAUUGUUAAAUGAUUAUUUUUUUAUUUUCUAAAUGGUUAGCUUUCAAGUAAUUUAUUUCAUUUGCAUAAAAUAAGAGGAAAUAUAAUCAUUAAUAUCACUAUGGGAUCUUUUUAGCAUAUUAAAAUAAGCAGAUUUAACAUUUAAUAACAUUCAAAAAUAAAAUAAAAGAACUUUAGUACUUUACAAUAUUUAAAAAUCUAAAGGGUGCAAUCUCUUUCAAUAUUUUUAGAAUCGGACUAGUCAUGAAACUAGAAAUGCUAUCAGAACACGAUUUACUGGUAGGAUCGAUAGUUAAACUGUGGUCAAACCAUGAUGUCAACAAAACAUUAAAAAAUAAACAUAUUUAAUUAAAAAUAAGAUAAUUACAAUAAAUUAAAAAAUAUGUAUAAAUAAUUAAAUUUUUUAAUAAUAUUUCAUUUUUUAUGUUUAAUAAUAUCAAAUUAAUUCAUGAUAAAAAUAAAUAUAAAUGUAUUAAGACAUAAUAUUUAAGUGUGAAAAUAUAUUCAAAAAAGGAAAAAAAAAUUCUAUUAUUUAAUUUUACUUACAUGACAAAAGUUAUAGGCUUAUUAUUUAGUGAUGAAAUGAAGGUUACAUAUUUCCGUUUAUUUAAACAUUUUAACUAAUAAGUAAGAAGACAUAGAGGGAGUUCUUCUUACUGCUAAACCAGACGAUGCUCCUGUCAGACAAAAUCAGCAUAAUGAUGGCAUAAAUCUCUCGAAAAAUAGCUCCUAAGAGUAAUAAGUAAUGUUGAUGUCCAUGUUUGAGAACUCAUGCUUAUCGAUGAAGGAGCAGAAGGCCACUAAGGUAGAAAUAGUGGAGAAGAAGCUGGCGGUGCGGAGAAGAAUUCCUAGGAGAGAAUAAACCACAGUUGCCUUGGUGUAGAGCACAUCAUACAUAAAACUGAUCUCCAUCUCUACCACUUGGAAGGCCUCUUCGGGUGACAGGUGCCUGAUGAUGGACUCACUGUUUUUUCUGUCACUAAAGCUGAGGAUGAGGUCUGCAUAUAGAUGCCGGAAUUGCUUCUUGAAUAAGGAGUAAGCUUCAUCAGUAUAUUUUCCAGCAGGACUAAUAAUGUCGCCCUUAUCUUUGUGAAACACAAUCGCUGUAACUCCUUCCGUGAUUUCAAUAUAUUUUCCAUAUAUAUAUAGAAAAUGAUCAUGCCUAACACAGGCAUGAUACUUUGUUAUUGUUGGGAUGCGUUUGGCAUGUGGGAAUAAAAAUGAAAAUAUGAUGAGAAUGAAGGUGAAUCACAAUAUUAUGUAAAAAAGAGGAAUCAAAAUACCAAUGAGAAUGGGAUUUGGUUUCUAUUCUAAUGAAUUUUUUAUUCUUAUUUCCAUUCUAAAAAAUAAUUCAAAUAAAGUAAAAAAUAAGAAUAAAAUUGAUUUCUCAUUUCUCAUUCUUUGAUUUAGGUUCUAAACCUAAUCUUAGGGUUAUUCUUAUGAGUUUUUCAUCUAUAUACUUCUAGAAUUUUAGGGAAUUCAAGCUAUUUCAAGAGAAAAAGAUAGAAAACCAUUUACUUAAAGGAAAACGAGAGGAAGAUAAACAGUGUGGUGUUUGGAAGUUGUUUUUGAAACCAUUUUUCUGUUUUUAAGAAUAAAGAAAAAGAAAAAGGAAAACAUGUUUGACAAUUAAAAAAUAGAAAAUAGUUUUUUGUUAUUAAAAAUAUAAGACAACGUUUUUUUAGAAGACAUACUUUAGUUGUUUAAUUUAAGUUGUUUUUUCAGGAUUGUUUUAAAAAAUAAUUAUAUAAAUAUAGAGAAUAAUUGAAAAUAAAAAACCUAGAUAAAAGUUAUUUUUGAAAAAUAUAUAAAAAAUGUUUAAAACAUUUUAAGUUUUCAAACAAAUUUUUAUUUUACAAAACAUCAAAGAAAUCAUUUUCAAAAACCAUUUUUUUAGAAUUGUUUUAAAAAAUACACUUCCUAGAUAUGAUGGAGUCAAAGCUUUGUUAAUUUGGUUGCCUUUUUUAUUUGAGAAUAUUUUAGUCUAUUUGUUUUCAAAUUUAUCAUCUUUUCUAAAAUAAGUUUGUAUACAAUGGGUAAAACCUUUUUACUUUCAUAGUAGGAAAAUGUGUGUUUUGGUACAAAAUUAAGAAAAAAAGAAAAUGAAAAAUAAAAACCUCUAAAAGUAAUUCAAAUUUUAGGCAUUCUUACAUCAAAUAUAGUAUCUAAACAAAUUAAAGGUAGUACUCGUAUCAUUAAAUAUAGUAUUUGAAACUACCUUUGACAGCAUACAAUAUAUAUUUUUUUUAAUCAGAUGCUAUGGAUUGAAAUAUCAAAUAAGAACAUGUUGUAGCUUUUUCUCAACAAAUAUACUUUCAUGAGUUGCAUGCUUGCUCUUAUCAACGAAUAGUUAUAGGUCAUGAAGGUACACUAGGCCCAUGAGCUUACUUAUAAGUCUGUGGACCCCGCAUUUCGGCUCAAAUGCGUUUCCCACUCGAAUGGCGAAACUCGAAUUUUUAUUUGAAAAAUUGGUUUUAUUUGAUUAUUUGAAAAUGACUUGGAGUCGCCACUUAUUUUUGUUUUAUUUUUAAAGGGUAAACAAAAUAAGAAAGAAAAUCCCUAAGUGUGACUCCUUAUUUGGAAAAGGUGAUCUACGAAAAACCGGAUCGGGUUCGGGGGUCAGGUUACUUAUCGGGAAGGUACAGUAUGGACUGUAGCACCCUUCUAAGUCCCUAAAGUCGGGUCUCUACUAAUAAAAUGAAACUGGUGUGGCAAUGAUGAGGAAAUCAGUAAAUACUCAAAUCAAUCAUGCACAUAUGAGUAUCAAAACAUGCGUAGAGCAAGAUCAGAAUAAGAACAGAUGCGUACCUGGGCAACGAUCUUCAAUGCGCUAUCAAGAAACAUGGUUAGUGAACAAUGAACAGAUAUAAUUAAGCGCAUAUCAGAGAAUAGAGUAAACCAAUCAUGCAUGGCAAAUAAAUCAAUCGAUCAGUCAAUCAAUCAUGAAGUCAAGUAUGUGGGGCCCCCACCAAAGCCCGAUUUAUUUUUAUAUGAAUUAAUUCCAUAAAUUCCAUUAUUUGGAAUAACAGAAUUAAAUUCAUACUUAUUUUAAAACAUUUUAAAAAAACCAUGGGAGUUAUAAAAUUUGCUUGCCAGAAAAGAAAAUGGCAGCAAAGUUUUAUUUAAAAACGGGAUUUUUGAUACCUAAGACUCUAAGGAUGAAAAACUUGGAUUAUUUAAAGAAAUGGACUUUGAAAGCUAUUUUAAAAAAAAACAAAAGGAAGAAAUGGAAGGUGGCACGUAUUUUAAAUUAUUUUGAAAAUUAGAGAAAAUUCGAAAGUAGCUUGUCGAAAAGAGAAUGGCAGCCAAAUUUUACGAGAAAUGAGAUUUUGGAACCUAAUAAAACUAAAGAUGGAAAACUGUAGAGAUUCGAAAGUAUUUGAAAACCAAAAUUUGGAAGACUGCUUGAAAAUUGGAUUUUUGAGGAGAUCACUUUUGAAAUCUGAGAAGGAAAAGAGCAAUGACAAGUGGACAUCAAUUACAUGCCCACGAUGGCCAUGCAUAAUGAAGCUCUGCACGUAGACUUGAUAUGCUACUGAUACAACCCUGUGAGGUAAGUGAUAACAGCUGCCAUUCCCUUGGGAUUUUAUCUGAGGAGACUUCUGAAAUCCUCCUUGAAUCAUUGGGAAUCCCGACCAAUGGGUUUGCAACAAAUCCGUCACCACUCUGAAGCCGAAACCUUUGAUUCUCCGACUUGAAUGCUCCAGCGUUGUCGUUAUUUCUAGCUAUGUGGCACAUGGCAAUGUCUGAUUGAGUGGCAUACGAAGGAGAAAAUCUCGAUGUUGACCCUUGACCUGUUGUUUUCCUUCAAAACAUGGAGCUCAGAAAAUCAGCACUAGGUGAACAGGCAACACGUGGCUCCCACAGAGUCUGCGCUGGACAUCCUUUUGUUUGACACAGCCGAGUCGAAUGAGAUCACGUCCAAUGCGAGUUCUGAGCCAUGAACACAUGCCUCCAGAGUUUUCAAUCCAUUCUAAGAGUCUCCCGAGAAUUUCGGGUGGAGAUUUAGCAGGCUAGGUUGCUGGUUUUCAAUCUGAGCAAAUUGCUUGCGGACCUGAGACAGACCUUCACAUUCUUUUAUGGUUUCUACGCUAGCCCUCAGUAGCGUUACUCACUCCAACAGUAAUCUCAGAAUUCUCAUCUUGACAUGGAACCACACGAAAUCCAGACCUGAAUGCGCCAGACUUGUUCAUAUUGUCAUCUGAAUUUUUAAUGAAGAGGACUUAUCUCAUUUCUGGCUCUGAGAAUCCAUUUUUCUCGUUCUCCUCUUUUCCUGGAGCUCCAAGUGCAUUGGGAUCGAGAAGCUGUGUGGAGAUUGGCAUCUGAGCAGCCUGACUUGUAGGCUGUAGUAGGACAACAUUUUUAGUUUCAGUGACAAAUGGCUUUGCAUGUUAGCGUCUUUGACAUACCACUAGGCGAUAUUUUGUAGUACACAUUUUCAUGCGACCAUGAAUAUCUGUGGCAGCAGUACAUCUAAUCUCUGAAUAUCCCAAGCUUCCUUUCAAACAGGCGUUGCAGGAGGUAGAUUUGGAGGACACUAGCUCUUCACUAAUGCUACAGAUUCAAACAUAGCUUUGUGGACUGCUCUCUGGCUCAUUCCUCCAUUCACUAUUGCCCGACGGUCAGUCUGAACCUCUAACCAAUGAGGUUCAAACUGGAUGUUGUAAAGAGCUUCCUCCAACUUUGCAAUCUAUCCGUAAUCACUUUAACAAACCCAAAAUGCCCUUUUUCUUUCACAGCAGAAUUGUUCUUGUUGCUUCCAGUGUAAGGAGCAUUGAACAUCAAGCUCAGAUUUGAGUUCCGCUACGUCAGCUAACGCACCAAUGGUGUCAUCUUCCUUAGUUUGAGGGAUUCUACUGCAAGGAGGUGGGACAACUUCUCUGAUGGUCGUGACUCGGGAUCACCACCUUGAGGAUGUCGCCAUGCUGGAUGACUGUAGUAAUAUCUGAGACAUGAUCAUGACUGAUCUGACUGACAUGAGGGAGGCCAUUAAUCCCAUCAAUGUUGACCCGAGAUAUCCAACCCUCAGAUUCCUGAACUUCGUAGCAGCUCAGCUAUUUGGAACCAUGCAUGGCCAUGCAUGCAUACGAUAAGGAAAUGGGAAGGGGGAAUGAGUGAAAAAAGGUAUGAGAAAAUAAGCGAGAGGGAUAUUGGAAGAAAUGAGUUUAAUGGGUAUGGGAAGGUUUAGAGAGAGAAAAUGGGUAUGAGAAUGUAAUGAGAGAGACGGAUAUGUGAAGGUGGUGAUGAAGGAUAAUGAGAUAACAGUGGCUAUAUGUGGGGUCCCUUAUACUUAGGAAAAGGAUGAAAUGAACCGAAGAUGAGUUAUAUGGGGUGAUGGGUAUGGGGCUUGUAUGAAAAGAAUAGGUUCGGGGUAGUGGUCAAGUGAGGAAAGACAGUCAUAGAGGAUGGAGACAAAAUGGGAAUAGGUAGUAGCAUGAUUGGACAUGAUAGAGGCCUAGAAGCGAAUUGAGCCCGGGUGGAAAUGCAUGGUGAUCACGUGCGCAUGGGAAAUGAGGGGCGAGUCAGCUGGGUAUGGAUAUUAUCAAAGAUGGGGAAUGGAUGACCUGAAAAGGUAGAAAGACGAUGAGGUGGAAUGGAAGGGGUGUUUGGGAAGUGGGUAUACGGUGAUAGACGUUAAUGGGUAUGAAGGAGUGGGCAGAGGGCAUGUAAAGCAUUGGAUUAGUACAUGGGUACAGUGGUUAAAAGAGUGGUCAUGCAUCUGCCUGGGAGAGAAUGGGUCCCGGGAUUCUUCAGUGGGGUAGUUCUCAACGCUUUAUCAAGAGCUACACCAAUGAGAGUAGCAAGGUAAGACCAAGGACCCUCAUGCGCCUAUAAUCCAAUUUUUCACUUUCACUGUUGAUGGAGUUCCACUAGCUUUGUUUUAGCAUUCCCAGACUUCUCAGGUCAUUAUCUUUCUCAAAGGUUGAUCCUCUUUGAAUAGCUAUCCCUCCUCGUAUUUUAAUCUUCUAUGAAUUCCUUCCAUAAAACAUGCUUUCUAAUGCAAUUCCAGCGAGCAUAUUUGCUGAGGAGGCAUGCAGUCUGAAAUGAGAAGUGGCACACAUCGGGAAAUCGGUCCCAAGCAUUACAACUUCAGGAGACACCACAGGAAACCAAGACAGAGCCUCAUCCAUAUAACCAUUCCGAAUAUACCCAGAAAUCGUUCCCAUUCAAGAUCACUGUGCAAACCCAAACCACCUGGAGGAGCUUUAUUCAUCCUCAACACUUACGAGCUAUGUAUUGUGAUGGCAUUACCUGGUUCCCUCAGAGAGGGAUGCACAACCUGAUAUACAACAAGGUGGGAUGCCAAGAACAGGGGAAUGGCAAAGCAAAACAGAGCACAAACCAAUGAAACAAAUAAAACAACCAAAACCAUGUUUCAUGUUUAAAUCAACAAGUUUGGUUGUUGGUGAGUGAGCUGGAAUACAUCCUAAGGAGAUAAGAAUAGAACAAAACUCCUAUAUGAGGCAUAACGAAAACUAAAACAGAGCAAUGUCCUUCUCAAAUCAUCACCAGAAAAAUAGGCAAGAUAGCCGCCAAGAAAUCCGAGAACCAAGCAAGAACCGUAAGACAUAACGUAUAGUCAAAUAAGUCAUAGAAAAUCUCAAGAAAAAUGAAUGAAGCUAUAUACUGAUAAAGAAAAUGAAUGAUCCAUGGCGGCCAUACCUCGCUUGUUUUCUCUCUAGUCUCCCUCUUUUCUUCUUCCGAACUCCUUAGUUAACCCCCCCAGAAAACCAGUCUCCUUCUCUCUCAAGCAACUGGCAGCUCCAGAAUCUCUCACAGUCGUCAAUGGAAUCCCCCCCUCCUCCUCCAGAAGGAAAACUCUCUCAACUAAUAUCACUCUCCCACCAGCAAGCUCCCCAGGUUUUCCUCUCUGAAGCUCCUCCUUUUUCUCUCACUCUCCCUGCAGCUGCAUCCUCCCUCUCUACCCCAAAGUCCUCCAACCCAAAAACUCCUGCCCCCCACUCUAAUGGAAAAGCAUCUCCCUCUCUCAUCCGCUCCUCCCUGCAGCUGGCAAAACGGUCUGCAGCUUUUGCAGAUCCCCUCACACCCCGUGUCACAUUCUCAUUGGCUCUUAGAACCACUAUUUUGAUUCCACAACAGCCAAUCUCAGGACAGCAUGUGGACUCCUAGGAUGGUGACAUCUGGCCACAGCUAGCUGCAAGAAAGGAAACGUGAGAAAAAUCACAACUCCCCAAAAUGGGGGGUCUACAAAGUCAUAAUCUAAUUUUUCACCAAAGUUUACAAUAAAAGUAACCCUUUUUCAAAAAAAAAAAAAAAAAUCUCACUUUAUAUUCCUUUUUUUUUUUUUUUUAAAAAAAAGGGUGAUGUGCUAAAGACUAGUUUGAGGAAUAUUCUCAAAUGCAUUAUAGAAUGAGAUUUUUGUUUUCUUUCUUUUUUGAAAAAUGAUUAGUUUUGUGGCAAACUCUAUUCACCUUCCAGUACUUAGAAUUGUUGGAUUUAAGGGUAUGGAAACAAAUGACUAGCCCAAAAGAUACUAACAAAGAAUAGAAUUAAUAAGAAGAAAAACUUACCGGCUAAGGUGUGACAAACACUGUCCUUAAAAUAGAUCUCUCCUCCUCGAAGACGAACUCGGUGCACUAGGGUACAAGUGGUCUACCUCCAGGAUUCAACAUCCAGAUUUCGCCUUGGGUGCACUCUAUAUGUGAGAUGUGUAUAGCUCGGGUUUUGAAAAAAUUCCUCAAAAUAGAUGUAUGAAAAGACUCUCUAAAAAAUUCUUUGAAAAAUUGGUAUUCAUUUUUGGAGAGUGAGAGGUGACAUGCUUUUAUAGGCAACUAACACACUCCCAAUGGGACUCUACUUGUAAUUAGAAAUAUGACUCAAAGUGGAAGAAAAUUCUACUUAUAAAUGGAAUGAGACUCCACUAGCACAAUCCAAAUAGGACUCUUCCUAAAAAUAUAAGACUAAUAGAAUAAAAUAAAAUAAAAUAAAAUAAAAAUUAUUUAUACUCUUCCUAUAAUCCCCCAUAGAGUGUAAACAUGAUUUUUUUUUUUAGAGGAAAAAAGAAUCCAAUGCAUUAGUACUGGUGCCCAAAGGUUAUGAACCAAUCUUAAGAUAAAUAAAUAUUGAAUCACAAAACACGGUGAAAAUAAAUUUCUAUGAACCAGUGUUUCUUGAUGUAACUUAAGGGACUUUUAUCCACAUUGGUUUUCUCAACUACACUACAAGCUGUACAAAUGGGUUGGCACAAAUAGGCUAUGCGCCCUACCUAGAUAUUCAUGAGAGCUCUAGAGAACCUGUCUAAGUUCUUAUAGGAAGCGGCCCCACCUCCACUCUCAUAUAGGUGAAUCUAUCAAGUAUGUUUUGCAUUUAAACAUACCAUCCAUAAGGAAUAUGGUAUUCAUUAAGAGUAAACACUCAACCUUAAUCAAUAUAGAAUAUGCUUUAUUUACACCAUAGGGAUAGACUCUCAUACAAUUAGAGUUGAUAAGGCACCUCAAGUCAACAAGUGAUUUGUUAUUACCCAUAUGAACCUACUUCAUGGAAUUUCCAUUAUGAUAGGUUGGGUUACCAUAACUCUUGACUUCUGUAAUAGGCAUAAGCCUCACCCCCUCGAUGUUUCUUCCAAAAGUUUCUUAUUUAGUGGUUUGGUCAAAGGAUUGGCCAAAUUCAACUUUGACAUCACAAAUUCUAGGGAUAUAACCCCUGUUUCAAGCAGAUUUAGCACAAUAUUGUGCCUUAGGCAUAUAUGCUUGUUCUUCCCAUUAAAUAUUUUACUCUUAACCUUAGCAAUUGCAGCUUGGCUAUCACAACACAUAAACACAGACAUGGUCGGUCUUGUCCAUAAAGGGAUAUCUGCUAAGAGGUUUCUAAGCCACUUAGCCUCAGAACUUGUCUUUUCUAAAGCAAUAAACUCAGCCUCCAUAGCAGACCGAGUAAUGCAAGUUUGUUUGACAGACUUCUAAAAAACUGCACUUCCACCAAGGAUGAAAACAUAUCCACUAGUGGAUUUCAUCUCAUCCGAAUUCGAGAUCCAAUUUGCAUCACUAAAUCUUUCAAGGACACUUGGAAAUCCACUAAAGCACAAACCAUAGUUAAUGGUGCCUCUCAAAUACUUAAGGACUCUACGAACAAUAGUCCUAUGGUCCUGAUUAGGACUUUGAGUGUACCGACUCAAUCUACCUACUGAAAAAGUAAUAUCAGGUCUGAUACAGUUCAUUAAGUACAUUAAACUCCUUAUGAUCUGAGCAUACUCUAUUUGGGCAACACUAUGUUCUCUAUUUUUCUUCAACUAUGAGCUGGGAUCAUAAGGAGUUGACACUAGUUUACAAUCAAAGUGUUCAAACUUCCUUAAGAUCUUUUCAACAUAGUGCUCUUGAGAAAGUUUAAGCUCAUUAGGUGUUCUAGUUAUUUUAAUUCCUAGAAUCACCUCUACCUUUCCUAGGUCUUUCAUGUCAAACUUAGAACCUAGGAAUUUCUUGGUCUCACACACAACCUCUAGGCUAGUUCCAAAGAUCAACAUGUCAUCAACAUAAAGACAGAUGACUACACUUGUGUUAUUCUCAUACUUGCUGUAGAUACACUUAUCAACAUCAUUAAUGGAAUGUCCAUUAGUUACUAACGCAUGAGCAAACUUGUUGUGCCAUUGUUUGGGAGCUUAUUUUAACCCAUAUAGUGAUUUAACCAACUUACACACCUUUUUCUCCUUCUCUGGAACUACACAACCCUCAGGUUGUUCCAUAUAAAUUUCCUAUUCCAAAUCCCCAUUCAAGAAUGCAGUCUUGACUUCCAUUUGGUGUAUCACCAAGUUAUGAAUGGAAGCUAGAGCGAUCAAUACUCUAAUCGAUGUUAUUCUAGUCAUAGGAGCAAAGGUGUCAAAGUAAUCUACAUCCUUAUAGGGCCAAACAAAUAAACAAACACCCUACACUUUCAAGUAUGUUAUAUUAGGUGCAUAACGCUUCCACAACUCAUAAGGAGUUUUAUAGUUUUCUUGUAAGGUAUUCUAUUUUGAAUAUGAAUGUAGAUACCCACAAGUUCAAGGGUGCUCUUGAACUUACCAACAUUGCAUUCAUCAUUUCUUUUAAGGUUCUAUUUUUCCUUUCUACUACUCCAUUAGACUUAGGGGAAUAAGGAGGAGUAGUUUAUUGAAUGAUCCCAUGAUCUUCACAAAAAGAAUUAAAGGGGUUGGACUCAUACUCUCCUCCCCUAUCAGUUCAAAGCCUUUUAAUUUUCUUACUUACUUGAUUUUCCACUUCAUUUUUGUACUUGAUGAAAACAUCUCUUGUUUCAUCUUUGUUUCUCAAAAGAUAUACCCUUGUAUACCUUGAACAGUCAUCUAUGAAAGUUAUGUAGAAUCGUUUAUCACCUCUAGUCAUUGUAUUUUUUUAGGUCUCCUAAGUCACUAUGUAUUAAACUUAGUAGAUUUGAUUCUCUUUCAAUUGAUUUGCAAGAUUUCUUUGUGGUUUUAGAUUCUACACAAGAUUCACAUUUUCCAUGAUUUUCUAAUGAUAGUUUAGGGAAUAAACUCAAUUCAACCAUUUUCUUCAUAUAUGAAAAGUUCACAUGUCCUAGUCUACCAUGCCAAAUAUCACAAGAAUCAACUAUGUAAGCAGAAGAAGAAGAUGCAUAAUUAUUGAUAAUAUCAGAACAUUCAACAUAAAUAAACCUUGAUUACAAUAGCCCUUUCCCACAAAUGCAUCAUUCUUGGUCAAAACUAUUUUAUCAGACUCAAACAAGAUCAUCACUCCUACUUUUCCAAGUAGAGAUACUGACACCAAGUUCCAGCGGAUAUCUGGCAUAUGAAGAACAUCACUGAGGGCAAACACUUUUCCAGAGGUUAGCUUGAGGAGAACUUUUCAUUUGCCAAUUACUGGAGUAGAUCUAGAAUCACCCAUGAACACUUGUUCUUCGAUCUCUUUCCUUUACAAUGGUAUAGGAAGUAAAUGCAUUUCUGUUCCAUAGAUGUGCUUGGUAGCCUAGAGUUCACCACCCAGUCCUUCAUAUUGGUGACUACGCUCACCUCAAAGGAGAUUAAUAUUGUGAUCACCUCUGUCUCUGCCAGAUUUGCCUUUGAAUUGGACUUCUCAGUUUUUUUCUUGUGGCGACAUUGAGCUGUAUGGUGUCAAGACUUGCCACAGACAAAACAAUUACCCCAUUUUUUAAUAGUUGAGUUCUAAACCUUGUUUGAUGCAUUAGGCUCGGUCCUAGAGUUUUGUUUCCUGGACCUAUUGUUUUUAGGUUUAAGUUUUUCUUCUACUACAUUAACCUUAUAAGACAAUUCCUUAGCUUUCUCAACAUUGUCCCUAUUUCAAUUUUAUUCCUUAAUCCUAAUAUGGAUUAUGACAUUCUUUAGGGAGAUCUAUUUCCUUUUAUGUUUCAUGUUAUUUUUGUAGUCUUUCCAAGACUCUAGAAGAGUCUCUACUAAAUAACCAGCCACAAAAGUUUAGGAUAAUUUUAUGUCUUCAAUAGCUAAGUCAUUAAUCAACAAGUGAUAGUCAUGGAUUUAAGGUGAUCCAUCUCUAUCCUCGGUCAUUUGGAAAUUUCUAAAAUUCUCUAUGAUAUAUUUCUAAGUUCUCGCAUCUUCCAAAAUAUAUUUUUUAUUCAUUGCAUCCCAAAUUUCUUUUGUAACUUUAAAUUGACAAUAAAUAUAAAAAAGUUCAUUAGAAAAGGUAUUCAGAAUAGCAUGCCUAACUUGUUUAUUUCUAGUUUCCCAGGUUGGUAACAAAUGAGAACCAUCUUCUGGUUUUGGGUUAGUUAAAAUAUGUCCCAAGUUCACUAUGUCAAUUGCAUAGAAAACCCUUUCCUGCCAUCUCUUAAAGAAUGUCCCGUUGAGGGGAUCAAUUUUAGAUGUGUCAAGACGGGUGUCAACUAGAGAAGCUUCCAUUUGGAUUUAUUUCAAGAUUGUUGAAUUUAAGGGUAUGGAAACAAAUGACUAGCCCAAAAGACACAAACAAAGAACAGAAUUAGUAAGAAGAAAAACUUUUCUGUUGAAGCAUGACAAACACUGUCCUUGAAAGAGAUCCACCUUUCUCAAAGACGAACUCAGUGCACUACGGUACCAGUGGUUUACCUUUAGGAUUCAACAAUCAGAUCUCGCCUUGGGUGCACUCUGUAAGCGAGAUGUGUAUGGCUCGGGUUUUGAAACAAUUCCUCUAGAUAGAUGUAUGAAAAGACUCUUUGAAAAAUUGGUAUUGUUUUUAGAGAGUGAGAGGUGACCUGCUUUUAUAGGCCACUAACACAGUCCCAAUGAGACUCUACUUGUAAUUAGAAAUAUGACUCAAAGUGAAAGGGGAUUUUACUUAUAAAUGGAAUGGGACUUCAUUAACACAAUCCCAAUAGGACUCUUCCCAAAAAUAUAAGACUAAUAGAAUAAAAUAAAAUAAAAUAAAAAAUUAUUUACACUAUUCCUACAAGAAUUGCUCACUAAAAUUGAGGUUUGCCACAAGAAGGCAGACAUGUACAUGCGUGAGCAACUCUCGGCCUCGUCUAAGCUACUAACCAUUUUGAAUCCAUCCACAAUGACUAGUAGCAUAGCACAACAUCUCCACCCACACCGGAUUUAACAUCUCCCAUCGAUCAACAAUGGACUAUCACAAAAAUACUGAAAUCAACACUUUUAACACCUACAGAUCAACACCCAACAAUGCCACGUUUUUGCUCUAUUGCAGAUGGAAAUGGAAACAAGAAUAUUGAAUCAACUACAAUUUAUAUGAUGGUGCCUGUUUGCUAUGGAACCAAAAUAGAAUAUAAAAAAAUAGAGGAAAGAGAAUUCUAGGUCCGUAAAUGGCUCAACCUAAAAACAACUAACCCUUGCACAAGUAUUGGUUUAUUCAUUUACAUUCGGAGUCUAAAAACACACUAAGAUUCCUUUUUAAGUCAAAUUCGUAUGCAUUGCAUUUAGGAUAAUAACAUAAACCCUCAGCAUAUGAAUAUUUGGAAUAUUAAGGGUAGCCAAGGAUUGGCUUUACUUUUUCACUAUCUAAUAUUUGGAAUUGCUCACUUAAACUAAGAUGUGGCAUGAGAAGGCAGACAGAGAAAAAAUGGGGCAUUAAAUUUCCAAUUCAGUGAUUAGGCCUACAACAAUGUAUGAGGAAACAUAAGGCCUAAUGAAGAAUGGGCUGUAGAAUUGGGCCUCUAUAGUAUGUUCAUAUUGUCAGCAUUUCUCUACUCAUCUUAGAUCUCAUCCCACAUCGAAAAUACAUGUAAGAAAUAAGGUGUUUAAAUCACAUACGUCCAGAUACCAACUUACAUGUCUUGUCGCCCCUUAAUCAGAAUUAAAAAAGAAACGACCGGAAUUGUCCCAACCCGUCGUCAUUUGGAAUUGCUCAGUGAGACUACGAGCGAAGCCUUUUUCACCUUCUGCUAUUGGAAUUGCUCAUUGAAACUGAGGUAUGCCAUGAGUAGGCUCACAUGAGUGAGCAACUCCCCGUCUCGCCUAAGUUACUGACCGUGUUGAAUCCACCCACAAUGAGUGGCAGCAUGACACAACAUCUCCACCCACACAUCACUUACCAUCUCUCAUUUCUCUCCAGCCUUCAUUUCUAGAGAUUCCAACAUUUUGGCAAGCCUACAUGCCUCGAAUAACAUUGACUUGCUUUUAUUUCAUUUCACUUCUCCGGGCUCAUGUUUCGUGUUAACUUGAAGCAACAAUUUGCAAGCUUCAUUUUUGCUAGAUAUAAACUCACUUUUUUGUUGAAAAAAUCUUUUGGCCUCUGCACAGGUGUCUCAGAACCUAAACUCCCCUGUUCCUUUAGGUAGCAUAAAUGGACACAUGACUAGCAGAUACAACAUAUACUCCGAUAAGCAUUUGCUUAUUUUGCAUCUUGCUUUAGGAUUGGGGUCCUCAUCAGAAUAGCUAUAGAGAUCUAUUGCGAUAUGCCAAAAGAGGAUUGUGUGAUCAAAUUCUACAUCAACUACACUCCAACCAAGUGUCUCAAUAAACUCCCAAUUCGUAAUCACAUAAUCACCUCUGUGUUUGAGUAGUGACCUGAGAUCCUUGGCAUCAUUUGUCAUAUGUAGGAGCAAGUUGAAGAAGGGUUUCUUCAUGUCAUCCACCUUCUCCCACUUCAUGUACCAGUACCUCUCUAAGAAUUUGUUCAUGUCAAAGAACCUGGGAACUUGAUUGAACUUAGUGUUGUCUCUGAGGCAAUAAUCAAUUAAGUUGUUCUAUGCCAUGCGUCCAGACCAUUUCUUGUCACUGGUUAAAACUGAUCAAAAAUGGGUAAUGACCCGACAAAUGGAAUUAGUGAGAGAGUUCUUCUUACUGCUCAACCAGACAAUGCUCCAGUCAGACAAAAUCAGCAUAAUGAUAGCAUAAAUCUCUAGAAAAAUAGCUCAUAAGAGUAAUAAGUAAUGUUGAUGCCAAUGUUUGAGAACUCAUGCUUAUCGAUGAAGAAGCAAAAGAUCACUAAGGUAGAAAUAGUGGAAAAGAAGCUGGCAGUGUGGAGAAGAAUGCCUAGGAGAGAAUAAACCACAGUUUUCUUGGUGUAGAGCACAUCAUACAUAAAACUGAUCUCCAUCUCUACCACUUAGAAGGCCUCUUCGAGUGACAGGUACCUGAUGAUGGGCUCAUUGUUUUUUAUGUCAUUAAAGCUGAGAAUGAGGUUUGCAUAUAGAUGUCGGAAUUGCUUCUUGAAUAAGGAGUAAGCUUCAUCAAUAUAUUUUCCAUCAGGACUAGUAAUGUUGCCCUUAUCUUUGUGAAACACAAUCGCUGUAUCUCCUCUCAUGAUUUCAACGUAAUCUAGUCAAGGAUCGAGAGAUGGAAACAAAGACUCUCUCAAGUGAUUGUUGCUUGCAGACAUGAGAACCCAAGUCCUCUCUCCAUACUUGAUAAUUCCAGCAACAAACAUUGGAAUGGACAAAAACGUGAGUGAAGUUCCUGCCCAUGACCUCAGAAACACAUAAAAAGCCACUCCAACUUGAGCAACUAGUCCAAGCAAGUGCCUUAACCACAACUCAUUGUCUUUCAAGGAGUAAGCAGUGAUGGUAUUCGGGUUACCAAGGUGUAGGAGAAUAAAUGGUGCCCAAAAUUCCAUGAGGGUGUAGUUCGGAUCCAUAAUUUUAUCAUCCGAAUCUUCUUGACUACUGGAGAGGGUGCCCAGGGAUACCGUUGCCACCCAAUCUGCUGACAGGUAUGCCGCCCAAAUCAGGAUUCUGAUCCAGGGUGUGUUUGUAUACUUUCGUCGCUUGCUGAAGAGGAUGCGGACAAUCUGCAGGGAGACGCUGAGUAGAACCAUCACGCGGAGCUCCCACUCAUUCCAAAGUUUCCGCACACUUUCUAGCAAAACCUGGAUUAGUGAUCUCUUCUCCACAAAAAUCAUACUGCGAGCAACUGAACAUUCAAAAAGUAUUAGAGCCAAAAGAACAAGAGACAGAUUGGUGGGAAAACAAUAUGAACUUACAUGUAAUUAGCAUUGUUGGCUGGUUGUGCACACUAAGAACUUGAGUGAAGCUCAACUACAACGGAUUAGCUUGGUUUUUGCUCUCCUGGAACUAAUUCUUCAUUUCAUUCCAAUCCUAGUGCCUCACUAUUGUAACUCCUUGUGCCCAGCUAUAAAGGAAGUGGAGAGAAUGAGAAAUCUACUCAGGGAAUGUGAUUCGUCUCCAGCAACGGCACCAUUUGAUUCUUGUGCCAGACGGGUGUUAUCAAGAAAAUUUAUAAAACCUAAAUCACUUUACACUAGGGUAGCAUGGCUACUAUCGUAUAGUGGCUCUAGGGUCGUCCAUAGGGAUGGGUUUUCUUCGUACAAGUGACUUUAGUGAAGGUAAUGAAGUGGUGUUUUUCCUUAUGAAAAUUAGCUUUUAAAGAAAAUGAAAUUGUGGUUGAAAAUUUUGAUUUUAAGUUAAGCAAAAAUAACAAUUGAAGUUAACUACAAAAAGAAUGUCUCUUGGAACUUUAGGUCACUAGGAUCGGGUUCCUUAGGCAAAGGGGGAGAUUCCAGAUCUUCUGCUCGCAUUGGGGACAAUAACAUAAAGGAUGGUUAUCUCCCAAACCGGUUUUGUAUUUAGCAAUUAAGAUUUGAUCCAAAGGGUUCAUGAAAAAUGGUAGUUGCUUUCCAUUAAUGGCUUCAAACACUAAAGACCUUCACCUUGAACCACUUUCCAAUGGCUCGUACUUGAUAACUAAUGAAAAUCCAUGGAUCUAGCAAUAAACAUCCAUAGAACCCAUAAAGCUUACCAAGUAUUGGCCAUUCAAGGUGAUUCUCACCUUGAACCGCCUUCCAAUGGCUCGUACUUGAUAACUAAUGGACAUCCAUGGAUCUAGCAAUAAGCAUCCAUAGAAUUCGGAAAGCUUACUAAGUAUUGGCCAUUCAAGGUGAUUAUAAGGGAUUUAAAGCUAAACCUUGAAAUAAAAACCAUUAAUGGUUAACAACUACCUUCAUUUAAAGCAAGGAAAACUCCCACCUUUGCAUCCGGGUCCUUCACCUAGCUUCCAUCACUCCAAGAAAUGUAAAACUUAGCCACUCAUCCCCUGAGAAAUCAUCCUUAGAGGUUCUUUGGCUAGAAAGAAAAAUGAAAACAAAAUGAGAAGGAAAGGUAGAGCAAGGGCUCUAUAUAUUUCUUCCUAUGGGAAUUACAAGUGUCGUAUAUUCGUCCCAUUUUCAAAAGAUUAUAGAAAAAGAUCUUAUUUAGAGAGGUCUUUCCAACCCCCCUUUAUAGUUCCUAACCAAGAAAUCCUAUCAUUGGUUGAUUACAAGGAGAAAAUAGUAAUUUACACAAAUAUCUGGAAAUAAAAAUCUAACGGAGUCGGUGCACAAGAAGAUUUUUUCAACCAUGCGAAAUUUCGCAUGGUGUGCGAAAUUUCGCAUGGUGUGUGAAAUUGUCUUUCACUCAGUCCUACAACUGCUCCUCUUCUUGAUUUUGCAUGCUAUGCGAAAUUGCUACAUGUUGGAUUUCUUCCUUGCAUCUCUGAUUGGCUUGGCAACCUAUUUCCAAGCUUGGCAAAGGGCUAUGAAGUGCUCCAAAACUCAGAUUCUUCAUGUAUUUGAGCUUCAACUUGCAUUGCCAUGGAUUGUACAAAAUUUUUCCUCAUUCUUUUUGCUUGUUUCAAUGAUAAAAAAGCUACCAAAACACCAAAACUAGCCAAAAACUUAUUAGUAACCCUUGCUAGGUUCCUUAAUGUGCCAAUUGAGUUAAAAAGUAUUAACUACUACUCAAAAGUGUUUAAAACAAUUAAUUUCAAGCUAUAAAAGAGCACUUUUUGAGUAGUAAUCACUCCCCCCAACCGACACAUUACAAGUCCCUUAGCAAUGAAGGAGAGAUAAAGAAAAAUGUACAGUAAAAUAAUUUACAAAAUCAUGCUAAUCACUCCAAAAAAUUUUCAAGUGGCAUGAUGCGGAUCAUACUCUCUCAUGAAACAUCAAAGAGGCAAAACCCAACCUUCAACAAGAGUCAUCAAAUAUCUUGCUUAAUCACAAUUUAUAAAGAGUAGACAUUAUACAAAUUUAAACAUCAAAAGAAUUUCCACUCCCAAAGGUCCAAUCCUUACUCUUCCACAAAAAUCUAAGUGUUAAGCUUAUUAGUUUCCGAUUAUAGUAUGUCGAACUAUUUUCUCCCCCCAACCUAGUUCUUUCUCAAACCUUAGCAAACUGACCAACCUCCAAUGGCUAAGAACGCACCUAUUUUAUUUCACAAUUUUUUUUCAUUGUAGGAGUGCAAUGCUAAAGGUAUUGUUUUCUAAAGUGUCCAUGUAACAGGGAUCCAUCAAUGACUCCCAACCAAUCAAGGUUUAGGGCAUCAAGCUUUAAGGCUCUUUCAACCACUAACUCCUUAGAUUUCAUCCUGGAUUUUUGAGAUUGAAAUUCAAUACUCAAGCACCUACAAUAUGUUAAACUCCACCUAUUGACCCUUGUAACGAGCAUUGAGGUCGGUGACUCCCAACCAAUAAAGGCUUAGGGCCGAGUUUUAAAGACUUUCGCCAUAUACCCCUCGAACCUUGCUCGGGUUUCAAGGCAAGUGAAACACUUUUUUUUUUUUUUUUUGAAGGAUCAUUGGCCUUUUAUAAGGUGUCCAACACUAUUAAAACGAGGUCAAAGGUACCAAGUCGAAAUUUUCCUAAGUUCAGGGGAUGAUAUAGUUUUUCAUCUUAUAACAGGAACCUAAUGUGCACAGUGUGUGGUAAGAUUAAAGUGGAAGAAAUAAGGUUGAAUUUAAUAGGAGUUUCAACAAUUCAUCAACCUCAAUAAGCAUAAUACAAACUCUAAGAUUCAAAUAAAAAGACAAGAACUCAAUUUCUCCCAUUUCAUUUUGAGAAUUUUUUUCUUAAUAACCAUGGAGAGUAGAGUAAAAACUUUUAAAAUUAAGCAAAAAGUAACUAAAUUAACAAAUUAACCUAGCAUUAUUAACAAUACUUCCUUCCUCAACUCUCUCCCCAACCAAGAUCAACAUUGCCCUCAAUGUGUCAAGAGCAAUUGAAAAUAAAGGGAGGAAGUGGUACCUCCUGAGUGAAAUGGAGUCUGAGUCGUAUAGGAGAAACCACAUGAGUCAAAAAAAAAAAAGUAAUGAGUAUAGGAAAUAGAAAAAUGCCAAGUUGUAGACCCUCUAUUUUGUCCUACUAGCACAUGUUCUAUUAUGUGUCCAUUUGAUACUUUACGAUAAUUCUCUUAUGACCCAUUGGACACCAUCUGAGGCCUACUUUUGCACUCUAGGCCCAUUUAGAUGCACUUGGCCCAUUAGGUACACUCCUAGGUCAAUUGACGCAUUUCUAAUCACCUUACAUCACUUAGGUCACUUAGACACUUUUUGGCCUAGGUCACUUAGAUGCUUUUUUGGGUUUAAUUCCCUAAGAUUAAUUUUUUGAUUGCUUGAUUUUUUUAAUUAGGUGAGUAUUUGGCUUGAUUUUGAUUUAGAUUGCUUGAGAUGAAUUUUCGAUAUUUAAUUGUGUCAAUUUGAUAUUUUGGUUGUUUGUUUCUUUUUCUUUAUUUAUUUUUUUUAUUUUUAUUUUUUUAAAUUUAAUUUCUUAUUGUAUUUUAGUUUAAUAUUUAGAUUAUUAAUUAUAUGCAUUUGGUAUUUAUUUAUUUUUCUUAUUUUAUUUCUUUAUUUAUCUAUUUAAUUUAUUUUCAGAGAAUUGCAUGUGAUUGGUGAUCUUAUUAUUAUUAUUAUUUAUUUAUUAUUAUUAUCAUUAUUGCAUGAAUUAAUCCUUAGGUUUUUUCUCGUAUAUGCAUGUAUUCAUAUUUUCUAUUUUGUUUCUAAUUAGCAUGAUUUUUAUUAUUAUUAUUAUUAUUAUUAUUAUUAUAAGGUUUUUUUUUAUAUAUAUAGUUACUUAUUUAUUUAUUUUGCAUGGGAGUUUGGUAACUCCCAAAAGAUGCAAGACGAGGGCUGCCACUUUUCAGAAAAAAAAAAAAAAAAAAGGAACAAAAGGGGAUUGGUGAUGUAAAAGGGGUUUUAUAGGGAAGAGAUAGUUAAGUUGAUCUGGAGAAGAGGAUAGUUUUUUUGGAAAGGGUGUUUACAGAGUGGGGAAUAGAGUUUUUUUAAAGAAGUUGAGGAUUUUGAGAAGGAAAGGGAAGAGUCUGGAGAGGGAGAGGUUUUUAAGAACGAUGUGAGGAGUCUGAUAAAAAGGAGAAUGAGGGGUUUUUUUUUUCUGAAAGGCAGGAAGAGGAGGUUUUUCUUAAAGUCCGCAGGAAAAAAAGAGUCUGGGGUAGAGGUUUGGAGAGGAGAAAAAAAAAAAAAAAACGAAGGGGUUUUCUAAAAUGGAGGUGGAGAAAUUCUGGUAAAGAGGGCUGGUCAUUUUAUCAACUGUAGGAGGGAAGCAUAUUCAGGUAUGAUCAUGACAGAUUCAUUGUUAUUCUUCAAUAUCAUGGAGUUCUUCCUUUUCUCUUGCCAUCUAUGGGUAUCAUUGCUAUGGUCUGAAUGUGGAUAUCUUGCACGUUUGAUUUCUGUUGAUCUUUGAGAUGACAUGGUUUUCUUGCUAUUGUCCUAUCUGCUAUUCUUUUUUUUUUUUAUGAUAGAAAGCAACCUGAUUUUGUUUCAUCCUACUGUGAAAUAUCUGAGAACCAUGUCUUUGAUUCUUAUCUGAACCUAUGAUAUCUCUCACUUGCUUUGGAAGCCCAUUGACAACCCAUGGAAUGGGGCUGCAUUUAAUGGAAUCUUUUGGCCCGUUUAUUUUUACUUUGUUGUUGUUGCUAUCCCCUUAUGCAACUUCUCUACUUCUAAACCCAUUUUUGGGCCCGUGAGGCUGGAACUCCCGUCACUCUGAUACUUGAAAAUUGAUUUAGGUGGCUGAGACCACCCUCUUCGUUGCCAUCUUCACUUGGGUCUAUCAAUGGUUUUAUUCAAUCUUCACCAUUCUGUGUAGUUGCAAUUGAAAUAUCUUUCACCAUGAAAUAAUGGCCAUGUUCGCUGAAUAUUCUGGAAAUUCAAGUGGAUAGUUGCUGAAAUUGUAAUCAAACCACACUGAAAUUCAAUGAAAUUGGAACACAUUGAUAUAUGAAUGUAUUGAUUUAAUGUGGCUGGUUGUGAUCAUGAUAACAAUCUGUGUAUUUUUUUAUUUUAAUGUUUAAAGUGGAUGGAAAUUUAGUAUAGUGGCAUAGGUAAAUAUAAGUGACUGAAAAAUUCAAAGGUGUGCAUGUGAAGAUCCCAUGGUUGUUGAAGUAAUAUUCUUGACCGAAUUAAAGAGGUUGCGUGGCUGAAAGUUGGUGUUGUUGAUGAAGAAUUCAAUGGCCAAAAAUUUAUGGUGAAAAUGUAAUGAAGGAAAGACGAAUCCCGGUGACUGCAGGUACAUGAAUUUGGAGUCUGGUUCUGUUAUAAAUAAUAGGAAAUUCUGAUGGUCAGGCAACGCUAUGUUUGUGGCUGCAUAUGCGUAAGCUCACGGCUAAAAUUCAGGUGGAGGUACACUAAGGUUUUACAUAAUGUAAUCUGCUCAAAUUUCAAGGAUUGAAUAUGGAGAUUUUAAGGAUGAAAUUCAUGCCGCAUUGGUGAGUUUUAAUGGAGGAAGUGGCAGCAUGUGUGAAUUUUGUGGUCUAAAAUCAAUGGAGUAAGGUUUUGGUGGAUAGAUAAGGACAUAAGGUUGCAUAGGUGUGCUGAAUCUCCGGGCUGAACUUGUGGAUGUGGAUAGAAACUUUCUCAUGGCUGAAAAUUCAUAGUGAAAUGUGCUGAAAAUUUGGUGAAGGACCAUUUAUAAACGAGCUGGAAGUUAUGGCUGAAAGUUUGCUUUAAUUCAAAAUGGAAAUAUACUUGAGUUUUAAUAAAUUUGAGGUUUGCAUAGAAGAAAGUUGAUAGCUGAAAUUCUAUUGAAAUUAUCCAUGAUUUAGGUAUGGCCUUAAUGAAGAGUGAGGCUGAUUUUUUAAUGGUUGAAUAUGCAGCCACUAACGAAGCUUUGUGCAAGCCGACCAUGACAAAGUUAAUGACUAUUUGUAUGAGUGGCUGAAAUUUGAUUGCGUAUGUGAUUGUGGCUAGCGACCAUGUGUGUUAGUAUUUUAGAUUUUAGAUAUCAAAUAAGUUAGUGCGAUCAAUAUGUGAUGAUUUCUUCAAAAUGUACGUAGAUAAAUAUAAUGGUUGAUUUUUUUUAAGGUAAAAUUUGUGUAGAAGGUUAAUUAAAAUUAGAUUUUUUAACACUUAGGUUUUAGCUUUUUUUUUUUAAUGUUAAUAGGAAAGUUAGUAUUUUUUUUUAAAAUAUUAUUUUUAAUGUAAAUAAACGUUGGAGAUUUAAAAAUUUUAGUUUUCAAUAGUAAUGAAAGAAUUGAAUUUUGCUUAUUUUUAGUUUUAGAUAUUAUUUUAAUAUAGAUAAAAGUUAGAGCAAUUAAAAUUUUAGUUUUAGUUAAAUUUCUUAUGAGAAUGAAAAGUUGGAGUCUUUAAAUCUUUAGUUUAAUUGGGUGAUUAAAGCUAAAGUUAUUUUUACUAGAUUAAUUAGUCAUAUGGUAAAAUGCCUUUUCUAAAUUAGUUUUAAUUUAAUUUAUUUCAUUUAGUUGAUUAGAGUAUUUUAGGUUUUUUUAAAGUUCAUUAAGUUUUUUUUAGCUGUAUGGUAAAAAAAAAAAUGUUUUUUUCUAGUUCACUAUUUCACUAGGUCAUUGUUAAUAAUUCUCAGCGUUAAACAUUUUAUUAUGGUCAUGCAUGGCCACCUUUGGCAUGCGAGUCCCACCAACUACGUACCAUCCUUCUCUUUUAUUUAUUUAUUUAAUUUUUUUUUUUAUUCUCGCGUGUCAAAAUAUAAUUUUCAAAACUCCUAUCUUCACGUUUCGACUUUCAAAAAUAAUUUUCCAAAAUUCCAAUUUUCCAAAAAUUUCUAUUUUCAAAAUAAUCUUCCAAAAUUUCAUUUUUUAAGUUUAAUUUUUUAAAAUUCCAUUCUCAAAGUCCCCAUUUUCCAAAUUCCCAAUUUUCCAAAAUUCCAUUUAUCAAAAUAAUCCUUCCAAAUUUUCAAUUUUUUUUAAAAUUUAAUUUUUCAAAAUUCCAUUCUCGAAAUUCCCAUUUUCCAAAAUUCAAAAUUUAUUUAUUUAUUCAUUUUUAUUUUAUUUUAUUUUAAAUUAUUUUUUAUUUAUUUGUUUUGAAAAUACCAUUCUCAAAGAGAUUUCCAAACUUUUUUUAAAUUCCACUUCCGAAAUUUCAAAUCUAAUUUUCAAAAUUCCUCUUUUCAAAUUUUUUUUAUAUAAAAGUGAAUAAGUUUUCAUAAUUCUAAAAUGAUGGAAUUUAUGAGAAUUAAUUCAUAGCGAAAAUUAAUUGGGCUUUGGUGGGGGCCCGACAUUCAUAACAUUUUUUUCGAAAAUAAUUCAAGUAAGUUAUGCUCUCCAUUUUGUUUGAUUUUGAUUUGGUUUUGUUUGAGAUUUUUUACACUUGUCAUUGUACACUAACCUUAUUUUCAUGACAGCGCUUUAUUACCUAUUACUAAGGUACACUCUCACUCUCACUUCGUUUAUCAUUUCGUCAUCAUGACUUAUUUUUGAACUAUGAUCAUUUUGGUAUCCAUUGAUCUUCUAGUUAAUUGCCAUGUCUGGUUCACCUUAUUUAGUAGAGACCCAUUUUUUAGGGGCUUAAAGGGGUGCUAUGGUCUUUACCGUACCUUCCCAAUAAGUAACCUGAUCCCCGAACCCAGACUCAGGUUUUUCGCAGACAGCUUUUCCAAAAACAAAAUCAGGAGUCCAUUUAGGGGUUUUGUUCUUACUUGUUUUCCCCUUUAAAAAUAAAUAAAAGUAAGUGGCGACUCCAAGUCUUUUCUAAGAAACAUAUUUUUCACCAAAUAAAUGAAAAGCGAGUCUCGCCGAUCGAGUGGGAACGCAUCAUUAAAAAUACGGGGUCCACACAAGUAUAAUAAAAAAUGAUGUCUAUAUAUUAAUAUGAGAAAGUACAAUAUGAGAUAUCAUCAAGUAAUACAUCCAAUCCCAUAAUAUAAAGCAUCAAAACAAGGAACAAUCUCCACUAAUAUAAUAUGUAAAUACAAUAAGAUAAAGAAAUGUCCUAUGAUCAAGUAGUGGGAGCCUCAGGUGGAGAUGAUGCAUCCUCAGGUAUAGUUGUGACUGUGUCAAUUGUCUGAGGCUUAUCCUGAGGAUCAACUGAAGCAAUGGCAUCUGUGGUGGCCUCCUGAGGUGGCGGGAUCUGGACCUCUACUGUGGUAGUGUCCUCAGCUGGAAUAGUAUCCUUAGCUGUAGCUAAAGGCUUUGAUGAUGUAGGAAGGUUAGGCUGAGGUGGAAGUAGAAGACCCAGGUGCUGCUGGAUCUAGCGAAGUAUAGCAGUCUGCUGGUUCUGCUGGGAACGCAUCUUAGCCAUCUGUUGGAAGAGAGCGGUGUGUGUGGUGGAUAGUGUCUGCAAGGUAGGUACAAGGCCGCGAAACUUCAAAGCAGAGAUGGUGAUGGAAGGCUUGGAUGUAGUAGGAGCAACAGAUGGAACAGUAGGAGUCAUAGGGGGAGCAGCAGAAACAGCCUCAGGCAUGGGCACUGGUGGUGCUGAAGUAGGUGAUGCAGGGGCAGGUCGUUUAGUCUCUGUCGGAAGCUCUCCCCGCGUUGUAGGUACUGGAGUAGAUUGUGCAUGCUCCGUCUGCAGGGGCUUUGGAGGUGCUACCAUGAGAUGGGCUCCUGGAGGUGCAAAAUAGCCCGCCAACUGAUUCCAUUUGUCAAGAGUGAAUUGCUCUCAACAAAUACGACGACGUUCUUGCUGAGGCUCAGUAGGAAAACCCAUAUGCUCCAAGAUUUGGCAAAGCAACCUCGGGAAUAGCAAUGGAAUGGUGUCCGCCCUCUAAAGCUUUUUCCUAUGGACCUUCUCCUCAAAGUGGACGAGGGAGGCCACGAUUAAGUGGUGUGGGCCAAAGUAGAAGCCCUUUGAUAUGCGGAACAAAGCAUCCAAGAUAGCUCAUCGCCUCUGUACUGAAUGUUGUAGGGGAAAGAGGUUGGAGCGUAGCACCACAUCUACGAGGAGCAUCCCAGGUGGAAGCUCCUUUUGAAGAAUGAUCGAAUCUGUAGAGGUCCUCCUGGAUAAAAUGCGGACCAUGUCCUUCUGAGAUACUGGGGAGACCACCGGCGGAAAGCAGAUGGAUCAAGUGGCUCGAAAGGAAUAUGUAGAGCCUCUGCAAUAUCUCUGACCUCAAGGAUACCAUGACGUCCAUCAAUGGUGAAGUGAAUCGAGGUCGGACUCGGGACGCCACGAGUAGUCAUGGAUUGUUAAAUGUCUAAUGCUAAUCUGGGAUAAAAAAACUCACAAGGAGUCAUAAGCUGCUUAAGAUAGUACCUCUGUAGUAGGCUAUAAGAGUCUCGGAGCUCAGGCUUCUAUCGGAAGGCCUCCUAAUCAAAAUAGAACUUCGAGUGGAAAGGUCUUGAUCUGUAAUCUGAGUUGCCCUCAAUGGGAGGUGCUGUGAGCAUCGGGCGUCUGAUAAUAGACCCCGGUGACAUGUCGAAAGGAAGCUCAGAAUCUACAGGAGCUCGACCAUGUGUAGCAACAGGAGGCUCAAGCUGUGAAGCUCUAGAUGACUCGCCUGAGCCUAAAGUCUUGGCCUUCUUGGUAGGAGGGCACCGCACUGAACUCUAAGGGCGCGAAGCAGUCGCCCCUUGUGUAGUAGCUGGUCUCCUAGUCUCAUACCUGCGCUGAAAAGCAAAAAAUGAAGGACUAAUGAGCGAUCCACCAUCAGAAGGGGGAAUCUGCGAGGCCUCUAUGGUGGCCUCCUGAGGUGGCGAAUCACAAGGCACCCGAGCAGAUGAGGCUCUCUGCCUCGUAGCGUGACUCUACAAAGGGGUAGCAGGAGCCCCUCGGGUCCUUGCCAUAUGGAAAUGGAGAAAUGGGCCUCGGGUCUGUGCUCGAAGGGGGGGUGUCGAAUGGGAGAUAAACGGAGGAGUGAGAUGCAAGNNNNNNNNNNNNNNNNNNNNNNNNNNNNNNNNNNNNNNNNNNNNNNNNNNNNNNNNNNNNNNNNNNNNNAAGUUGUUAAUCUAAGGGGGGGGGGGGGGGGGGGGGGGGGAGGGGAGUGUGAACAGAGGGUGGAACCAGAAUAGAGGCACGGGGUGACACUUAUUAUUUGAGAAGGGUUUCGCAUACCCUGCGAAAUUUUCGCAAGGGUGUGCAAAAUGCCUUAGUGAAUUUUUUCUUCAGGGUUUUUCCUCUGCCAAGAAUCUUUAAGGACAUGCCCAAUUGCUUUGAAGUUCCCCUUGAAAUUGAUAAUAAAAAACCUAAGUUAAAUCAAACCAAAAUUAAAUUAAAGUGAGAAAUCAAAAUCAAAACAAGUUACAAUACAAGAAAACUCUCUAAUAAAAAAUAAAACAAAAAGAUAUGGACUUGAUAGUCUUUAGAAAUGCUAAGUCCAUCCAAAAACUGGUCUUGUCAAGCUUGAUGUGGAUCAAGGAGUAUGAAUUCCUCUUUGUCACGAGAAAAAGGCUCCACAAAGGGCUUGAGACAAUGACCAUUCAUUUUGAAGCUACUGGUGUUGUUGGAGUUGAGUAGUUCCACUACUCCAUUUGAAUGCACUUGGUGAAUGGUAAAAUGACCUAUCCACCUUAAUUUCAGCUUGCCCGGAAAGAUGUGGAGCUUAGAGUCAUAAAAUAAGACUCUUUGUCCAUUUUGAAAAUCUUUGCGGGAAACUAACUAAUCAUGCCACCUCUUCAAUCUCUCUUUUGCAAUUUUUGAAUUGAUGUAGGCAUCAUUUCUCAGUUCCUCCAACUCACUGAGGUCUAAGAACCUCUUCAUUCCAGCUUUGCUCAAAUCCAUGUUGAGCUUCUUGAUUGCCCACCAAGCUUUGUAUUCCAAUUCCACAGGGAGAUGACAUGCUUUGUCAUAGACUAGGCGAUAAGGAGACAUCCCAAGAAUGGUCUUGUAAGCUGUUCUAUAUGCCCAUAGUGAAUCAAAGAGCUUGGCAGACCAAUCUUUUCUGUUCGUGUUCACCACCUUCAUCAAUAUGUUUUUAAUCUCCCAGUUUGCUAACUCAACUUGCCCACUAGUUUGAGGGUGGUAAGGUGUAGCUACCUUAUGCUUCACCCCAUACUUGGUUAGGAGAGUUUCAAAAGGCUUGUUGCAAAAAUGAGUACCCCCAUCACUAAUUAUGGCUUUGGGUACCCCAAAUCUUGAGCAAAUGUUUUCCUUGAGAAACUUGAGAACCACUCUAUGGUCAUUGUGCUUGGAUGGGACUGCCUCAACCCACUUAGAAACAUAAUCUACUCCCACCAAGAUGUAAGAGUAGCCAAAAGACAUAGAGAAUGGUCUCAUGAAGUCAAUGCCCCAAACACAAAAAAGAUCAACUAUCAAAAUGGGGUUCAAAGGCAUCAUGUUCUUGCGUGUCAACUUUCCAACCCUCUGACAUCGAUCACAACUCUUGCACAUAGUGUGGGCAUCUUUGAAAAGUGAUGGUCAACAGAAACCCGAUUGCAACACCCUCAUGGCUGUCUUCUGAGAAGCAAAGUGGCCUCCACAUGCAUUUUCAUGGAAAUGACUGAGGGUCCCCUGUUGCUCUUCUUCAGGAACACACUUCCUUAUUAUCUGAUCCACACAGUACUUGAAUAGAAAUGGCUCUUCCCAAUAGUAGGCAUGGAUUUUUGCAAAGAAGUACUUCUUAUCUUAUGCUUUCCACUCACUUGGAACUUUUCCUAUGACUAGGUAGUUAGCAAUAUGAGCAUACCAAGGAGCAACUUCCACCAACAUAAGAGACUCAUCUGGAAAAUCAUCAUUGAUGGGCAAACCAUGGGAAUUAUGUGCGAUAGCUAGCCUUGAAAGGUGGUCUACUACCACAUUCUCUACUUUUUUCUUGUCUUUGAUCUGGAGAUCGAACUCUUGAAGCAAGAAGAUCCAUCUAAUUAGCCUUGCUUUAGCAUCUUGCUUAGUCAACAGAUACUUCAAAGCAGAGUAAUAAGUGAAAACCACAAUGAAGGACCCCACCAAGUAAGCCCGAAACUUAUCCAAGGCAAAAACUAAAGCUAACAAUUCUUUCUCGGUGGUUGUGUAGUUUCUUUGCCCCUCAUUCAAUGUCUUGCUCCCAUAGUAGAUCACAUAGGGUUUUCCAUCUUCUCUUUGCCCAAGAACAACUCCUAUGGCAAAGUCAUUGGCAUCACACAUUACCUCAAAGGGCAGUUGCCAGUUAGGAGCCCUCACUAUUGGUGCGAUUGUCAGAAAUAGCUUCAAUUCUUCAAAACUCCUUUGGCAUCUAUCAUCCCAUAUGAAUUUAGCAUCCUUCACCAAUAGUUUACAAAGGGGCCUUGCAAGCUUAGAGAAAUCUUUGAUAAACCUCCUAUAGAACCCGGCAUGGCCAAUGAAUUGCCUUACUCCUUUAACAUUUGUUGGGGAUGGCAACUUGACAAUGAGUUCAACCUUUGCUUUGUCAACUUCAAUGCCUUGCUUGGAGAUGAUGUGCCUAAGGACAAUCCCUUGUUGUACCAUGAAAUGACACUUCUCCCGAUUAAGCACUAAGCCUUUCUCAAUGCAUCGAUUCAGAACAGCUUCUAAAUUGACCAAGCAUUCAUCAAAUGCACUUCCAUAUAUGGUGAUAUCAUCCAUAAAGACUUCCAUAAUACGCUUCAAUAUAUCACUGAAAAUGCUUAACAUGCAUUUUUGGAAAGUUGCGGGUGCAUUGCAUAAGUCGAAAGGCAUUCUCCUAUAUGCAUAGGUGCCAAAUGGGCAUGUGAAAGUGGUAUUCUCCUGGUCUUCAACAUCAAUUUCUAUCUGAAAGUACCCGGAGUAUCCAUCCAAGAAACAAUAAAAAGGAUGCCUAGAGACCCUCUCAAGCACUUGAUCAAUAAAGGGCAACGGGAAAUGGUCAUUCCUUGUCACUGCAUUCAAUCUCCUGUAAUCGAUACACACCCUCCAACCUGUAGUGAGGUAUGUAGAGACAUCUUCUCCCUUAUUAUUUUGCACCACCAUGAUCCCAGACUUCUUUGGCACAACUUGAGUAGGACUCACCCAUAGGCUAUCUGAUAUGGGGUAGAUAAUACCGACCUGAAGCAGCUUAAGAACUUCAGCUCGCACCACCUCUUGCAUGUGAGAGUUCAACCUUCUCUGAGGUUGCUGAACUGGCUUAGCUUCAUCCUUCAUGUAAAUAUGAUGGGUGUAGACUAAAGGGCUGAUCCCUUUCAAAUCAGAAAUUUGCCACCCUAUUGCCUUUUUACAUCUUCUAAGGACUUUAAGUGGACAAUCCUCCUGAUGAAUGGUAAGAGCUGAAGAUAUAACAACAAGGCACUGCUUGUCUUCUUCCAAGUAUGCAUACUUCAGCUCUAUGGGUAGUGGCUUAAGAAUAACUUUUGGGGGCUCCUCCUUAGCAGCUCUUUGUGUCUCAUCCUUAUUGAUUAAGGGUAGAAUUUCUUCUUUCCUCCUCCAAAGAGACAAGGUAGUAAGCAAAUCUAAGGGCUUAGGUAACUCUUCAUCAAGAUCCUCAAGACUCUCAAUCAAAUCCUCCUGUAUUCUCUUAUCACAAUGCCCCUCCACUAAAGUGUCAAUCAUGCACGCUUCCUUUGGACCUUCUUCUUUUUCCGGAUGGAUAUGCUUUUUACACAAAUGGAAGAUGUUGAACUCUAAUGUCAUGUUGCCAAACAUGAGUUUCAUGACUCCAUUCCUACAAUUGAUGAUUGCAUUUGAUGUAGCUAGGAAUGGUCUUCCAAGUAUAAUAGGAACAUAAUUAGUUCCUUUGACAAUCGGAUCCACAUCAAGAAUAACAAAAUCCACUGGAUAGUAUAAUUUGUCAAUUUGAACCAAGAGAUCUUCGAUCAUCCCUCUUGGAAUCUUCACUGAUCUAUCUGCCAGAGAUAGAGUGAUGGAUGUUGGCUUUAACUUUCCAAGUCCCAACUGCUUGUAGACAGAGUAGGGUAGCAAAUUCACACUUGCUCCCAAGUCCAACAAAGCUUUUUCCACACAAUCCCUCAAAUACUCACUGAGAUGGUAGGGUAGCCCGGAUCUUUGUACUUCACUGGAGACUUGCACUAUAUGAUGGCACUCACUUGCUCAGUCAAUAAGGCUUUCUUAUUCACAUUCAACCUUUUCUUUACAGUGCAUAAGUCCUUCAAGAAUUUUGCAUAUGUUGGCACUUGUUUGAUCAUGUCUAGCAAAGGGAUAUUGACCUUCCCUUGCUUCAACACUUCAAAAAUUUCUGAUGCAUUAUUGGUUCCCUUUUUGCCAUGCAAAGCUUGGGGGAAAGAUGGAGGCAUGUGUUUCUUCAUCAUAUCUUCUUUGAUGACUAUCCUCUUGGGUUCUUCAUCCACACUAGAAUCACAGUCAUUUUUUUUUUUGUACUUUUCCCUUUUCUCUUUCCUUUAAUUUCCUCACUCUUUUCUUUUUCUGCUACACUCUCUUCAUCAUGCUUUGGCUUGGAUGUGGGUUGAUCAACCUCUUUACCACUCCUCAAGGUGAUAACUGCUUUAACCUCCCUCACCUUUGAAGAUUCUCCCUCUUGAGCCUCCACUUCAUGGAUACCCUUGGGAUUUUGAUGAGGUUAAAAAGGAAACUUUCCUUUCUCUUGCACUGUGUUGAGGUUGGUAAGCCUUGAGAUUGCGUAUUGGACAUUGUCUAUCUUCUGAGAUAGAUCAUUUUGCAUCCCAUCCAUCCUUUUGUUCAAUGUACUUUCCAUACUGUCAAUUCUCUGAUUCAAUUGAGCAUUGAUGGACUUCUGAUCUCCCACAAAGUCUCCCAUAACCUUGCUAAGGUUCACAAUAACUUGUUCAAGAUUUGAGGUUUGCUGAGGUGCUUGAGCAGGUUGUGUGUACUGAGGUGGCUUUGGUUUCUAAUAGAAAUUUGGAUGGUUCCUCCAAUUUGAAUUGUAGGUGUUGCCAUAUGAAGCAUUGUUAUUGGGCUUGAAUUGACCAAUAACGUUUGCUUGAUCACCAAACAUCUCACUCACUACUGGAAUGGUAGGACAUUCCUCCACCAAGUGCUCAUAAGAUUGACAAAUGGAACAAGGCAUAGCUUGCACUGAUGUCUCAGAAAUGGCUUGCACUUCUUGUACCUUCUUCAUUUCUAACUCUUCCAAUCUCCUUGCCAUAGCUGCAACAUUUGCCUUCAUGUUAAUGUCUUCAUUCAAAACAUACAUCCCACCCUUAGCAUUAGGUUGAGACUUCAUUCUUCCCACCUCUCUAGCAUUUGGUUCAUCCCAUCAUCUUGAAACUUCAGCCACAUAACUCAAAAAGUCCAUGGCUUCCUCCAGAUUCUUACUCAUGAAGUCUCCUCUACACAGUUUCUAGGAGUUGCUUCAUUGAAGAAUGCAUACCAUAGUAAAAAUAGCUCACUAAGAGCCAUGUGUCAAAGCCAUGGUGAGGAUAAGCAUUAAUAGCUUCCAUGUACCUCUCCCAACACUCAUAGAAUUUCUCAUUCUCUUUAGUUGAGAAGUUCAAAAUUCGCCUUUUCAAACCAUUGAUCCUAUGAGUAGGGAAAAAUUUCUUGAGAAACUCGGCUUGCAAAUCGGUCCAAGUUCGGAUACUCCUUGGCCUUAGAGAAUUGAGCCAAAUCUUGGCCUUAUUCUUCAAAGUGAAAGGAAAUAGCUUGAGCCUCAUCAAGUCAAUUGAAGUUCCUCCUUCUUGGAAUGUAUUACAAACCUCCUCGAAUUCCUUAAUAUGCGAGUAGGGAUUCUUAGUUUCCAUCCCAUGGAAAGUAGGUAGGAGUGACACAAUGUGAGGUCGGAUUACUAGCUGCUCAAUGGGAGGCACUAUGCAUGAUGGUGCACUCAUACAAGGUGGAUGCAUGCGGUUCCUCAUGGAUCGGUAUGCAUUGAAAUUAUCCUCUUGACCAUGUUGGCUAUUCUGGUCUUCAGGUGGAACAUCCAUGAUGUUCAAGCACACUUCCAACUCAUUUUCUUGAGGAGUUUCAAUCUUCACAAGUCUUCUCUCAAUAUCUCUUAUCCAAUAGGGCAUGCACAACUAGAGAUCACUGAAACAAAAACAAAGAAAACAAAAUAAAUACAAUUCUAGGAAGAGGUAAAGGUUAGCAAAAAACUAAAUAAAAGAUAAGUUAAAAUAGAGACAAAGAAAAAGAAUUAGUAAAAGAAAAAUCACCAAACUUGUGAUGAAGAUCACAAGUGUUCACCAAAAGUAAUGCCAAUGUACUUUGGCACCAUCCCUGACAACAACGCCAUUUGAUUCGUCCCCAACAAUAGCGCCAUUUGAUUCUUGCGCCAGACAAGUGUUAUCAAUAAAAUUUAUAAAACCUAAAUCACCUUACACUAGGGUAGCAUGGCUACUAUAGUAUAGUGGCUCUAGGAUCAUCCACAUGGAUGAAUUUUCUUCGUACAAGUGACUUUAGUGAAGGUAAUGAAAUGGUGUUUUUCCUUAUGAAAAUUAGCUUUUAAAGAAAAUGGAAUUGUGGUUGAAAAAGUUGAUUUUAAGUUAAGCAAAAAUAGCAAUUGAAGUUAACUACAAACAGAAUGUCUCUUGGAACUUUAGGUCACUAGGAUCGAGUUCCUUAGGCAAAGAGAGAUUCCGGAUUUUCUCCUCGCAUUGGUGACAAUAACAUAAAGGAUGGUUAUCUCCUGAACCAGUUUUGUAUCUAGCAAUUAAGAUUUGAUCUAAAGGGUUCAUGAAAAAUGGUAGUUGCUUCCCAUUAAUGGCUUCAAACACUAAAACCCUUCACCUUGAACCACCUUCCAAUGGCUCGUACUUGAUAAUUAAUGAACAUCCAUGGAUCUAGCAAUAAGCAUCCAUAGAAUUCGGAAAGCUUACCAAGUAUUGGCCAUUCAAGGUGAUUCUCACCUUGAGCCACCUUCCAAUGGCUCAUAAUUGAUAACUAAUGGACAUCCAUGGAUCUAGCAAUAAGCAUCCAUAGAAUCUAGAAAGCUUACCAAGUAUUGGCCAUUUAAGGUGAUUAUAAGGGAUUUAAAGCUAAACCUUGAAAUAAAAACCAUUAAUGGUUAACAACUACCUUCAUUUAAAGCAAGAAAAACUCCCACCUUUGCAUCCGGGUCCUUCACCUAGUUAUUUCCAUCAUUCCAAGAUACGUAAAACUUAGCCACUCAUCCCCUGAGAAAUCAUCCUUAGAGGUUCUUUGGCUAGAAAGAAAAAUGAAAACAAAAUGAGAAGGAAAAGCAGAGCAAGGGCUCUAUAUAUUUCUUCCUAUGGGAAUUACAAGUGUCGUAUAUUUGUCUCCUUUUCAAAAGAUUAUACAAAAAGAUCUUAUAUAGAGAGGUCUUUCCAACCCCCUUUUAUAGUUCCUAACCAAGAAAUCCUAUCAUUGGUUGAUUACAAGGAGAAAAUAGUAAUUUACACAAAUUUCUGGAGAUAAAAAUCUAAUGGAGUUGGUGCAUAAGAAGAUUUCACAGACCAUGCGAAAUUUCGCAUGGUGUGCAAAAUUGUCCUUCACUCAGUCUUGCAGCUGCUCCUCUUAUUGAUUUCGCAUGCUAUGCGAAAUUGCUACAUGUUGGAUUUCUUCCUCUGGUUUUCUUCCUUGCAUCUCUGAUUGGCUUGGCAAAGGGCUAUGAUGUGCUCCAAAACUCGGAUUCUUCAUGUAUUUGAGCUUCAACUUGCAUUGCCAUGGAUUGUACAAAAUUCUCUCUCAUUCUUUGCUUGUUUCAAUGAUAAAAAAGCUACCAAAAACACCAAAACUAGCCAAAAACUGAUUAGUAACCCUUGCUAGGUUCCUUAAUGUACCAAUUGAGUUAAAAAGUAUUAACUACUACUCAAAAGUGUUUAAAACAGUUAAUUUCAAGCUAUAAAAGAGCACUUUUUGAGUAGUAAUAAGAAUGAAAUGUAGGACUUGGUCACAGUGGGAUAUAUAAAAAAAAAACAUCUUUUUCAGUAAGGAAGAAGGUUUGUGGUGGGGAGUUUGAUGGCAUAUAUAGGAUUGUUCUUUUAUAUGCACUCACUCUUGGCUUUGGGGGUACAUGCCCACUUUGAUUGAAAAAUUAAAAGGUUCAUACCCACUUUGAUAAUAAAAAAAUUAAAAAUAAAAGCUUAUUACGAGUAAACGUUACAUGAUGAUGAGAGAAAUCGUGUGUGAAUACUAAAUAUCAAUAAUUCCAAGCACUGAUUCCAUUUUCAAUUUUGUUGAGUCAUCAAUCAAUGUUUUAGAAACAAAUAGGUUUUUAUAAUUGGAUUGGUCAAUUCAAUUAAAAAUAUUAAGGAUUAUGAUUCAUUAGUUAAAGUAUUAAGGGGUUCAAUUGUAGUCAAUUAUUUUGAUGUUAGGAUGACAUUAUAAAUAUAUAAUUUAUAUUUUAUUAAAAUUAAAAUAAUUAUAAAAUAUAUAAAUAAUUAAUAUAUUAAUAUAUUUGAUUUUUUAAAAAGACUUUACUAUUAUUAAAUUAAAUCAUAAUAAGGGUAAAUAUAGAUGUAUUAAAACUUUUAAUUUUAUUUAAUAAAAUAUUUAUAAUAUUGAAGUGAAAAGAUAUAUUCAAGAUGAUAUAAAUUGGUGAUGACUUCUCAACUGACAAAAACUCAUUAAUUAUCAUGUUAUUAUUUAAAGUUUCCAUCAUUACCUUCAUAGCUUUUCUUCGCUCACACGGUUCGUAGGUUGGAAAAGUCCAUUUGCAAGAGAGGAAACCAGAAAGAAGAAAAUGUUUUCCUCCUCGAACUCUCGUGAUCUACGACCACCCUUGGAGAUAAUUUUUCCAAUGAUGGUGAUUCCUAAUAUGAACGAGAUAGGGGGAUGACUAUUGCUAUCCUGGCCUACUCCUCAGGUUUUUUUUGCAAGAGUACCGAUAAUUUAAAAAUAUAAUCUUGUUAAAAAUCCCCUACCUCCUCCCUCGUCGGUAUUAGCAAAAGCUCGAACUUGACCUUCUCUACCCGCUCAAUCGCCACACGUGAUUGGCACACAUGAAACCAGUCGUUCUUGAUCUUCGACCACCCUGUCCUUCAUUCAAUAGAUGGCUUUGCUCUACUUCUCAAUCAAUCCCCUGUGUUCAUGGCUUUGAAUAUUUGGAAAUGCUUUUAUUUUCUAUAAAGAUCUUGAUGACCGCUUAAUUCAUCUGUCUUCCCGCUUUUGAAAUAGAAAUGGCUUUUUUUUUUAUUCCCUGAUCUACGAGCACCCUAAGAAAAGUGAUCUAUGAAACUUACAGGCUUUCGACUAAAAAGUGACCAAUGGAAUAGGCUUUAGAGUAACUCUUUCCAAAUAGGUCGAGAAAUAAAAUUUUAAGGAGCUUUCUAGUUGGAUUCACAAGUGUAAAUAGAAUUCAGGUGAAACAUAGGAAUUCCAAAGAAUAAUAGGUAGAAUAUCAUAUCAGUUCACCUUAAGAGCUCAUCUUAAGCCUGUGUUAUGAAUCUUAUGAUCAGGUUUGAAUUCUAGAGUAAAGAGUUGAUCUUAAGCCUAUGUUCGCACGGUUAGAAAUAGAAUUUUAAGGAGAACAAAAUUCGGCAUUGUUUCAACUAGCCUAGACCUUGAUACAAUUUAAGUCGUUAAACGAAUUCAACAUUCUCCGAGUCAAUCCAUGACGUCUCAUGAAUUUUAAACAAUUUCUCAGAAAAAUAAACAAAUAAAGCAUAAUUAAAAAGAAAAAGAAGAAAGAAGUCAGUUUGAAAGCAAAAUAAGAAGGGAAAUGUACCAGAGUAUAACGGUGGUGGGUUAGUUGGAGUUGUUCACAGUGUUCUACUCAUGAAGGUGGGAGUAGUGUAUUGGUGAUGAGAAGGUGGAUAGUCGGAGAUGGUAGCCAACGACAGUGAGAAUGGUGACUUUGUGACCCUUGAAUGGGUUGCAUUAGUAGUUUUAAACCAGAGAAAAGGCUAAAAAAGAAAAAGAAAAGAGAAAGAAAGUCUUCUUGUGGGCCGACAAGAGUGUGUUUCUAUAGCAAUAAUUCGAAGAAAGUAGGUGGUCGACAACAGUAGUACUAGUUUUAAGAAACCAGGGAGAAAGCAAAAAAAAAAAUAAAAUAAAAUGGAAGAGCUAGGAGGGAAAGAGAUUCGUCUUUUGGAGUGGUGAGAGUAUGGUGGGGAGCUGAUACUAAUAGUACAUAUAGGGUAUUAAUGUUGGUGGGGGUGGUGUGAAUUUGGAAGAUAUGAUGUUGUUAUUAAGGUUUUUUAAAAACCUAUAAGAGAGUAGAAACAUGGGUUUCUUAGUUUUUUCUUGGGGUAUUAACUUAUUUAUUUGUAUAUGUCAUGGUGAUGGAGAUCUGCCAAGCUUGAUUGUUGAUGGUGAUCAUCCCCAGACUUGCGUAUGUUCCACCUAUGACAUUUUUCGUUUGCUCUCCACCUCUCCCAUCUCCUCCUCCAUAUUAGCAUACUGAGUAGCCUUAGACAAGAGUGUUUCCAUUUUGGUAAGUCCACUUUUAGUGAGCGAUCACUGCAAGGGGCUAGCUGGUGGUAGGGCCUUCCUAAAAGUAGUCAUAGUAGUCUUCGAGUUGUCACUCUCGACCUGUAUAAUUUUUGUAACAAAACUAUGAAUGAACUUACGUAACAGUUCUCCGGGGCUCUACUUAAGAUUGAACAAAUUAUCGAUACUGCGUCGAGUACGCAUAUUGCACGUGUAAUGAGUCAUGAAUUAGUCACACAAUUGAGAAAAACUAUGGAUAGAACAAGUAGGGAGUUGAUGGAACCAGGUUAGUGAGGCACCUUGGAGACUGGCGGGGAAAACCCAACAUAGUAAGCCUUCACGACCAUCAACAAGAGCCAUUAAUUGGCUAAAAUGGUAAAUAUGCUCAGUGGGAUCCCCAAUUCUAUUAUAAAGAUUAAAUUUAGGUGGUAAAUAAUGAAUAGGUAAUUCUUCCUACAGCAAUUGUGGAAACAACGGUGACUGCAACAUACUUGCCUAUUUUCGAGUCGUUCCCGGGGAAGAAUUUGCUUGCAGUUUAAUUUGUUGUAUCUCUGUUGCUAGCCUUUUAUACUUCUGUUCCAGCCCUUUCGAUUUUGGUGCUACAAACUGUGAAUAAUUACUACUCAAAAAGUGCUAUUUGAUAGCUUUUAAUUAACUCUUUUAAACACUUUUGAGUAGUUAUUAUUACCUUUUAACUCAAUUAACAUAUUAAGGACCCUUGCAAUCAUUUCUAAUCAAUUUGUGUAAGUUUUGGUGUUUUUGUUAGUAAGUUGAUCACAAAAGCAAUCCGAGAUUGAGGAGAGUUCUUUGGAAUCCAUGGCAAAGCAAUGGAAAGCUCAGAAACAUGAAGAACCAAAGCUUUGAAGCUUUAAAGUCCUUUGCCAUAAGCAAAGAUUUUGGAGCACUUCCUGGAGUUCAAUUUAUGCAUACUGUCGUUUCGAAGCUCGGGAAGUUAGCAAUCUAAUGCUUCAAACGGUGCACGAUUCGGAGUUGAAAUGAAGGAGUUACAACCAUUGGAAGCCGAUCACUCCAAGCUGAAGGCAAAUUUCGCAGGGUUGUGAAAUCAGCCUUUGGCUGCGAAAUGGUGUCCUUCAUGUUGCGAAAUUUCGCAGCCCUCUUGCGCGGCUGCGAAAUUCUCCUGAAGCUUCACGAUAUUUGCGACCGACAUUUUGAGAUUUUUUUGCUUUAGAUAUUUGAUGUCUAAAUCCCCAAACUCUCCUUGUAACCCACCUAUCAUAGGAUUCCUUAGUCUUUAAGCAAGAACAAAGGGUAAAUAAACCCAUAUUUAAUGCUUGUAAGUUUCCAUUAAAAAAGGAGACAAGAAACUUGUUCUCAUACAACUUUUAUAUAGUAUUUGAAGGAAGUAAAUUCAGGGCCUUUGCUCUGCCUUACCUAUUCGUUUUGAUUGUAUAUAUUUAUUUAAUUUUUCUUACUAGCCAAACAAGCUCUGAGGAUGUUUCCUCAGAGAAUGAGUGGCUAGGCUUUUAGUUCCUUGGAACUAAGGUUGCCGGGAAAGGUUCCAAAUGCAAGAAUUGGUAGUUUUGUUGUUUCAGCCAUUAAUGAAGAGAAAGUGCAACUCAUUAAUGAUUUCUAUGUUUUUAGUUAACUUAAAACACCUUCAAUUCACCUGAGCAAACACUUGGUAAGGUAAGUGAUCUCCGUCCAUGGAGAUGCACUAGUUUACCUCUUGUGAGUUUUUGGUAUGUGACUUGAAGAUAGGAUUUUCUAGAAUUGCCAACACUUGGUAAGCUUUUAAACUCCAAGGAGACAUCCAUUAGUUAUCUCUUGCGAGCUUGAGAAGGGAAGUCCAAGGUUAAUGAUCACCUUGAAUGGCAAAUGCUAGGUGAGAGGCACGAGCCAUUGCAAGUUGCAUCAAUGAGAGGGAAUUAGUGCUGAAAUCCAUUAAAGGGAAGCAUCUGUACAACACCGGUUAGAGAAUUGACUAUAUGUUAAUUCUCUAAUGCGAGGAAAUGAACCAAGUGACCGGAGCUCUGUUUUUGCAUGAGGAGCCUCCCCUGUGAACCUAAAACUCCAAGGAAUGCUUUUCUUCAUAAGUAAUUUUCAUUACUUUAUUUUUAGUUAGCUUAAAACAAAACCUUUUUCAACCAAAGUUUAUGUUUUUUUCUUAAGCUAACCUUGAAAUGAAAAAGCACCAAUUUAACUUUGAAUUGGUAUCAGUUGUGAGUUGAAAACCCUUCCCAGUGAACAAUCCUAGAGCCACUAUGCUAUAUUAGCUAAAGCUAUCCUAAUGCAUGGUGAUAUAGGUUAUAAAUUUUGUUGAUUACUUCCUCAAUCAAGGAACACCAGCUGGACAUGAAUCAGCUGAGACACCAAUUGGGAAACACGAAUCAAAUGGCGCCGCUGCCGGGGAAGGUGCCAACUUCACAGUGAUAUUAUUUCAGUGUACUUGUGGUUCUCAUCACAAGUUUGGUGAAUUUUCUUUCAUUUUAAUAACUCUUUUAAUUGUUUCUUUUACUUGUUCAUAUUCUAACAUAGCUUUUAAUUUAGUUUCAGUUAAUCUAAGUCUUUUUGGUAGUCUUGUUUUUUUUGUUUUCCUCUGUUUUUGUUUUUUUUCUAUUUUUGUUUUUUUUCUUUGUUACAGUUGAUACUAGUUGUGUAUGCCAAAUUGGAUACGAGAUAGUGGAGGAAGGCUUGUUAAACGUGAAACACCUCAUAACAAGGAGUUGGAAUUGAGCUUGAACAUCAUGGAAACUACACCUGAAGAUCCGCAUAGUCACCAUGGUCAUCAGGACAAUCCCAACGAAUUCAGAUCAAUGAGGGACCGCAUGCAUCCACCUCGUAUGAGUGCACCAUCAUGUAUAGUGCCCCCUAAAGAGCAGCUAGUGAUCAGGCCCUAUAUUGUUCCACUUCUACCAACUUUCCAUGGAAUGGAAAGUGAGAAUCCCUAUGCACAUAUCAAGGAAUUUGAAGAUGUUUGUAAUACAUUCCGAGAUAGAGGAGCUUCAAUCGACUUGAUGAGGCUUAAGCUAUUUCUUUUUACUUUAAAGGAUAAAGCCAAGAUUUGGCUUAAUUCUUUAAGGCCAAGGAGUAUCCGUACUUGGACUGAUUUACAAGUUGGAUUCCUCAAAAAGUUUUUUCCUACUCACAGAACAAAUGGCUUGAAAAGACAAAUUUCAAACUUCUCAGCUAAAGGAAUGAGAAAUUCUAUGAGUGUUGGGAAAGAUACAUGGAAGCCAUUAAUGCUUGUGAUGCGACUCAUGGUAGCUUAGCUUUAAAGGCGUAUCAACAAAAUUUAUACCUUAAAUACUAUUACUAAAGUAGCCAAGCUACUAUAGCAUAGUGGUUCUAGGAUCGUUCACUGGGAAGGGUUUUCACAAACACUAGUGAUAUUCAAAUUAGGAAAAUAGGUGAUUUUCUUAUGGAUGUUAGCUUUAAAAGAAGAUGUAAAUGUUUUAGAAAGAUUUAAACUAAUCUAAGCUAACAUUAAAGACUAAAAUGAAAGGGUGUAAAAACAAGUUUCUCAAAGAUAGGAUAGCUAUGCUCUGGCUCUUAUGCAAAUUGGAAAUCUCAGGAUAGGCUCCUCGCGUUGGGGUUGCAACUAUGGUGAUGCUUGCUUCCCGAACCGGUAUGGAUUUAGCAAAUCAAGUUUUAAUCCUUUAAAAUGGCAAAACAGAUGGUAGUGAAUUUCAUCAAUGGUUAUUCACUUUAGACUUCCUUUGAAUGGCUCGUAAGAGAUAACUAAUGGUCUAAAGCCAAAAGCUUACCAAAUAUUGGCAACUCAAAGUCAUUCCAGGUGAUAAACUCACCUUUCAAUGGCCAUUGAAAUUGGUUCUAACGGAUUAAUGCAAAACUUGGAAUUGAAAACCUCACCUUCCAAUAGCUCGUAGGAGAUAACUAAUGGAUAGAAAUCCAAAAGCUUAUCAAGUAUUGGCCGUUGGAAGUUGUCCAAAGGAAAUAAAAACCAAACUUUGCAUUAAUGAACCGUUAAUGAAAAACGACUACCUUACCUUCCAGGUGCGAGAAAUUUCCAUGGGAUUGCAUCCAAGCCAUCACAUAACAUCCAUACUUUGAGAAACUAAAAGUUUUAGCCAAUCAUCCUCUGAGGAAAAGCCCUUAGAGGCUGUUUGGCUACUAAGAAAAUAGAAAUGGGGAAGAACAGGAGAAGAGAAAAACAGAGCUUUAUAUAUGUCUAAGUUAAUGUACACAGGAUCGAUCCCCAAUCAUCCCAUUUUUCGUCCCCUGUUGGAGGUGUUGUGCACCUCUAUAUAUAGCAAAAUUACAAGAUAAAGCUUUAUGUCGGCUGAAUACAAGGUUACAAAAGGAAUUUACAUGAGAAAAUAUCAAGCUAAAAAUAUUUGGGAAGUCGGUGGUGCGUGCGUGGAGAAACAGAGGAUUAAAAGGAAUUUCGCAAUGUAAAAGGCACAUUGCGAAAUUUUCGCAAUGUGAAUUACUCAUGAUGCGAAGUGCCAUAUUUUCGCAUCAUGAGUUAAUUCACCUUGCGAAAUUUUCGCAAUGUGAAAUUCACAUUGCGAAAUGGCAAAAUUUCGCACCAUGAAGAAAAUCUCCUUGCGAAAUUUUCGCAAUGUGAAAUUCACCUUGCGAAAUUGGUCAUUUGGCAUGAUGCAGUUGCCUUCCGAAGGCCAUAUCUUCCUCAUUUCAGCUCCAAAUUAUACACGGUUUGAAGCGUUGGAUUCUUGACUUCCUAAGCUUUCAAAUGGUAUAUAGCAUGUAGAAAAUGGACUUCAGGAAGUGCUCCAAAAGUGUGAAAGAAGACUGCAUCUGUUUUCUUCACUUUGUUUUCCUCUUCUCCAUUGCUUGUGCUCGUGUUUCCACUUGAAAUUCAAGCCUGUAAUCAUCCAAAAUCCUUGCUUAACUCGCCCAAAUAGCUCCUCCAUCAAUUGGCAUGCUUGAAUUGGUUCAUAAGCUGAUAAAAACAUGUAAACUUGCCACAAAAUGGUUAAAACCAAUUACUAAGGACCUUAAUGAAUUAAUUAGGUUAAAUGAAUAUGAUUACUACUCAAAGGUGCUUAAAACCAUUAUUAUUAGGUCUACAAAAUAGCACUUUUUGGUAGUAAUCAGCUUGUCCUCACCAUGGUUUUGAUACAUGGCUGUUGGUGAGUUAUUUCUAUGAUGGGAUGUCUUCCUCAAUGAAACAACUCCUCGAAACAAUGUGUGGAGGGGAUUUCUGAGUAAGAAUCCUGAGGAAGCUAUGAAUUUCUUGAGUUAUGUAGCUGAAGUCUCAAGGGGGUGGGAUGAACCGAAUAGAGGAGAAGUGGGAAAGAUGAAGUCUCAACCAAAUGCUUUUCAUGCUAAGGCUGGGAUGUACACCUUGAAUGAAGAUGUUGAUAUGAAAACAAAAUUUGCAGCUAUGACAAGAAGAUUGGAGGAGCUAGAACUGAAAAAGAUGCAUGAAGUGCAAGCUGUUGCUGAAACACCAGUGCAAGUAAAGCUAUGUUCUAUUUGUCAAUCUUAUGAACACUUGGUGGAGAAGUGCCCUACAAUUCCAGUUGCUAGAGAAAUGUUUGGAGAUCAAGCAAAUGUCAUUGGACAAUUCAAGCCCAAUAGCAAUGCUUAGUAUGGAAAUACUUACAACUCAAGUUGGAGGAAUCAUCCAAAUUUUUCAUGGAAGCCAAGAGCACCUCAGUACCAACAGCCGACUCAACCAUCUCAACAAGCUUCAAGUCUUGAACAAGCAAUAGUGAAUCUCAGCAAGGUUGUGGGAGAUUUUAUUGGAGACCAAAAAUCCAUCAAUGCUCAACUCAGUCAAAGAAUUGACAGUGUAGAGAAUACUUUGAAUAAAAGGAUGGAUGAGAUGCAAAAUGACUUAUCUCAGAAGAUAGAUAAUCUCCAAUACUCAAUCUCAAGGCUCACUAAUUUGAACACAGUGCAAGAGAAGGGUAGAUUUCCUUCUCAACCUCACAAAAACCCUAAGGGUAUCCAUGAAGUGGAAACUCAUGAGGGAGAAUCUUCAUAGGUGAGAGAUGUCAAAGCCUUGAUCACUCUAAGGAGUGGUAAAAAGGUUGAGUCACCAACACCCAAGCUACAUGUUGAAGAGAAAGAAGAGGGAGGAAAUGAAAGGAAAGAAGAAAAAUAUCAAUGAAGGGAAAGAGGACCAUGAUUCAACAAUGAAUGCAAAUCCGGAUAAAGAGCUUAUUAAGGAAGAACUGAUGAAGAAACACACAUCUCCACCUUUUCUUCAAGCUUUGCAUGGGAAAAAAUGGAUGAAAAAUGCAUCAGAAAUCCUUGAAGUAUUGAGGCAAGUGAAAGUCAAUAUUCCAUUGCUGGAUAUGAUUAAGCAAGUUCCAACAUAUGCAAAAUUCCUAAAGGAUUUGUGUACUAUCAAAAGAUGGUAGAAUGUGAAUAAGAAAGCCUUCUUGACUGAGUAAGUAAGUGCCAUCAUACAAGUCUCCUUUGAAGUACAAAGAUCCGGGAUGUCCUUCCAUUUUAGUCAUGAUUGGAGGAAAGGUAGUGGAAAAAGCUUUGUUAGACUUGGGAGCAAAUGUGAAUUUGCUACCAAAAUCUGUCUACAAGCAAUUGGGACUUGGUGAAUUGAAGCCAACAUCAAUCACUCUAUCUUUAGCUGAUAGAUCAGUGAAAAUUCCAAGGGGGAUAAUUGAAGAUGUCUUAGUUCAAGUUGAUAAUUUCUACUAUUCAGUAGAUUUUGUUGUUCUUGAUAUUGAUCAUUUUGUUAAGGAAGCUAAUUAUGUCCCUAUCAUCCUUGGUAGGCCAUUCCUUGCUACUUCAAAUGCAAUCAUCAAUUGUAGGAAUGGACUUAUGCAACUCACUUUUGGCAACAUGACACUUGAGCUUAAUAUCUUUUAUAUGUCUAAGAAGCUAAUCACUCCGGAAGAAGAAGAAGGUCCAGAAGAGGUAUGCAUUAUUGACACUCUAGUGGAGGAGCAUUGUAAUCAGAAUAUACAAGACAAGUUAAAUGAAAGUCUUGAGGAUCUUGAAGAAGGGUUGUCUGAACCCGCUGAUGUGCUUGCUACUCUAUAAGGUUGGAGGAGGAAAGAAGAGAUUCUAGCUUUAUUCAAUAAAGAGGAGGCACAAGAAGCUGUUAAGGAAGAGAUCCCAAAGCUCAAUUUGAAACCUCUGCCCAUGGAGUUGAAAUACACGUACCUGGAAGAAAAUAAUCAAUGCCCUGUUGUUAUAUCUUCAUCUCUUACUACUCAUCAGGAGAUUUCUCUACUUGAAGUUCUUAAGAGGUGUAAGAAAGCAAUAGGAUGACAAAUAUCUGACUUGAAAAGAAUCAGUCCUUUGGUUUGUACACAUCACAUAUAUAUGGAGGAAUAAGCUAAACCAAUUCGUCAACCUCAAAGAAGAUUGAAUCCUCAUUUACAAGAAGUGGUGUGAGCUGAGGUGCUGAAGCUACUUCAAACGGGUAUUAUUUAUCCCAUAUCUAACAGCCCUUGGGUGAGUCCUACUCAAGUGGUACCAAAGAAGUCAAGGAUUACUGUGGUUCAAAAUGAAAAAGGAGAAGAAAUUGCCACACGCCUCACUUCAGGUUGGAGGGUGUGUAUUGACUAUAGGAAAUUGAAUGUUGUGACAAGGAAAGAUCAUUUUCCACUCCCGUUUAUUGAUCAAGUGCUGGAGAGGGUCUCUGGUCAUCCUUUCUAUUGUUUCUUGGACGGGUACUCAGGGUAUUUCCAAAUUGAAAUUGAUGUUGAAGAUCAGGAGAAGACCACUUUCACAUGUCCAUUUGUAACAUACGCCUACAGAAGAAUGUCUUUUGGUUUAUGCAAUGCACCUGCAACAUUCCAAAGAUGUAUGCUUAGUAUCUUCAGUGAUAUGGUGAAGUGAAUUAUGGAGGUUUUCAUGGAUGAUAUCACCAUAUAUGGAGGUACAUUUGAAGAAUGCUUAAUCAAUUUGGAAGCGGUUCUUAACAGAUGCAUUGAAAAAGACUUGGUGCUCAACUGGGAGAAAUGCCACUUUAUGGUACAUCAAGGAAUUGUCCUUGGCCAUAUCAUCUCCGAGAAAGGCAUUGAAGUUGAUAAAGCAAAGGUGGAACUUAUUGUCAAAUUGCCAUCCCCAACCACUGUAAAAGGAGUAAGGCAAUUCCUUGGCCAUGCAGGGUUCUACAGGAGAUUUAUAAAAGACUUCUAUAAGCUUUCAAAGCCUCUUUGUGAACUUUUAGCUAAGGAUGCUAGUUUAUAUGGGAUGAAAGAUGUCAAAAGAGUUUUGAUCAAUUGAAGCAAUUUUUUACAACCGCUCCAGUAGUGAAGGCUCCCAACUGGCAACUACCCUUUGAAGUAAUGUGUGAUGUCAGUGACUUUGCUAUAAGAGUUGUACUUGGACAAAGAGAAGAUGGGAAGCCCUAUGUGAUUUACUAUGCAAGCAAAACAUUGAACGAAGCUCAAAGGAACUACACAACUACAGAGAAAGAGUUGUUAGCUGUGGUGUUUGCCUUAGACAAGUUUCGUGCUUAUUUGGUAGGGUCUUUCAUCAUUGUUUUCACUGACCAUUCAGCCUUGAAGUAUUUAUUGACAAAGCAAGAUGCAAAAGCAAGGUUGAUUAGAUGGAUUCUUUUAUUACAAGAGUUCGAUCUCCAAAUCAGAGACAAGAAAGGAGUGGAGAAUGUGGUAGCUGACCACUUUUCAAGGUUGGCUAUAGCACAUAAUUCCCAUGUCUUACCGAUUAAUGAUGACUUUCCUGAGGAAUCACUCAUGUUGCUAGAGAAAACUCCUUGGUAUGCUCAUAUUGCUAACUAUUUGGUUACUGUUGAAGUUCCAAGUGAGUGGAAAGCAUAGGACAGGAAGCACUUCUUUGCAAAGAUUCAUGAUUAUUAUUGGGAAGAGCCCUUUAUUUUCAAGUAUUGUGCAGAUCAGAUCAUAAGGAAGUGUGUCCUUGAAGAAGAGCAACAAGGAAUCCUCAGCCAUUGCCAUGAGAAUGCAUGUGGAGGCCACUUUGCCUCUCAGAAAAUAGCCAUGAAGGUGUUGCAAUCAGGGUUUACUUGGCCAUCACUUUUCAAAGAUUCCCACAUCAUGUGUAGGAGUUGUGAUAGAUGCCAAAGGCUUGGGAAGCUUACAAAAAGAAAUCAAAUGCCCAUGAACCUCAUCCUAAUAGUUGAUCUUUUUUAUGUUUGGGGUAUUGACUUCAUGAGACCUUUCCCAAUGUCUUUUGGUAACUCUUAUAUAUUGGUGGGGGUGGACUAUGUUUCUAAAUGGGUUGAGGCAAUCCCCUGUAAACACAAUGAUCACAGGGUGGUUAUCAAAUUUCUUAAGGAGAACAUCUUCUCAAGAUUUGGGGUACCCAAGGCCAUAAUCAGUGAUGGAAGUACUCAUUUUUGCAACAAACCUUUUGAAACCCUAUUAGCCAAGUAUGGAGUGAAGCAUAAGGUAGCUACACCUUAUCACCCUCAAACUUCCAGGCAAGUGGAGUUAGCAAACAGGGAAAUCAAGAGCAUAUUGAUGAAAAUGGUGAUUACAAGCAGAAAAGAUUGGUCUAUUAAGCUUCACGAUUCAUUAUGGGCAUAUAGAACAACUUAUAAGACUAUUCUUGGCAUGUCUCCCUAUCGUCUAGUCUAUGACAAAGCAUGUCAUCUCCUUGUGGAAGUUGAAUAUAAGGCUUGGUGGGCAAUCAAGAGGUUGAACAUGGACUUGAUCAGAGCCGAGGCAAAGAGGUGCUUAGACCUUAAUGAGAUGGAGGAAUUAAGAAAUGAUGCUUACAUCAAUUCCAAAGUUGCAAAACAGAGGAUGAAGAGGUGGCAUGAUCAACUAAUCUCCAACAAAGAAUUCCAAAAAGGACAAAGAGUCUUACUCUAUGACUCAAGGCUCCAUAUCUUUCCCGGGAAGCUCAAGUCAAGGUGGAUAGGUCCUUUCAUUAUUCACCAAGUGCAUCUCAAUGGAGUGGUGGAAUUACUGAAUUCCAAUGGCACAUACAUCUUUAAAGUCAAUGGUCAUUGUCUCAAGCCAUUCAUUGAGUCAUUCAAGCAAUAAAAUGAGGAAAUCAACCUCCUUGAGCCACAAAAAGCCUGAUCAGAGAAGGGUUAGAUGGACUUGGUUUCACCAAAGUCCAUAUUUUUGUUUAAUUAUGUUAAUUUAUAAACUUUGUAAAUUGUUUUGAUUUUAAUUUUGGUCUUAAAUCGUGUUAAUUAUAUGUAACUUAAUCUUUUUGAAUGAUCAAAAUUAGGAGGAAUUGCAAGGAAAUUGAAAGUAGGAAGCUAGGAAUCAAGAGGAACUCAAAAACAAGGAGAAAGCAUGGUUUGCGAAAUUUUGUAGCCUAAAGUGGGCCCCUGCGAAAAUCACAUCCCACUACGAAAAAAUUUCGCAGCCCUCAGGAGCCGCUGCGAAAAUCCCCCCAUUGCUGCGAAAAUCGAUUCUCGUUGCAAAAUAGUUUCGCAGCCGCCUAGCGCCCUCUGCGAAAAUUUUUGCAGGUGCGGAGAGACCCCUUAUCACACGAGUGCCAUUUUGCAGCCAAGUACACCCGUUUCGUAGCUGUGAAAUGGUUGCAAAAUCUCCACGCCUUGAAAUCCUCCAUUUCGUAGCCGAGACACCAUUUCGAAGAGUGUUUCGCAGCUGCGAAACCACCCUUUGGCACACGAGUGCCAUUUCGCAGCGUUGUACGCCCGUUUCGCAACUAUGAAAUGGGCUGCGAAAAUGAUGCCGAAAUUCCCCUCACUGCGAAAACGCCCAGCCGCUGCAAAAUCCACAUCCCCUCGCUGCGAAAAGUCCUGUCUACUGCGAAAAGGAAUAGUGACCCUUGGUGUCCCUUUUAAACGGUAUAAAUUCCAUUUUUCCUAUUCUAAACGGUCAUUUGAACUUCAACAAAGUACCAAGAGGAGCCAAGCCAGAGCACCCUGCCGUCUGCCUCCUCCGCCUGAGCAAGCUGCGCGCAUCUUCGGCCAUUUUCGCUGAUACCGCCAUGGCCAAAACUCGAGGAGCUAAGUCUUCGUCCCCAUCGACUCGCCUGAGAAUCCCAAGAGACACGCCUGUCCAAGAUUCCACCUCUGAGCUGCCACGGCCUCGCCUCGUCCCACCUCCGGUCCAGGACGCACCUACCAGUCCUCCGCCCAGGCGCUAUAAUACAAGGAGAUCACUUACCAUCAUCGGUGUGAGUUCUUCCAGAGGCCAAAAAUCAAGUACCGAUCCCUAAAAGAAGAAAGCCAAGGUCUCUGAGCCAAUUGAUUUGACAGAGUCAUCUUCAGAGCCUAAAUCAGAGCCUACGCCAUCUCCACCGCCUGCCAAAAAGUCUCCACCACCUGCCAAGAAGCCUCAGCUAUCUCAGACACCAGCAAGAGAAUCUCAAAUUCCCUCAGGCAUGACUCCUGAGGUAGCUAUCAAACGCCCCAUGGUCAUACAACCGCCAAUUGAAGGAAAUUUGGAUUGCAGAGCAAGGCCAUUCCACUCUGAGCUCUGUUUUGACAUAGCCACCUUCAGAAUUCAGCCUGAGCUCAGGGAGUCCUUUCGUCUGCUACAGAGGUAUCAUAUGGAGCAUUUGCUGACUCCUAGGGAUUUUUUUAUCCCUGUGUGGCAUUGGACUUCUAUUAGUCCAUGACCACAAACCAGGUCCGAGAUCCUACAGUCAUCCAUUUUACCAUAGACGGACGACAUGGUAUUUUGGGAGCUCGACAUAUAGCAGAGGCACUCAAUAUCCCCUAUGAGCCAGCACGUCCAGAGGAUUUUCGAGCUUGGACUCAUCCUUCACAGAGUAACAUCGUUCAUACUCUGUCCAGAGGAGCAUCCUCACGCCAUUACAUCCUGAGGAAGGAGCUUCCCCCAAGCAUGUUCUUCAUUGAUGCACUCCUCCGCCAUAACAUUUUCCCACUUCAGCAUUGGGUGCAGAGGAGAGGAGUUUUGCUGGAGGCAUUGUAUAGGAUCUCUGAGGGAUACUUCUUUGGCCCUCACCAUCUCAUCAUGGCUGCUCUUCUAUACUUUGAAGAGAAGGUGCAUCGAAAGAAGCUGCUCCGAGCGGAUGCCAUUCCACUCCUCUUUCCCAGACUAUUAUGCCAUAUAUUGGAGCACUUGUGAUACCUAGUAGAGCCUCAGCAUGAGCGUAGACAUAUUUGUCGAGAGAUUUUCACUCUCGACAAAUGGACCAGUAUGACAGCUUAUGAUGGUGUAGACUAAGGAGCACCAGCUGGACCAUAUCAUCCAGAGCAGCCAGAGGAGCCAGUUGACAUACUUGCUGACACUCAGCCACUUGCCCCUGCAGUGGCCCCUACAGAGCAUAUACCAUAGGUUGCAUCCUCUGCUCCUCAGGCCACACCACAGCCUCCCCCUGUUAUUCCACCUAUUUCAGAGUCAUCUCCUUCAGUUGAGCUAAGGAUAACUAUACCCAUUAUCGAGUAUAGAGGCCUAUGCCACACUUUUCAGGCAUUGGCCACUUCUCAGAGCAUCCUCACUCAGCAGAUGACAACCCUUCGUGCUCAUCAGGAGCAGAUUAUUGCCACUUAGGUCCAGCACACUGCCAUCCUAAGGCAGAUUCAACACCAUCUCGGCAUUAUAUUAGCUCCUGAGCAUGCCAUUCCUAGCCCACCAGAGCCAUCACAGGCCCCUUCUUUCAUGCAUGAGACUAUGCCUCCUGAGGAGCCCACUACAGGAGAGGUAGGGGCAGCUGAGCCAUCAUCUCCACAGCAUCCUCCACCCACCAACUGAUCAUUUUGAUAGUUUCUUUUAUAUAUAUUUCGAUUAUGUAUUUCGUUUAUGUAUUUCCUUAUCAUAGUAGCACUUGAAAUCCCAUGCUUUUGAUAUUAUAUACUGGGAUUACUUGUAUUAUUUGCUUUCAUUUUGUACUCACAUGAAUUAAAGUAAUACAAAUCUAUCACUUUUUGAUCACUCUUAGCAUUAUUUUAUUCUUAUUUCCUCUACUCAUAUCUUUUAUUCUUUUUGAAACAUGUGGUUUCUCCAAUCAAUACUCGAAAUUGAUAUCACUCAAGAGGUACCACUUCCUCCCUAUAAUCUUAAUCGCUCAUGCCACAUUGAGGACAAUGUUCAGCUUGGUUGGGGGGAGAGUUGAGGAAGGAAGUUUUUUGUUAUUUAUGCUAAGUUAUUUUGGUAAUUUAGUUUAUUUUUGGUUUAAUUUUAAAAUUUUUUAAAGUUUUUAUUCUAAUCUCCAUGGUUCCUAAGGAAAAAUUUUCAAAUUAAAAUGGGAGAAAUUGAAUUUUUGUUUUUCAUUUGACUUAGAGUUUGUAUUAUGCUUACUAAAGUUGAUGAAUUGUUGAAACUUCUAUUGAAUUCAAGCUUAGUUCUUCCACUUUAAUCUAUUCACACACUAUGCACAAUAGGUUCCGAUUAUAAGAUGAGAAACUAUUUCCUCUUGACUUGGGAAAAUUUUAGACUUGGUACCUUUGACCUCAUUUAAUAGUGUUGGGACACCUUAUAAAAGGCCAAUGAGUCUUUGAAGAAAAAAAAAGAGAAAGAAAGAAAAAUGUUUGCUUGCCUUGAAACCCGAGCAAGGUCUGAGGGGUAUAUGGUGAAAAUCUUUAAAACCUGGUGCCCUAAGCCUUCAUUGGUUGGGAGUCACUGACCUCAACGCUCGUUACAAGGGUGAAUAGGUGGAGUUUAACAUGUUGUAGGUGCUUGGGUAUAAAAUUUCAUUCUCAAAAGUCUGGGGUAAAAUCCGAGGAGUUAGUGGUUGAAAGAUCCUUAAAGCUUGAUGCCCUAAACCUUAAUUGGUUGGGAGUCAUCGAGACAUGGACAAUUUAGAAAAGAAUACCUUUAAGCCUUGUACUCCUACAAUGAAAAAAAAUGGUGAAACAAAAGGGUACGUUCUUAGCCUAUUGAAUUUGGUCAGUUUGCUAAGUGUUGAAAAAGAACUAGGUUGGGGGAGAGAUUAGUUUAGCAUACUAUAUUCGGAAACUAUCAACUAACACUUAGACUUUUGUGGAAAUGAUUUUAAAGCUUCAAUUUGCAUAAUGCCUUCUCUUUAUGAAUUGUGUUUAGCAAAGUAUUUGAUAACUCUUGUUGAAAUUUGAGUUUAUAUUUCUUUAAUGUUCCAUGUGAGAGUUUGAUCAUCAUGCCACUUAAAAUUUUUUGGAAGUGAUACGCAUAAUCUUGUAAAGUAUAUUACUUUUUAGUACUUUCUCUCUCUUUUUUUUGCUAAAGGACUAGCAAUAUGUCGGUUGGGGGCAGUGAUUACUACUCAAAAAGUGCUAUUUGAUGAAUUUAGCAAAAAGCAGUCUUUUAGACCUAGUUUGACAACUUCCACAGGUUUGUCCUUGAGGAUGAUACCUGGAGUACUACAAAUGUCGUAAAGACUCAUUCUUUGAUUUUUCUUAGCUAGAGUUGCUACGUAAUAUACAAAAGACCUUUUUUUUUGUUUUGUUUUCUCUUUUUCAAAACAACGUCAUUUUGAUGCAUUUUGCAUUGAAACAACGUCGUUUUAUCCCUUAAACCCACCCCCUUCCCUUCUGCCUAGGCAUCGCUACUCUGUGCCACUGUCACUCCCUUUCAACUCUAGUCCCACGACGUCACCGACCUGGCAAUGACAUCAUCUCGGCGACACCAUCCCUACCAUAAGUUGUAACAUUGAAACUUUCCAUACUUUUGAAACUUUUAAAGUUUUAAUAUAGAAAUAUCAAAGUCUAUGACUAAAUUUUUUGCUAUAAUUUUGUGAAUUUUAAAUUUGAUCAUUAAAUUAUUCAAAGAAAUCUUGAUCUUUGAAUUGCUUUAUAUACAUAUAAGUAUGUUAUUAAUUGAGAAUACCAAUUAUAUACAUAUAAGUUAAUUUGUCAUUGAUUGAAAUGGAGAUAUGUGAUAAAGAAAAGUUGUUUUUUUAGUAUCAUAGUUAAAUUAAAAAAUAAUAAUAAUAAGAUAGUGAAUUAGUGAUUCAAUAAUAUAUGAAUAUUUCAAUCUUAGCAUUUUAUAAGUGUGGUUAAAUAUGAACUAUAGAAUAAAAAUACAAAGAAAUAAUAUUUAAAUACAAAAACACAAGAUUAUAAGUCUUUCACUCACAUUUUUAUAUUUUUAUUUUUAUUUAUUUUAUUAGUUUAUUUCCAUUAUUAUUUAUUUUAAUUUUACAAUUGUAAAUUUUAAAAUUUUAUGAUUUUUAAAAUGUAUAAUUUUAAUUUUAAUUAAUGAAAACAUUGUAAUUUUAAAUAAAUUUUUGAAUACAUUUUGUUACUUAGAAUUUAUCAUUUUUAUUUCUAAAAUUAUUUUAAUUUUAAUAAUAUAUAAAAUAUAUAUUUAUAAUAUCACAUGUUCGACCGCCAAUCCAACCAAUGAAUUGUGAAUCGAUAAUUUUUUUGGUUCAAUGACUAGUCUGAUUCUAAAAACAUUGAAAUUAAUUGUGAAAGGAAGACCAUUGAAAGUUGAAACUCCAUUGUGGGCCCUUAUCCCACCAUUGAUAGCUGCUAAGAUCUGCCAAACUUAAUUAGAAAUGGUGAGGGGUUUUGAAAGUUGGAGAAAGCGAUGGGAUUGAGUUUGAAUUUUCAAGAGACAGCAAGCUCUGCUUCACCUAUUAACAUUUAAACCCAAUUUCUCAAUUAAAAUAAAAUAAAAUAAAAUAAAAUAAAAUUUUAAAAAUUUUAUAUGCAAGUUAGAUGAAAAAUAAUUUAUCAUAUAUUAGUAAAAUUGUCAUUAAAAAAGAAUGAAUAUGACUAAGAUAGACUAAGAUAAGUUUUUUUUUUCCACAUUUUGUUCUCUUAUUUUUGAAGUAAAUUUAUAAUUUAUUUAAUGAAUUCUUACUAACAAAACCAAUCAAAUAAUAUAAAAAUCACUUAAUUCAAUAAGAAAUGAAUUUACAAUAUAAAGUUCCAAAAUCCAAACCGAGAUUUAACUACAUGGUAUCAUAACUCAUUCAAUUUUCAAUAAAAUUGUAAUAAAAAAAUGUACCAUAAAUGAAUUUAUUACAAAAUUUUAAAUUUAGCUCCUUAUAAUACAAUAAAAUCAAAAGAAAUCAAUUCUCAUCAAUUUUAAUGAAUUUUCUCUAAUUAAAACUCUAUAAUUCAAGUGCAUUUAAAUAUCCACUGGAGUUAAUAAUUUUAAUUAAUUUUAAAAAAUCCUAAAUUAAUUUUAAAAAAUCAAAAGUUAGGAGGUGAUGUCUUUCCCUAAAUUAAAAAUCCAAACAUUAAAGAAUUAAUCCGAAUAAUCAAACAUAUGUUUCAAUCACAAAUUCAUAAAUUUAAAGAUGUAUCACAUAAAACUGCUAAGUAAUUAAUACAACUUAAUUUAGAAAAUUUUCAACACUUUAUUAGUAAUCAAACAUAAUUAAAGAAACCCUAACCAUCAAUUAAUUAUCAAUUUCUUAACCAACUAUAUAAUUAAUUAUUAUAAACUUUUGUUAUUAUAAUAAAUGAAGUAUUUAAAAUAUGUUAAAUUACUUUUUUUUUUCAAAUGAUUAGUUUUCGAAUAUUUGUAUUUGAAUUACAUAAAAUGAGAUGACACAUAAUCAUUGAAUCUUAGUGGUUAUUUUUAGCAUAUAAAAAUAAAUAGAUUUAAAUAAUUUUUAAAUAUAUUAAAUUAUUAUUUUUUUAAAUGAUUAAUUUUCAAAUAUCUUUAUUUCAAUUAUAUAAAAUUAGAAGAAACAUAAUUAUUAAUAUCAUUAUAGGGUGUUUUUAGCAUAUAAAAAUAAAUAAAUUUAACAGCUAGUGACGUUCUAAUAUCAAUAAAUUAUAGAACUUUAGUGUUUAACAGUAUUAAAAUAUAUAAAAGGUGUAAUCUCGAAAGGACAAUAGUCCAAUGUUUUCAAAGUUGAGUUGGUCCUUCAAUCAUAAAUAUUACUGAAUUAUGUAUAAUAUAUAAUACCAUGCAAUAUCAUAAAUAUAUAAUUUAUAUUUUUAAAAAAUAAUAUAUAUAACAUUAUAAAACUUAAUAAUAUUUCAUCUUUUAUAUUUAUUUAGUAUUAUCAUAUUAAAUUAAGAAUGAAUAUAAAUAUAUUAAAAAUAUUAUUAAGUAAGACAUGCAUAAUAUUUAAAUAUGAAAAUAUAUUCAACCUUCAAAAUCAUACCAAAAUGAAAUAGGGAGAAUUACCCUUAAGGGUAGGCUGGGGAAAAAAAUUACCAAGAAGGGUGGGUAAAUUUGAUAAUUCUUCUGAAGGCCUGACAUUUUUAUUAGACCAAUUUACCCUCAAUUAAAUUCUAAAAUUAUAAUUUAUAACGAAUAAAAGAAUUGAAAAAAAAAAAAAGACUAUCGUUCCAAUGUCUUCCCUUUCGCAUCUUCUCGUCAAAGCUUCCCUUUCGCAUGAUCUGGGUGGCUGCAUUUCCUACCCCUUUAGAAAAGCCUUGUCCUCAAGGCUAAAAUAGAGGAAACUUUUGUUGCAACUUAAAUGCAUGCUCCCACGUUGCAACUUACAGAAAGGAAUUUGACCAUUGAACCAGCCAUUGUGUCACCAGACGAUUAUUCCAUUUGGAUCUGCCUCUGGAAGUCCGCGGGAGACACCACUGGAUCUCCAACAACAUGGCGAUCCUCCGAUCCUAGAUCCGAUCUCACUGAAUAAUCCUUGGGAAGCACAUCUGGAACCAUGGGUGGAGGCGUUGGAUCCUACAAUUUCACGGGGGAGGGGGGGCGGAGCGAGCCCUUUAUCCAACCCAAACAGAAAAUCCGGAUUGGUCUCGGAGGCCGCCGCCUGAGGUGAAGAACCUUCCAGAGGCUGGAUCUGCACAAAAGCCCCACUAGUCCAAGGUAAAGUCCUCACAAAGCCUUCCAAAUCCAUCCCAAUCCCCCAAAAUAUUUCAUUUCAAAGCCCCCAUAUUUAUAUUUAUGGCGUUUCCACCUUGAGAUCAGAAGCAAUACAAAUCUUUAUUUGUUACAUUCUACUUAUUUCAUGCUUUGCCCUAGGUGUUUUGGGUUUGGGUCUGUUUGGUUGCUGAGAAAAUUUAGGAAAAAAAGAAAUAAACUUGGGGUUUAAUUUUCAAUUUUUGAGUGCAGGGAAAACGGAAAUAAAUUGGUUGCUGAAAAAAUUUGGGAAAAAAAGAAAUAAACUUGGGGUUUCAUUUUCAAUUUUUGAGUAUAGGGAAACCCAAAAACGGAAAUAAAAAAAGUCAACUCACCAGGGUUUUUCUUUUGUUUUGCUUUUCGUUUUCUCAGGAACCAAACGGUGGGCGAUUGCAAGGCUUUUCUUUGGCCGAGAGUGGUUUUGUGCUUUGCUUGGGUGGUGGGAAAAAGGUAAGGAAAGAAAAGAAAUUGAUGUCUUAGAAUAUUGAGUUUCUCAUUUUCUGGGACCUGGAAGUAAUUGGCUCAGCCGAGAUGUUUCAUCUUCCAGGAAAUGGAGACAAUUAUAUACUUAAUUGCCUUUCAUUUGUUGCAAACUAAAUUGAGGCCUAAGGUUAAAUUGUUCUUGUCUCACUGAAAUGGAUUUAGCUAGCAAAAUAGUUCCAGGACUUUAUCUUUUGCUUAAACAAUUUAGAAAAUGAAAGAAAUUUGGAGUCUUAGAUUUUUCCUAGGGCAUUGUUUGGUUACUGAGAAAACAAUAAAGAGUAAAGAAAAGAAGAAAGAAAAAUUGAAAGCACGUGUCCUCCGUUUUGGUUCCCACAAACCCACAAUUUGACCACACAAAGUAUUGUAAACAACUUCCUACAAAACAUUAAAAUUUCUUUAGAAGUUAGAACACAUGGAAGCAAAAAAAAAAAUGCAACACCUUUUCUUAUUUAUUUAGUGUUGUCGGCAAUCAAAUCUAAGUUAUAGUUAUAUGGAUUCCUAAUACAUAUAGUUGGAUGAUAUAUAUGAAUUUUGAUAUAAGUGAAAACACGUAAACUCCCGAAAAUUCUUAAAAAAGUAAUACAAAUUAAAAGUUAAAGCCUUCAAUUUUUUUUUUUUAAAAAAAUAACAUAAAGAUAAUUUUGGCAAAUGUUAUUGGCUUACCGCAUUAAAAUUUCUUUAGAAGUUAGAACACUUGGAAGCAAAAAAAAAAAUGCAAGACCUUUUCUUAUUUAUUUAGUGUUGUCGGCAAUCAAAUGUAAGUUAUAGUUAUAUGGAUUCCUAAUACAUAUAGUUGGAUGAUAUAUAUGAAUUUUGAUAUAAGUGAAAACACGUAAACUCCCGAAAACUCUUUAAAAAGUAAUACAAAUUAAAAGUUAAAGCCUUCAAUUUUUUUUUAAAAAAAAAUAACACAGAGAUAAUUUUGGCAAAUGUUAUUGGCUUACCGCAUUAAAAUUUCUUUAGAAGUUAGAACACGUGGAAGCAAAAAAAAAAAUGCAAGACCUUUUCUUAUUUAUUUAGUGUUGUCGACAAUCAAAUGUAAGUUAUAGUUAUAUGGAUUCCUAAUACAUGUAGUUGGAUGAUAUAUAUGAAUUUUGAUAUAAGUGAAAACAUGUAAACUCCCGAAAAUUCUUAAAAAAGUAAUACAAAUUAAAAGUUAAAGCCUUCAAUUUUUAUUUUUUUAAAAAAACACAGAGAUAAUUUUGGCAAAUGUUAUUGGCUUACUGCAUUAUAAUAUUUUUUAAGCUUCCUGAUUUCCUCAUGCAGAAAAGGAUAAUGGAAAAUAGUGCCAUGGAAGGGCAUAAUAUGCAAUUACUAGUUAACUCAGAAAUUUGGUCUUUAAUUAAUUAUAAUAUUUGCAUAUUCUUUUCUUUUGUUUUAUUCUAAUUUGGGGGAAUUAUUACAGUCCCCGAUUCUCAUAUUCGUAUGACAAUAGACCUUUUAAGUAGUGUGAAUGGCUAAGGUUUAGGAUUGUGUUUCCAAUAUUGUCUUAGGGUAUAUUGGACAUUAAUUUUUAAUGCAAACAAAAUAUCAUCUCUUUUUCUGCAUUUCAAUUCUUUCGAAUUUAAUAUAUAUUCUUGGGAGCUGUCAGACACCAUAUUGGAUGGCCAAGGGACAUAGCAUAUGAAAAAAUAAACAUAAAUAUAUUAAAUUAUAUUGUAAUAUAUUGUAACGUUAGUGUAUUUGUAUUGUAAGUAUAAUGCAUUUAUGUUGUACCUAGUUUGUAUAAAUUAUAUAUGAUUUAAAAGGUUAGCCAUGAUGAGCAUUAACAAUGUGUACAUAUUGGAUUACCAUCAAACAACUUAAAUUUGUUAUCCACUAAUACAAUGGCUCUGUGUGUUUUUAGUAGCAUGUAUGUAACUGUAUUUGGGAUCACUAAUAGUAGUUAAACCAAAAUAAAUAAGGGUAGAAUACAAAUGCCCUACAUUUACAAUACAAUUGCACUAGAAGUACAACAUAUUACAACAUUACUUGAUUCAUUAUACAUUUAAUUAUGACAAUUGAUUAUUUGAUAUAAAUUCUAUAGUGCAGUAUGGAGUAUAAUACAUGGAUAAAAGGAAAAAAACAAUACAAUACAACCAGGUUUGAACAUUCUUUUAAUUAGUAUUAUUUUAUUUUGACUAUAUUAAUGUUUGACAUUGUUGUUUAAUUUGAUUGUUUUAAUUUUUAUUUUAUAUUAUCAUUUAUUUACUUUUAUAGGAGGUCAAAAUAAAUAGUCGAUGCUCCAGCAAAAAACUUAGACAUCUACUUGAUGAGCUAAGUGAUGAAAAGAAGAGUACAAUUCAACAUAUUGGCUUUGGUGGAUUACUUCAGCUCUCUUCCACAGAGAUAAGGGAUAGCUUAUGUAGAUGGAUAGUAGCUCAUUUCAAUAUAGUCCACUGUAGGUUAGACAUAGGAUAAGAAAGGCAAUUUCCAAUAACUUGUUCUGAUGUAGGUGAAAUUCUGGGUAUUCCAUAUAUUGGUAGGAGGCUCCUACUUUCACCUACCAAUAGGAAUAAUAGGAUGGAAAACCUAUCAAAUCUUAGAGAUAGGCUGAUUUUAAUGGAAGACAUGGCCGAGUUCAAAAAAUUGUUUAUCUUCUUCUCAUGUGCUACAUUACUUGCUCCAACAUCAAAGUUGGAUGGUAGUCAUGAGUUGUGGUGUACUUUGCUUGUUGGAGACUUUGACAUCAAUGUUAAUUAGGGUCAAUUUGUACUUGACACACUGGUUGCUGGAAUUAGACAUUUUCGAUUGGGUAAAGGCUCAUGGUUUACAGGUUGCCUUAUUUUUUUACAGGUAGAUACCUUUUUUUAUUAAAUGCUGAAGGUUUCCAUAUCAUUUUCUAUGUUUUAACAAGUCUUUUCUAAAUAACAUAUUGAUGUGUGGAAUAUUUGUGUUUCAGCUUUUUUAUGUAAAUAAAUUUUACAUUCCAACCAUGUUGGUGCCACGUACCAUCCCAAUAUGUGCAGCGUGGACUGAUGACUUGAUGAAGAAAAGGGUGCAUGCAGAAUUGCAUGAUUAUGGUGAUUUUGGACUAGCUGAUGUAAGGGACAAUUUUCUUUCAACAUUUUCUUUUAUUUUCAUAUUUGAAAAAUAAAUUUAUAAAAAUUAUAUAUUCUUCUUUUUAUUAUUGUAGGUUCAAGAAGAUGAAAGGAGGGAAGAUGCACAUGAAGACCCUGGUAAUCCAGUAAAUGAAGUUAAAGAAGUGACUACUGAUGUGAGAACCUUCUACAUCUAUUCUUUUAUUUAAAGAGAAAACCAAACACGUUAUGCAUAAUAAUAUACAUCUUUGACACUUUGUACCAUUUUGUAGGAAAUUAUAGCAGAAUAUAAUGCAGCGGAGAAACAAAUUCACCAAUUGCUUCGAACAAUGAGAGGAGCAAUUGAUAAACUAGCAAAGCGGCAGAAUACAAAUAAAACCCCAUCAUUUUCUCAUCAAAGCAGAAGUCAUAAUCAACCUCAUAUCAAUGAUUCUUUCCCAUCACCACCACAUGGUAGUACGAUUUUUAUAGCACUAGUCAUUACAAUUUUGUAUUACUUUUAAUUUAAUUGCAAAUGUUGUAUAAUUUUUUUUUUUUGGAAAAAUUAAUUUUGGUUAUUAUGCAUUCUGAAAUUAGCUUAUGGAUCGCCACUGAAUGAUCGUUUUGCUCAUGGUGAAGAUAAUGCAGGCCCAUCGACCUCACAACCAGCAGCGCAGCAUAACAGUAUACUUUCUGCUUCUUUAUGUUUUAAUAUCAAAAUAAUAAUGAGUAUAUAAUAAUGGCUAGUAUUUCCUGUGCGUGUUAUUUUCAUUAAUGAAUUUUAUUUUCUCUUAUUUUCUAUACAUACAGUGGAGGAUGAAGUUCAGAUGAAUGCUAUUAUUCCUUACGAGACUGGACAUCCUCCAAUACGUUCAUAUCGACUACAUCGACAUGCUACUGCCCUACAAUCACCAUACGUGGUACAACCGUCAAUCAAAUUUUCAGCGUCUUCAUCUGUAGCAAAGCAAGUUUUGGCAUAUGCAUUGGACGAUACACGUGAUGAAAGGUAAGGUUGAACUUAAUUUAGUAUAAACAAAUACAAUUAAGAUAGGCAAUUGAAAUAAUUAGUUUUAAUUUCUAACAUCAUAAUUAUUUAUGUGUAGCCAAAUAUUAUGUUCCAUGCACAAUUUCUUCUUGACAAGGUUUGACUUGAAAUGCUUGGGACCCGACAAAUUGGUUGACAAUAAGGUAUUCAUAUUUAGUUAUGUGAAGUUAGGAUAAAAUUACUCUAAAACUAUAUAUCUAAUUUUCAUUAAUUUACAUGAAGGUUGUAACCAUGCAUUGUCGAAUUUUGAAUGGUAUGGAUAAAGAAAAUAGGAAGCAUUUCUUAUCUCCAAACUUUGUGGUAAGAUAUGUUGUAAGAAUUAUAGAUUGGUUUUCUUGUUUUACGUAGAUUGUUUUAAUCUAAUGUAUGGUUUGUAAUUUUUUUUAUUACAGUCUGAUGUGGAAAACAAGAGGGGUUCCUUAUCUCCAAAAUACAUAUGUGACAAUUUAUGGAAAUAUUUCAAAAAUACUCGGUUGUGCACAUAUGAACAGGUUUUAUUUAGUUUAAUAAAAGUACUUUGUAGUUGGAUAUUUUUAAGUAUUGUGCAGAAAAUACAUGAACACAACUAAUUUGAUAAAAUCAUUGUUUUAUUUUUUAUUUUUUUUGUUCCUUUUAGUUGUUCAUACCAAUAUGCAGGAAAAAUCACUGGUAUUUAAUCAUUUUGAAUAUUCAUGCGAAAAGAAUCGAGUUGUUGGAUUCAUUAAUUGACGGAAGGAAAAAACGGAUGGAUGCCUUCAUAGAGAAACUAGUAAAUAUAGUUAUAGUCCAAUUACUUAUGUGAAUCGUUGUCAUUAUUUUUUAAAGAUGUCCAUAUUUAUAAUUGUAUAUUGUGUUAAGGUGAACGUUUUGUCAACUGUCAUUGGGAUUCAAGAAAGAAGACCAUCAGUGGACAUGACAGAAUUUGAAUUUGUUGUUCCAGAAGUUGUCCAACAAUUGAAUCCGUAAGUUGCAAGAUUUGUAUUCCUCUUUAACUAUGGAAAGCAAAUCAGGUUAUAAAAUUACUAAUUUGAUACCCAAUUGACUUAUAAUUUCCUUAAUUACUAUUUGCAGAACGGAUUGUGGCAUAUUUGUAAUCAAGUUUAUGCAAUUAUGGAGUAACGGUGGACUUUCUCGUGCAAUUGCAAAUGUAUUAUAUUGUGGUGAAUAAAAUAUAUAUUUUUUUUUAUGAUCGUGAAUUUUUCUUAAUAUUAUAUUAUAUACUCUUUUGUACAGGACAAGGUCAUAAAGUACAGGGAAAAACUCCUAACACAACUGAUAAUGUCUCCAGAAAAUGAAGUCAGGGAAAAUGUAUACCAGGCUAUGGAUCAGUGAUGUUGUAAUUUUUUUGGUUUAUAGUUGUUGAUAUUUUUUUAUAGUUUAAUGGAGUUCCAUUUCCAAAUUUACUAGUCUGAUAUUUUUUUACAGAUUGGCUUACAUCAACUAAUUUGUUUGGAACUCAUAGUUGCUACUAUUUAUUAAUAAUUAUUGUUAUGGCAUCAUUUGUUUGUGAUCUUCAGAAUUGUUGUAGGCAUUGCACUGUCAACUCAUCAUUUCCCAAACUCCAUGGUAUCAAAUUGAUAUCACACAUUGAUAACUCCAACGCAUCAAUGAUAGGCCAAUCUGGGAUAACUUAGCUCAGCUACUUGGGUGAUCAAUUUUUUUUUUCUGCCAAAGCAGAAUUGAAAUAACAACAUCAAGAACAAAACAAAAAGACUAUCAUAUUUGUUGUACUUCACAAAGUUUGGGAUCAGACUGACGUGCAAAAAAUAUUCAGCAUGGCAAAAAAACCAUUAAGCCUAUGCUAACCUGUUUGAAUCUCUCAUCAUUUCCCAAACUCCAAAAUCUGAGAUUGAUUUCAUAAUUAUAUUGUCAUACAAUGAGAAAUCUAACCCAUAAAAUAAACACACAAUGAGGUCUAUUAUUAUAACUCCAACAACAUAAAAUUGCACAAUCACUGAUUCAUUGUAGUAAUUUUUUUUCACUGUAGUAAUAAACACACAAUGAGGUCUAUUAUUUUAUCUUAUUUUAAAAAAUUCCUAUUAAACAUAUUACAUUUUCAAGAAACCUAUAAGAGAGUAAUUUCAAGUAUUUCAAAGUCUUUAUAACUAAAUGACAAAAGGUUUUACACUCUAGUUUUGCAUGGUAAAAGCUACCAUUUUGAGUCCAUUUCAACGAAAAAAAUUAUUAAAAAAAUAGAAAAAUAAGAAAUAGAUUUUAAUUUAAUAAAUUAAAAAAUUAAUAUAAUUUAUUUUUACAGGCAAAUAAGUUUAUGAAUAAUUCUAUUCUAUAAUGUUUUCAGAUUGUUGCAAUUUUUUUUUUAAAAAAAAAAAAAUACAAUAGCUCAUUAUCAAAGCUAAGAAGACAUUUCUAAUUUGAGGUUACAAAAAAAAAAAAAAAAAAAAAUUAUUGAACCAUUAUAUAUAAGAAAUUGGUAAUCAACCCAUGAAAUUGGACUUUAUUUAGUCAAAAGAUUGCAUUGUUAGUUUAUGUUGUAAUUUAUCAUACAGUUAGUGUUUUUUUAUCGUAAUGUUAGUGAAUUUAUGUUGUAAAUGUAAUUAAAAAUGUAGGCAAAAUUGUGAACUAUUAUAAUUAAAAAUCUAAUACAAGUCCACAUAAUGGAGAUAAAUAACCUAUUACAAAUAACUCCAAAUACAAAUACAUCAAAGUACAAUACAAUUAAGCAUUACAUAUAUAAUCCAAAACUUAAUAGACAUGAAGUAAGUGUAUGAUUAAGCAAUUUUCAAACAUAGAACAAAAAAUAAAAGUAGUCCUACUACAAUUACUUUCUGCAUGAACUCAAUUCUUGUUAAAAUAUGUUUAAAAUCUUCAUCCACGCCAUACAUUCUUCUUUGAACAACCUCUUCUGGUUCUUGGUAGGUGUUGCCAUCACCAUUUCCUUCCAGGAAUGCCCAUUUAAAGAAAUGACAGUCAUCUCUAGUAUUUGCAUAUUGACAACAAUAAUAUAACCUAUUUGGGUUAUCCUUUGAUUCAGAGAUUCUAACAGCCGCCCUCUGUCUGGGUGAACAUUUACACAUACAAUUAUGAUAAAGUAGAUAUUCACCAUUUCUAGUAUUACCUCUUAUAUUUCUAAAUGAAGCACUUGAAGAUGCCAUGAUGUAACCUGUAUUUCAAUGGAAAACAAGUUAAACAAAUGUAAUGAACAUGUACAAAGUCAAUAAUGAUCUUCAAAAUAACAUUAAAAACAUGGUUACAAACCACCCUAAAUAAUGAUAAGAUCAUAAGUCUAAAAUAGUGGCAUAUGUAAUACAAACAUCUUUUUCAUGACAAUCAAGUAAAUAAGUAAGUUCCAAAACAAAUUCUUACAGAUUCUAAUUUCAUAAACCACACAUAUCAUCACAAUCAAAAUAAGAUAAAAAGUAGCAUGUCACCAUACAAGCAUAACACUAGAAUCAUGGAGCGGGUAAUGGAUUUUUGCAUGAAGCUCGAUUAUGGCCUGCAACUUGACAUCGUGAACAGAAGAUAAGCCUUUUUGAACAAAAUUGAGACUCUAUUUGACGGUGUCGAGGCCUUCCAGGUGGUCGUUUUGAGCAUAGAGGUUUAAGUGAAGGAUAUAAGCGACCUUGAGCAUCACGAACACAUCCAUCAGCAUCAACUAUAGGCAUAUUGUGAUUUGGAAUUGAAUUGAAGUGUCCAGAAUAUAUCAACUCUUGCAUUGGAAGCUUGAAAUAUGAGUCAACAUAUUCAUAAACAUCUUGUUUCAUCUGGCGUAUUGUUGCACAUGCAUGCUCACAAGGUAUUCCGGCCAUUUGCCAAGCCUUACAAGUACAUGUACGCUCUCUCAAAUUCACGUCUACAUAUACUUUCAUAUCGAAUACCUUAAACACACCACCAACAUAGGGAUAUACAGGCAAUGACCCACUCUUUAUAAUGUUAUCCAACCACUUUUCCUCGGUCUUUGGGCCAAUUGGAGCUUUCCAAUUUUCUGUAGUACCCAUAUGAUCACAUGCUAGAUGAGCAAACUUAUCCAUAUUUGUCAUUACUAAGUUGAAAACUGUGUAAUGACGUUCCUCCUUCAGCCAAGCAUUGAAUGAUUCAGCAAGAUUAGUUGUCAUCUUAUCCCACUGUUUUUUAGCAAACUUUGACAUUGCCCAAUGUUGUGGACUGUUCUCUUCAACCCACUUUGCUAGGUCACUAUUAUAUGUCUUUAAUUUUUCCAUGGCUACAACAUAAUCAUCAUCCAACCUAGCAUACACAACAUUAUCAAGUAGCAACAAUGCAUCCAUUUUACAUUUUUUUCCCUUCAUACUAUGCUUCGUCACAUAGCUACUAAAAUUCUCUUUCACAUAACGAUAACAAUAUGCAUGAUUUUCUACUCCAAAAAGUUGAGAAACAUUACGAAGGAUUGCUUGAUGCCUAUCUGAUAUUAUGACUACCUCUUUAUCUUGAAGUAUGCCCUUCAAUUUCUGCAAAAACCAUAGCCAAUCCUCAUAGUUUUCUGAACUUACAACACCAAAUGCAAUUGGGAACAUGCCAUCAUCAGCAUCAUAAGCUGUUGUAGAAAAUAAAGAGCCCCUAUACGAUCCACUCAAAUGAGUUGAGUCAAUUGCAAUAACAGGUCAACAACCCAUUAAAAACCCUUGAAUUGAAAAAGAAUGUGCAAUGAACAAUUGCCAAAAAUGCCCAUCUUGUCUGCUAUAUUCAACAAUCGUCCCUGGAUUAAUGUCUACCAAUCUUUGACAUAACCAUGGCAACAACAUAUAUGAGUUUUCUGGAAGACCAUAUAUUCUCUCUUUUGCCAUUUCUUUGUAUGUCCAAGCUUGCUUAUAACUCACUGAAACACCAUACCGACUCCUGAAGUCUUUGCAAAUUUGACGGGGCAAAUACUGAGGGGUUGCCCUUAUUACUUGCUCUAUGACACGAGCACCUCUCCUUCCCCGCAUUGAAGGUUGGCUUGAACACUCAACAUCUGCACAAUGAUUGUGUACAUCAAUGAAGAUGUUAACCUUCAAAAUUUUGGUUGUGCCUACUGAAUUAGCAGUUAUUCUCCAAGGGCACCCAUCCACUAAACAACACACAGAUAUUCGCUUUGGAGAGUUCUUUUUGAAUUUGCAUUGAAAUCUACCAACUAAUGACAUCGUAUAUAAUGCAUUUCUAAAUUUAUCUGCAUUAGGAAAACUAUGCCCACUCCCAAUAAUAGGUUGAGGACAAAGACUUAAAUCAUGUGGCAUAACUUCAGUUUCUGCACAUCUGGACAUGAAGCCUUGAGAAAGUCCUAAAUUAGACUCAUUGUUUGCUUGACAUGAUGCAGUUGAAUUGUGUGUUUCCUCCGUACUAUUGUGACUGCAUAUUAUAGCACACUCAGUAAUUAAUAUUAAAAGCACUUUGCAUCAUGGAAUUAAUGACAACUAAUACAAGAUAUAUCACUUACCAAUAAUCAUUUUGCACAUUGACUAUACCUCCUUCAACUUCUACUCUUCGAGUCCGUUUUAAUAAAUAAAUACGAGCAUAAUCAUAACUAUGGGAUAACAUCAUAUGCAUGUCCUCAUCAUCAUCCAACUGUUGAAGUGCAGAUGGAUCAAACUCAAGGGUGUAAUGAAAUGUAUAUCCAUUUGAAUUAAUAUUCAACCGUUCACAUGCCUUUAAAACAAAUUCAGCAUAUGACAUCCUUUGUCCAAUGUACAUGCCUUUUUGUUGUCCACCCUUGUAUUGUAUUUGUUUAUCCUCCUUAGGUACAAUCUCCCAUUCUUCAUGAAGGUAGCCAUAAAUGGAAUUUUCCAAGUCCAUUUACCAAUUCAGAAGUACGUCUUCUUUCACCGAUAAUCAAAUCAAUCUAUUUCACAAUAUUACAAUCAAUGAAAAUUUUACAACGAAUACAAAAUAAACAAAUGAAAAUUAUAAUCAAUUGAGACAUAUUUUAUAUAAUAAAUAACAAUAUUUGUUGUAUAUUAUACAUGUUAGGGAUAUGCCAAACAAAGAACCCAUAAUUGCCCAGUUUCAUAAGAAAUUUGACAUUUUCAAAAUUUUACCUUAUCGUAAUGUAUCGUAAUGUUAUUGUAUUUGUAUUGUAAUUGUAGUGUAUUUUUAUUAUACCUCUAUAUUUUUAUAUAAAAAAAAUUAAUUUUAUAGAUUUUUUUUUUAUCCAUCAUUGGAUUAUCAUCAACAACUUCAUGUAUUGAAAUUACAAUAGUGUAUUUUUGUUGUUGUUUUUUUUUUUAUAAUUUUGGCUUGCAAGGAUGCUUUAUGAUAGGAAUACAACAUGAUAGCCUAGAAAUGCCAAUUCAGUAAAAAAUAAUUCAAUAUUUUGUCAUUUUGGUAUAUUGUAAUGUAUCAUAAUGUUAAUGUUUUUUCAUUGUAACUAUAUUGCAUUUGUAUUGUACUUAUACUUUAUAACUGAAAUAAUGGUUCUUUUACACAACCUUCAAACUACUAGGCAUUCGACUCAUCAUACCAAAAUAAUACUUAUACAAAAAGGUAACAAAUUUAUAACAAAAAUAUAGUGAUCUUAAUUACUCUUUAACAAAUUCAUAAUAAAAGGCAAAAUGGUCUCGUACAAAGGGGAUUUCAGUUUUCAAUGACAAUCCAAAUAUGUUCAUAAAUACACAAACAAAGUGGUCCCAAACAAGCAUGAAACAACUGAGAACAUUUUUUCUUCAAUCAUGUCAAAAAGUCUUAACAACAAAACUAAAGUGCAAACCUGUUCAAUGGAAAUCAAUAAUAAUCAUAUCAAACAACCCACCCAGAAAAUAAAUUAAAAAUAAAAACACAUCUUCAAUAUGACCAAAAUAAUAUAAAAAAAUUCAAAAUAAUAAAUUUAAACAACAUUUAAAAAAAUGUAAUUUCUUUCUCAAAACCUCAUUCAAUAUUUCAGAUCUAAUAUCUUACAGCUACAUUGUUAAAAUUAUUAACUUUUCCUUCAUUCAAUCCGAUUUUUAAAUUAUUUAUUUAUUUUUCCAUAAACUGGCGUUUUUUUUGUAUUAAAAAAAAAAAAACUGACCUUUAAUGGAUUUCUUGCUAGAUUCACACAAAAAAAAAACAAGUUUUGUGUAAACAGUUGCAGAGAAUGACCUGAAGUGCUGGACCUUUUUCCUUUCUCUUUUUUCUUCUACAACACUGACAAGCUCCAGGUAGGUUAAAGAAAACUCUUUUUUAUUUUCUGUUGCUUUUCACUUAUUAAGGGUAGUAUUGGCAUUUAAACAAAAGGAAUUAUCAUAAUUUUACCCUACCCUUUACAAUAAUUAUCAAAUUUACCCACCCUCAUCAGUCAUAUUUUUCCCCAGCCUACCCUUAAGGGUAAUUCUCCCAAUGAAAUAUCAGCAUCCGACUCCCGUGCUACCAUUGAUACUGUUUUUGGUACCAUUUUCGGAACAUUUUCACCUUCCAAUAUUUGGAAUUGCUCACUUAAACCGAGGUGGGACAUAAGAAGGCAGACAUGAGUGAGUAGCUCCCCGCCUCGCCGGAGCUCCUGACCGUGUUGAAUCCAUCCACAAUGACUGGCAGCAUAGCACAACAUCUCCACCCACACCUCACUUACCAUCAUCCAUUUCUCUUCCACGCCCAUCUCCAUUUCCAAUGAUUUCAACGCUUUGGCAAGCCUACAUGCCUCGAAUAACACCGACUUGCUUUUAUCUCCUUUCACAUCUUUGGGCUCAACUUCCGUGUCAACUCCAAGCAACAAUGUGGAAGCUUCAAUUCUGUUAGAUAUGUUCUUGCUUCUUUGCUGGAAAAAUCUUUUGGCCUCUGCAUAAGUGUCUCGGAACCUAAACUCUCCUAUCCCUUUUGGCAGCAUAAAUGGACACAUGACUAGCAGAUACAACAUAUACUCAGACAAGCAUUUGCUUAUUUCGCAUCUUGACUUGAGAUUGGUAUCCGGCGAUUUGUCCACAUCACAAGGGUAACAGAGAUCUGUAGCAAUAUGCCAAAGGAGGAGGCUGUGAUCAAAUUCCACAUCAACUAUACUCCAACCGAGUCUAUCAAAAGACCCAUUUUUUCUGGUCACAUAAUCACCUCUACGUUUGAGUAGCGACUUGAGAUCCCUGACAUCGUUUGUCAUCUCUACGAGGCAGCUGAAGAUGGGUUCCUUCAUAUCAUAGACCUUCUCCCAAGUCAUGUACCAGUAUCUCCAAGAAUCUGUUCAUGUCAAAGAACCUGGGAACCUCAUCAAACUUGGUUUCGUCUCUGAGGCAAGAAUCGAUAAAGUUGUUCUGUGCCAUGCGUCUGGUCCAUCUCUUGUCACUCGUUAGAACCGAUCGAAAAGAGGUAAUGGCUCGGCAAAUGGAAUCAGUCAGGAAGCACUUCUUACUGCUCAACCAGGCAAUGGUCCAGUCAGACAAAAUCAGCAUAAUGAUAGCGUAAAUCUCCAGAAAAAUAGCUCCAAAGAGUAACGUGUAAGUAAUGUUGAUGUCAAUGUUUGAGAACUGGUGCUUAUGGAUAAAGAAGAAGGCCGCUAAGGCAGAAAUAGUGCACAUGAAACUGGCAGUGCGGAGAAGAAUGCCUAGUAGAGAAUAAACCACUUUUGCCUUGGUGUAGAGCACAUCAUACAAGAAACUAAGCUCCAUCUCUACCACUUUGAAGGCCUCUUCGAAUGACAAUUCCUUGAUGAUGCGCUCACUGGUUUGUUGGUCAUCCAAGCUGAGGAUGAGGUCUGCAUAUAGAUGUCUGAAUUGGUUCUUGAAUAAGAAAUAAGCUUUAUAAAUAUAUUUUCCACCCGGAAUAGUAAUGUCAUCACCAACGGUAGAUUGAAGUGGCUUUUCAACGAUCUCUUCUUUCCUGAUUCUAGCAACCUCCAUUUUGUCCUUCCAUGAACCAUAUUCCUUCAUGACAUCAGCAUAAUCAGGUCCAGGAUCAGGAACUGAAAGCAAAGAAUCUCUAAAGUGAUUCUUGCUUGCAGACCUCAGAACCCAGGUCCUCUCUCCAUACUUGAUAAUUCCAGCCACAACCAUUGGAAUGGACAGAAAUGUGGGUGGAGUCCCUGCCCAAGACCUCAGAAGCACGUAAAAAGCCACCCCAACUUGGACAACCAGUCCAAGCAAGUGCCUUAACCACAACUCAUUAUCUUCUAAAGAGUAAGCGGUGAUAGUAUCCGGGCCACUAAGGUGCAAGAGAAGGAACGGUACCCAAAAUGCCAUGAGGGUAUAGUUUGGAUCCAGAAGUUUACCUUGCGAAUCUCCUUGGCUUCUGGAGAGGGUACCAAGGGCUACUGUGGCCACCCAGUCUGCAGCCAUGUAUGCCGACCAAAUCAGGAUUCUGAUCCAAGGUCUAAAUGUGUACUUUCGUCGGUUGCUAAAGAUGAUGAGGACAAUUUGUAGGAAGAGGCUGAAUAGAACCAUCAAGCGUAUCUCCCCUUCAUUCCAAAGUUUGCGUAUGCUUUCUGGGAAUGUCUGUAUUGCUCGCCCCUUCUCCGUCAAGAUCAAACUACUAGCAACUAAAAUUCAAAAACAUUAGAGCCAGAAAUGAAGAAUAAAAGAUAGAUUGUUGGAAAAAUAAUAUCAACUUACAUGUGACUAGCAUUGUUACGUUGGGUGGUUUUGCACGCUAAGAAGUUAAGCGAAGCUCAACUACAACAGAUUUUGGCAAGUAGUUUUUGACGUCAUAUUCCAAUCUGACUGCCUCACCUUGUGCCCAUAUAUAUAAGGGAAAAGUAGAGAGAAUCACAAGUGUAGGACAUGGUGUGACACUCGCAUAAAAAAAAGGGCAUCAUAUGCAACUACAUGUUAUUUUUAUUCUUUUUCUAAUUCAUGAAGCAUUUUAGUUAAAAAGAUUCAAUUAAUGUAUUUAUUUAUCUAAGCUAAAUCAUUUUUUUCUUUUUCAAUUAAAUUUAAAUUUUUGAAUCAAUUUAGUUACAAUUUAAUUUUUGUGCAUAUAUAUAUAUAUAUAUAUAUAUAUUUCAACUUGACUAGUUAGUGAAUUGUAUGUAUAUACCAAAUUUUCGAAUCAAGCGAAGUUUGAGUUUACCAAAAUAGAAAAAUAUCAAAUUUUCCAUAAAGUAAUGAAGGAAAUCAAUGGACAAAAGAGGGGGGGGGGGGGGAGAGCAAAAAAUAUAUACAAUUUAAGCUGUUAAACGAACUCAAUAUUCUCCGAGUCAAUCCAUGCAAUCCAACGUCUCAUGAAUUUUAAACAAUUUCUCAGAAGAAUAAACAAAUGAAGCAUAAUUAAAAAGAAGAAGAAGAAGAAAGAAUCGGUUUGAAAGCAAAACAAGAAGGGGAAUAUACCAGAGAGUAUGACGGUGGGGGCUCGGUUGGAGCUGUUCACAGAGUUCAGCUCAUGAAGGUGGGAGUAGUGUGCUGGUGAGAAGGUGAUGGCUGGAGAUGGAGGCCGAGGGAAGUGAGAAUGGUGACUUUGUGACUCUUGAAUGGGUUGCAGUAGUGGUUUUAAACCAGAGAAAAAACCAGAAAAGAAAAAGAAAACAGAAGAAGAGACAGAGGAGCAAGACUGAGAGAAUCGUCUUGUUGGCCGGCCGGAGCGUGUGGCUAUAGCAAUAACUCAAAGAAAGGAAUCCAUUUCUUUUUCAUUUUCCUUUCUAUCUCUUUUUUGUCGCCAUUAAUCAAUUUUCUGUCAAUAACUGGCAACAGUGCUUCUCAAAUAUUCAACUAUGGAAACUUACAAGACUAAGAGUAAUAGGAAGAAGAUUAGAUUCAGGCGAACUGAUGUAACAGUGGAGGUCAGUCAACAGCGGUGGGGUGUUGGGGAUUGAUGUGAAGUAGAGGUUCGGGAUGUUAAGUCUUGGGAUAAUGCAAUGUUGAAUGCAUAAAAAGGUUUUACCACCCUACAUUAAUAAUCAAUUCGCUUAAAAAUGAGAUGGCGAUAUAAAGCCCUGAGCUUAGCAAGUGGUCUCAAGUUACGGAUUCAAGUCACCAAAAUAAUGAAAUGGGGGGUGAUGGUUUUUUGGAAUAGACGGUGGAGAGCAUAUUGAAGUUGGUGGGGGUGGUGUGUAUUUGGAAGAUGUGAUGUUGUUAUUAAGGUUUUUUUAAAGCUUAUAAGAGAGUAGAAACAUGGGUUUCUUAGUUUUUUCUUUGGGGUAUUAACUUAUUCCUUUGCAUAUGUCAUGGUGAUGGAGAUCUGCCAAGCUUGAUUGGAGAUGGUGAAGGGCGGCUUUGAAAGUUGGAGACAGUGAUGGGUUGGGUUGAGUUCGAAUUUUCAAGAGACGGCAAUCUGCUUCACCAAUUAAAUAUUUAAGCUUUUGUCACUUGUCAGCUUCCUUCCCUGUUUUCUUGGAAUCUUCUCCUUCCUCUGUUUUGCUUGCAUUUCAUUUUUUGGGCAGAGUCAUCUAGUAACUACAAUAGCACUUACACCCACUUUUUCAUUUAAAAUAAAAUAAAAUUCAAUCUUAAAAAUUUUAUAUGCAAUUUAGAUCAAUGAGUAAUAAUUUAUCAUAUAUUAGUAAAAUUGUCAUUAAAAAAGAUUGGUAUGAUUAAGUGUUUGUUUUUUUACUUAACAUUAACAUUAAGUAUUAAGUUAUUUGUUUUUAUAAUAUUUUAUUUUUAUUAAACAUUAAAAAAUUUUAAAAAAAAUCAACAUAUUAUUUUUUUCAUUUAGAGUUAAUUAAAAAACAAACAAUUUAAAGUCUGAAAGCAAAUUACUUUUAGCAAAAAGCUAAAAAAACAAACACUCUCUUAAGUGAUAAGUUGUUUUUUGUCCUCAUUUGUUCUCUUAUUUUGGAAGUAAAUUUAGAAUUUAUUAAAUGAAUUCUUACAAAUAAAACAAAUCAAAUAUUAUAAAAAUCGAUUGAUUUGAUAAGAAAUGAAUUUCAAAUGUAUCCACAAAGUUCCAAAAUCAAAACUGAGAUGUAACUACAUGAUGUCUGUGACUCAUCCAAUUCUCAAUAAAUUUAUAAUUUUAAAAAAUUGUAUUAUAAAAAUCCAAAGAUUAAAGAAUUAAUCUAAAUAAUCAAACAUUCAAUUCAAUCACAAAUUCAUAAAUUUAAAAAUGUAUCACAUAAAAAUCACUAAGUAAUUACUACAACUUAAUCUAGAAAAUUUUCAACACUUUGUUAGUAAUCAUACAUAAUCUAGACAUAUAAUCAUUAAAAUCUUAAUGGUUAUUUUUAGCAUAUAAAAAUAAAUAAAUUUAACAUUUAAUUUUCAAAUAUAUUAAAUUACUACUUUUUUUAAAUGAUUAGUUUUCAAAAUACCUUCAUUUCAGUUGUAUAAAAUAAGAAAUAUAAUUAUUAAUAUCAUUAUGGGGUGUUUUUAGCAUAUAAAAAUAAACAAAUUUGACAUUUAAUAACAUUCAAAUAUUAAUAAAAUAAAAAAACUUUAGUGCCUAACGAUAUUUAAAUAUAUAAAAGGUGUAAUAUUCAAAGUAUCCUGAGGACUUUCCUCGAUAUUUUCAAAGCUGGAUUGGUCAUUGAGUCAUAAAUGUCACCCCAUCAUGUAGAAUAAUAUCAACUCGAUGUCAUAAAUAUAUGAUUUUAUAUUUUAUUAAAAUAAUUAUAAGAAAUUAUAUAUAUAUAUAUAUAUGUAAAAUUAUAAUUAUAAAACUUAAUAAUAUUUCCUCUUUUUAUAUUUAAUAUCAUUAUAUUAAAUCACGGUAAAAAUGAAUAUAAAUAUAUUAAAAAUAUUAUUAAAUAAAAUAUUUAUAAUAUUUAAGAGUAAAAAUACAUUGAUGGAAAAAAAUUUAUUAUUUAAUUUUAUUUAAGCGUCAAAAGUUAUAUACUUGUUAUUUUAUACUUUUAAAAAUGUGGUAUAACUUAUGGAACAAUUUCACCUUCCAAUACUUGGAAUUACUCGGUUAAGCCAAGGUGAGACAUAAGAAGGCAGACAUGAGUGAGUAGCUCCCCGCCUCGCCGGAGUUGCUGACGGUGGUGGAGUAGUUGACGGUGUUGAAUCCAUCCACAAUGACUAGCAGCAUAGCACAACAUCUCCAUCCACACGCCACUUAUCAUCUCCCAUUUCUCUCCUGCAGCAUCUAUUUCCAAUGAUUCCAACAUUUUGGCAAGCCUACAUGCCUCAAAUAACACCGACUUGCUUUUAUCUUCUUUCGCAUCUCUGGGCUCAACUUCCGUGUCAAAUUCAAGCAACAAUUUGCAAGCUUAAUUUCUGUUAGAUAUGGAGUUGCUUCUUUCCUGAAAAGAUCUUUUGGCCUCUGAACAAAUGUCUCGGAACCGAAACUCCCCUAUUCCUUUUGGCAGCAUAAAUGGGCACAUGACUAAUAGAUACAGCAUAUACUCAGACAAGCAUUUGCUUAUUUUGCAUCUUGACUUGAGAUUGGUAUCUGGGGAUUUGUCGACAUCACAAGGAUAAUAGGAAUCUGUAGCGAUAUGCCAGAGGAGGAUGCUGUGAUCAAAUUCCACAUCAAUUAUGAUAGGAAAAACUUGGAUACAAUGGAAAAAAGAAACACUCUCAAACACUCUCUUGAUACAAUAAAACUCUCAAAGUUAUAAAAUAAGAACAAGAAGAAGAAGAACACAAGAAAGGCUCAAACAAGUUCUUGGAACUUUGUCCAAAGACUCUAUUUCCUCCCACCACUAGAAAUCUUUAGGGAACUAAUGGAAAUAGUCUUGGGAUUGAUCAAGCCUUUUCACUUUUCUACAUAAGAUUUCAAAAAGAAGAAAAUUCAUAUAAAGCACUCUUAGGGUUUGAAAAAAGGUUACAAGGAUGAGAAAAACCCAUUGUCUUCCUCAAUCUCUUCAUCUUUGUAACAUUCAAAAAUUAAAUCAUAUGUUUAAUUCACACAUUAAACAUGAUUUAAUCUCAAAUGUGUAACUCUCUUACACUUAACCUCUUAAGUUUAUAAAGUUACAAAGAUGAGAAGACUCAUUGUCUUCCUCAACCUUUCAAGUUUUGUAACAUUUCAAAACUUAAUCAUGUGUUUAAUUCACACAUUAAAAGUGUAACCCUUCUUACACUUUAUUUUUCAAAAGUGUAACUCUUCUUACACUUUAUUUUUAACCAACAAUAUAUAUAUUUAUAUAAAUAUAACAAUCCCCCACUUGGUUAAAAAUAAACAUCAACCCUUAUAACCUUAACAGUGAAAAUGCAUAAAAUAAAAUAUCUUUCGAUUUGAAUUUUACCUUAGUGUAAUUGUCACAAAGCUCCGUUGAAAUCCUAGGUUGCUUGUAGCAUUGAAUCAGUUAUUCCUUGUAACGAAACCGGUAACAACACACACACUUCCACUAACCACACGAGUGCCCAUUAUUUUCUUGCUUAGCACUUUUAUGGCCAUAUGCUCAAUCCAUUCAUGAACUUUCUUGAAAGAAACUCCAACUCUCAUGAGAGGCGGCACCACCCCUAAGUUCACAUAGGUGAAAUUCUUCCAGCAUCCUUGUUACCUUUAAGAUGCUUGUCACACAUAGACUGAAUUUCAUUAAAAGCUUUAAGCUUAACCCUCCAACGGUAACAACCAGCAUUAAUCAUCACAGAUGGAACUCACAUGUUCUAAUGCUGCCAUAACCCACUUAUCAAUGAUUUGUUUUUACCUAUUGAACUUAAGACUAGUCAUUUCGUAGUAUUAAGUUAGGUUACCAUCAUUGGUGAAUUUUAUUUAAGGAGUUUUAGUCUCAUCCCUCUAGAUGUUAUCCUUACUAAAUCUCUUGUAAGAGGUUUAGUAAAAGGAUCCGCCAAGUUUCCACUUGACCUCACAAAUGAGAUUGAGAUGAUUCCAUAUUGAAUCAAUUGUCUUACAUACUCAUGUCUAAUGCUUAUAUGUCUAGACUUCCCAUUGUACACUCCACUGUACACACGAGCUAGAGUGGCUUGACUGUCACAAUGUAUCGACACUGUUGACACAUUAUUUGCAGUAAAAGGGAUGUCCAUCAUGAGAUCCCUAAGCCACUCAGCUUCUUUUCCAGUUGCAGCUAGAGCUAUAAACUCUGCCUCCAUGGUUGAGUGUGAUAUACAAGUCUGUUUCUUGGAUCCCCAAGAGACAGCCCCACCACCGAGUGUAAACACCCAACCUGUGGUAGAUAAAUUAUCUCCCACACUCGAUGACUGUCACAAUGUAUCGACACUAUUGACACAUUAUUUGCAGUAAAAUGGAUGUCCAUCAUGAGAUCCCUAAGCCACUCAGCUUCUUUUCCAGUUGCAGCUAGAGCUAUAAACUCUGCCUCCAUGGUUGAGUGUGAUAUACAAGUCUGUUUCUUGGAUCCCCAAGAAACAGCCCCACCACCGAGUGUAAACACCCAACCUGUGGUAGAUAAAUUAUCUCCCACACUCGAUAUCCAGCUUGCAUCUGAAUACCCUUCAAGUAUAGCAGGAAGCUUUGAAUAUUGGAGGCUUAGUUCUUUGGUAUUCUUUAGGUAACCAAGAACUCUACCAAUAGCUUUCCAAUGUUCCACGCUUGGAUUGCUAAUAAACCUACUUAGUUUACUAACUGCAGAUGAAAUGUCAGCCCUAGUACACUGAGCAGCAUACAUAAGACUUCCAAUUGCACUUGCAUACUCAAGUUGAGCCACCGAUCUACCAUCAUUCUUUUCAAGUUUUAUACUUGAAUCAAAUGGAGUAUUAGCAUCUUUAAUCUUGAGAUGACUAAAUUUGCUAACUACUUUCUCAAUAUAGUGGGUUUGGUUCAAAGCAUAACCUCUACUAUUUCUUUUUACUUUGAUACCCAAUAUAGUAUCAACUUCUCCAAGAUCUUUCAUCUUGAAGGUUGAGGAUAGAAACCUUUUCGUUUCUAUUAUUCCUUUCAUGUCAUCACUCAAGAUUAACAUGUCAUCCACAUAUAGACACACUAUGACCAUAUAGUCAUCACAAGUCUUAGAAUAUAAGCACUUGUCCACAUUGUUGUGUCUAAAUCCAUCCGAAAGAAUAGCAUGAUCAAAUUUUUCGUGCCAUUGUUUGGGAGCUUGUUUUAAACCAUAUAAUGAUUUGACAAGCUUACACACUUUGUUUUCAUUCCCCAGUAGAACAAAACCUUCCGGUUGUUCCAUGUAGACCUCCUCAUUGAGAUCCCCAUUCAAGAAUGCCGUUUUCACAACCAUUUGAUGAACAAAUAGAUUAUGAAUUGAUGCCAAAGCAAACAAUAUCCUAAUCGAUGUUGUUCUAGCCACCGGCGCAUAGGUAUCAAAAUAAUCAAUACCUUCUCUUUGUUUAAACCCCUUAGCUACUAAUCUAGCCUUAAAGGUUUGAAUCAUGCCAUCGGUGUGAUAUUUCCUUCGAAAUACCCACUUGCACCCUAUUGGUUUAGAUCCUGGUGGAAGGUCUACCAAUUCGCAUGUUUGGUUGGACAUAAUAGAAUCCAUUUCAUCAUUGAUAGCCUCUUUCCAAAAAGCAACAUCUCUAGAAGCCAUAGCUUCUUUGUAUGUUUUGGGAUCCUCCUCUAUUUGAAGUACUAUAGAAAUUUUUCUUAUAAUAUCUUCUUUAUUUCCUUCUACUAAGUAAAAGGAAAUUCUUUGAGAGUCAAUCUCAUCCGAUCCCAACACUUUCUCUUUUUUAGCUCUUUGGCUUUUCCGAGGCACAAUGGGUUGCUCAACAACCUUUGAAGGUGUCUCCUCUUGAGACUCUCCAACACUAGUAGGUACUUGAGAAUUGCUAUCACUCAACAAAUUCUCAAAGAACUCUACCUCUCUUGAUUCAAUUAUCACAUUAGACUCCAAGUCUAAUAGCCUAUAAGCUUUGUUAUUUGAGGCAUAGCCUACAAAUGCACACUUAAUGGUUCUUGGACCCAAUUUUGUUUUAUUUGGAUCCAUUUUCUUGCAAUAAGCAAGACACCCCCACACUUUGAAGUAACCUAUAUUAGGCUUCCUUCCUUUCCAUAACUCAUAUGGAGAUAUCUCAUUUUUCUUCAUAGGAAUUCUAUUCAAAAUAUGGCAAGCAGUCAACAAAGCUUCACCCCACAAAUUGAAAUUCAAUUUAGCAUGCAAUAACAUAGCAUUCACCAUUUCCAAGAAUGUUCUAUUCUUUCUCUCCGCUAUGCCAUUGUGUUGAGGUGUAUAGGGUGCGGUGCACUCAUGUAUUAUGCCAUAUUCUUCACAAAAAGAAUUGAAUUCACUAGAGAAAUAUUCACCACCUCUAUCACUUCUAAGCACCUUAAUAUUUUUUCCUAGUUGAUUUUCAACUUCGGCUUUGUAAACUUUAAAGGCAUUGAAAGUUUCACUUUUGUUUUUCAACAAAAACACAUAGGUAAAUCUAGAACAAUCAUCUAUGAAUGUAAGAAAAUACCUAUUUCCACCUCUUGUUAACAUGUCAUUAAGUUCACAAAGAUCACUAUGUAUUAAAUCAAGCAAAUUAGAUGAUCUCUCAACACUAUGAAAAGUCUUUUUAAUCAUCUUUGAUUUAACACAUAUUUCACACUUUUCAAAUUUCUUGGUAUCACAAGCAAUCAAACCACAUUUCACAAUCCUUUUAAUAGUGCUUAAACCAACAUGUGCAAGCCUAUUAUGCCACAAAAAUAAAGAAUUUGAAUCACACAUAUAAGCAGAAGUAGACGUCAUUUUAUUGAUAUUGUCAUUAGUACUAAGUUUGAUCAUCCCAUCACAAGAAUACCCCUUUCCCACAAAGUUCCCUGAUUUGGAUAAAAUUAGCUUACCGGAUUCAAACACAGCUUUGAUACCCGAUUUGCCAAGCAAAUCCCCACUAACCAAAUUUUUUUUCAUAUCGGGGACAUACAAUACAUUUAUAAGGGUAACCUUUUUGCCGGAGGUAAAAACAACUUCAAUAGUGCCCUUGCCAAGCACCUUGGAUCUUCCUUCAUUGCCCAUUUGAACCUCUUGAUCUCCCUUUGCAUCUUCAAAGGUCUUGAAAAGAGAUUUGUCAUAGGUAACAUGAAUUGUGGCACAAGUAUCAUACCACCAUCCUUGCACCUUUCCUUGGACAACGCACACAUCGCUUAGUGUUGCAAUGAUCUCCUCAUCAAUUGCAUUCACCACAGCCCCUUUUUGGUCUUUUCGGUACCUACACUCCCUAGCAUAAUGCCUGGGUUUUCCACACACAAAACAAGGACCUUUCUUGCCCUUAAAUUGCUCUUGAUUUUUCUUGGGGCUCAUAUAAUUUCCGGAAUUUCUUUUGUUAUUUUUACCUCUAGGAUGAUUGGCCUUUGAAACCGCAUUGGCUUUGUUAGUCCCACCAUUGGACUCUUCCACCAUUUUGUCUCUUGAUCUCGAUUCUUCCUCAAUGAGAAGAUGUUUUUGAAUCUCUUCCAAGGAGUAAUCUUCACUCUUGUGGAGAAUCCUCUUCCGGUAACCUUUCCAACUUGAUGGUAAUUUAGCCACAAUAGCACCAACUUGGAAGGCCUCUGGAAGUUCAAUUUUGAGAACUUUCAACUUAUUCACAAUUACUUGCAACUCAUGAAUUUGUGGUAAGAGAGGCUUUUCAUCAAAAAAUUUGAAAUCUAUGUAUUGAGAAAUGAGAAACUUUUUGGUACCUUCUUCCUCGGCUUUGUACUUGUUUUCAAGAGCCUCCCAAAUCUCCCUCGCGGAAUAGGUGUUGGUGUAGAGAUCAUAUAGCCUAUCGGAUAAGGCGUUCAAAAUAUGACCCCUACAUAUGAGCUCAUCCUCCUCCCUCUUCUUCCUUGCCACCACCACUUGAGGUGUGUCAUUUUCCUUUGGUUCCGGUAAUGGUGCCAAGGUAGGAUCAAGGAUGUAGAAAAUCUUGAGUGCUGUAAGAAGGAAUCUUACCUUGUCUUACCACCUAGUGAAGUUGGAACCAUCAAAACGAUCCAACCUCACAAGGUCUUGGUUCAUAAUCUUGAUAGUCUCUCCUUCCAUUGAAGAUUAGAGUCUUUGAUUGAUAGGAAAAACUUGGAUACAAUGGAAAAAAAAAACACUCUCAAACACUCUCUUGAUACAAUAAAACUCUCAAAGUUACAAAAUAAGAACAAGAAGAAGAAGAACACAAGAAAGGCUCAAACAAGUUCUUGGAACUUUGUCCAAAGACUCUAUUUCCUCCCACCACUAGAAAUCUUUAGGGAACUAAUGGAAAUAGUCUUGGGAUUGAUCAAGCCUUUUCACUUUUCUACAUAAGAUUUCAAAAAGAAGAAAAGUCAUAUAAAGCACUCUUAGGGUUUGAAAAAAGGUUACAAGGAUGAGAAAAACCCAUUGUCUUCCUCAAUCUCUUCAUCUUUGUAACAUUCAAAAAUUAAAUCGUAUGUUUAAUUCACACAUUAAACAUGAUUUAAUCUCAAAUGUGUAACUCUCUUACACUUAACCUCUUAAGUUUAUAAAGUUACAAAGAUAAGAAGACUCAUUGUCUUCCUCAACCUUUCAAGUUUUGUAACAUUUCAAAACUUAAUCAUAUGUUUAAUUCACACAUUAAAAGUGUAACCCUUCUUACACUUUAUUUUUCAAAAGUGUAACUCUUCUUACACUUUAUUUUUAACCAACAAUAUAUAUAUAUAUUUAUAUAAAUAUAACAAAUUAUACUCCAACGAAGCGUUUCAAAAAACCCUUUUUUUUCUAGUUACAUAAUCACCUCUGUGUUUGAGUAGCUGCCUGCGAUCCCCGGCAUCAUUUGUCAUCUCUAGGAGCCAGCAGAAGAUGGGUUUCUUCAUGUCAUCCACCUUCUCCCAAGUCAUGUACCAGUACCUCUCCAAGAAUUUGUUCAUGUCAAAGAACCUGGGAACCGGAUUGAACUUGGUUUUGUCUCUGAGGCAAGAAUCAAUUAAAUUGUUUUGUGCCAUGCGUCUAGACCAUCUCUGGUCACUGGUUACAACUGAUUGAAAAGAGGCAAUGGCUCGGCAAAUGGAAUCAGCUAGGGAGUUGCUCUUACUGCUCAACCAGACAAUGCGCCAAUCAGACAAAAUCAGCAUAAUGAUAGAGUAAAUCUCCAGAAAAAUAGCUCCAAAGAGUAACGCGUAAGUAAUGUUGAGGUCAAUGUUUGAGAACUCAUGCCUAUCGAUGAAGAAGCAGAAGGCCGCUAAGGUAGAAAUAGUGGACAAGAAGCUGGCAGUGCGGAGAAUAAUGCCUAAUAGAGAAUAGGCCACUGUUGCCUUGGUGUAGAGCGCGUCAUACAAGAAACUAAGCUCCAUCUCUACCACUUUGAAGGCCUCUUCGAAGGACAUGCACCUGAUGAUGCCCUCACUGGUUUUUUGGUCAUCCGGGCUGAGGAUGAGGUCUGCAUAAAGAUGGCUCAAUUGCUGCUUGAAUAAGAAGUAAGCUAUAUGAAGAUAUUUUCCACCAGGAAUUUCGAUCUCUACUUUUGUGAUUGUAUUAACCUGCCUUUCGUCUUUCCUUGAACUACAUCCCUUCAAGAAAUCAGCAUAAUCAGGUCCAGGAAGCAAAGAAUCUCUAACGUGAUUCUUGCUUGCAAACCUGAGAACCCAGGUCCUCUCUCCAUACUUGAUAAUUCCAGCCACAAACAUUGGAAUGGACAGAAAUGUGAGUGGAGUCCCUGCCCAUGACCUCAGAAACACGUAAAAAGCCACUCCAGCUUGGACAACUAGUCCAAGCAAGUGCCUUAACCACAACUCAUUUUCUUCUAUAGAGUAAGCUGCGACAGUAUCCGGACCACCAAGGUGCAAGAGAAGGAAUGGUGCCCAAAAUGCCAUGAGGGUAUAGUUUGGAUCCAGAAGUUUACCUUUAGAAUCUCCUUGGCUGUUGGCGAGGGUACCAAGGGAUAAUGUUGCCACCCAGUCUGCGCACAUGUACGCCGACCAAAUCAGGAUUCUGAUCCAAGGUGUGGCUGUGUACUUUCGUCGGUUGCUAAAGAUGAUGAGGACGAUUUCUAGGAAGAGGCUUAGUGGAACUAUCAAGCGUAGCUCCCAUUCAUUCCAAAGUUUCCGCACUCUUUCUGGCAAUAUCUGCAUUGCUCUCGCUCCUCUGCUCUGUAAAAAGAUCGAACUGAAAAAACAAAACAUUCAAAAGUAUAGCCAAAAAUAGAAUAAAAGAAUAAAUUUGUAAAAUAAAAUUCUUAAAUCAAAUCCAUACAAAAAAUUUCACUUUUAUUAAUUUACCAGUCGUAACUUCCCAACAAUUUAUAACUCAACAUUAAAGUUUAGCACUUAAUUUUUAAUCUUUUAUUAAAGACCAUCUAAAUGAGCUUCACUUUUCACUUAAAAAUAGAAAGUUAGGGCAUGUUUUUUUAUAUUUGUUUUAAAUUAAGGAAUAAAAAAUAGUUUUUUUAGAAUUUAUUAAAAUAAGGGUGUUUGAAAAGUUGUUCCAAAAAAAAAAGAAAAAAACAAAAACAAAAACUUACUUAGAUAAGUUAUUUUUAAAAAUAAUUUUUCUAUUUUGAUUUUAUAAAAAACAUUGUAAAUUUAAUUUAUAUAAUAUUAAUUUAAUUUAAGUUAAGUCUUAUUACAAAAUAAAAUUAGUUCUAUAAGUAUAAAUAAAUUAAAAAAUAAAUAGUUUUUAGUAAAAACAUAAAUAAUAAUAUUAUAGUAAAAGUGUAAAUUAUAUUUUUCUUAUAAAAGAAUAUAUUAUUUUAGUAUGUGUUAAAAAAAAUAUGUAGGUACUAACAUUUUCCUAAAAGUGUCAUUAAUUUCUUUUUUGUUAAAAGAAAACAAUAAUAAUAAUUUAACGAUAAAUUAUUAAUAAUAUUUUAUUUAAAAUUGAACAAUAAUAAUAAUUUAAUAAUAAAUUGUUAAUAAUAUUUUAUUUAAAAUGAAUAUAGAAUGAAGUUUAACUUUUUUAACAUGUAAAUAAACCAAAAUUUAUAUUACAUGUAUACAUUUAGUACUAAAUUACAAACACAAUAUUCUAGAAUGCUUUGAUUUAAUAAGUUUUUUGAAUUACAAAUUAUUAUUAAAAAUUAAAAAAUUCAUCAAAAGAAUUUAAAAAUUAAUAAAUUUUAUGUAUAAAGUAUAAUUUGAUUUGAAAAUUAUUUAAUUAAUGAAAAAUUAUUAUAAAGUUAAAGAAAAUUCAUAAAAACACAUAUAAUUCAAAAGAAUAUCAAUUAAAAAAAUUUCGGUAUCUAUAUUGGAUCGUGGAGAGAAAAACAAUGAUAUCAUGUUCAUUUUUUUUAAUUCUUCUAUAUUUUUAUUUUAAAAGAAAAUCAAAUGAAAACAACUUCUACUUAUUCACUAAAAAUUAUUCUUUAUUUUACUUUGUUUUAAAAUCUGGAAAUAAAGAUAAUGGCCAAAUAGUCUUAUUAAUUUUUAAAAACACUUUUUUAUUUUUAAAAAUAGAAAUCAUUUUUUAAUCAUAGGACCAAAUAGACUUCAUAGUUUAUAAUUUCUAUAUUGUAAUAUUGCCUGAUAAAUUUUUAAUAUUGAAACUUGUAAUAGGCUUCAUUGAUAAAUAAUUUUUGUAGUUUUUAAUUUUGAAUAUGGCUUAGGGUCAAUGAUAAUUUUUUUACAUGUUGGAUUAAUAAUAUUUUUUCACAUAUUAGAUUAAUAAUAUUUUUUUUACAUGUUGGAUUAAUAAUUUUUUUUUUUACAUGUUGGAUUAAUAAUAUUUUUUUUACAUGUUGGAUUAAAAUAUUGUAGUAGAUAUUAAUUAUGUUUUUCUAAAGUGGGUUAUGCAUAAAUUUAUAAUAAAAUAUUUUUUAUUCAUAUUUGUAAUUCUAAGGACAAUUUGUAAAAUAAAUUGUUUUUAGACUUUUUUCUUUUUCCAGUUUUAUCAAAUAUUAAAUUGAAGGUAGGACUUAAAUGUCAUAAGAUACUUUUACAAUCCUUAGACCAUAUUUGGUAAAACUUAUUACUUAUUACUUAAUUAUUUAAGUUGAUUUGAAGUUAAAUUAUAUUUAAAUUUUGAUUUAACACUUAUUAUUUAAUUUUUACUUUAAACAUUAAAGUUGUUUGUUAAAAUUAGUUUAAAACUUAUUUUAAACCAUCUGUAGACCCUCAUUUAGGCAUGGGUCACCUUUUCUCUAUUUGUUUUUGCAGAUCACAUUUUUAGCCAAGUGUCACUAUCCCAGCGGGCCACGUGUCACAUCCUUAGUGGUCAUAAGAAAUCAACCUCACUUUUUGAAGCUGCAGUAGGACUUUGACACGUGGAGGAACUUUCUGAAGGGGGGUCCCGCAGGCAGAAAAGGUGGCUGCAGAAGGAGUGAGGCAGAAAAAGGUGGCUGCAGCAGAGAUCGUUGGGAAGGCAAAUCCAGAGAAAGGAGAAAAGAAAAAGAGAAAGGAGAAAAAAAAAAAAAAAAGGAAGAAAAGGAGUUUUUCUGAGAGUUGGGAGAAAAAAGAGUAUUGGUUGAACUUGAAGAAAAAAAAGAAGGGAGAAAGGGAGAGACUCGAUGGAGAGAGGAGAUAUUGGAGAAGAUGUAGAGAGAGUGAGAGGUGCUUCCAUGGUCGUUUGAGAAGGUUUUUUUUUUAGCAGAGCACCCACGAAAUAUGAAACAGUGAGUUGGAAGCCUCAAAUAUUCAGCAGAGAAAGGGAUUUCCAGGUAUGUUUAUCAAUCCUCUAUAUCUUUUAUUGAUAUUUGAAUACUCAUUGAUCUGUUUGGGGUGGAUAAUGAAGGCCGCCAGUCUGCUUGUUGAAGUAUGACCCUGCAUUUGUGUUUGCCAUUGUCCAUUUUAACUUGCUCUGAUCCUACUGUGAUUAUGCAAUGCUUGAGAAUCAUGAGGGUGGCUACUCAUCUGCUCAGAAGAUUCCUGGAUGAUUCAUGAAAUGGAUUCUCUGAGAUUUUUCUUUAUUUAUUCGUCUUCUUCCACGCUCUGUUUUUCUACUUUCCCUGUUUCUUGAUAUCCGUCCAUGGCACGCAUCCAUUUUCUCAUCCCUGCUCGAAAGAGAUCCUAGAAAAUCUGGAGUAGUUGUCAUGGCAGCGAAGCUCACCUCAUCAGCAUCCCCAUACCCAUUUUCGUUUAUUAUUCAUCGUUUUAUCCAAUAUGCCUACGUCCCCAUCGUUCAUCUAUCCACCUCCCUCUCUAAGUCGUCAUACCCAUUUCCUCACUCAAGCUUGCAAGAAUCAAGCAUCCUCCACCACACUCAUCUUCCUCUCAUUCAUUCUCCAUCUCACUCCCUCGCUUACAUGGAGUCUCACGGGUGCAUGCCAUCCUUCACUCCUUCACAUACCCAUUAAAACCACUCACCCAAGCCCCCAUAUCCAUGCAACCCAUACCUAACCUUCAUGCUACUCAUAACAACGUUCUACCUUAUCCGGAUGUCUCACAUCCGGAAUUCUUCUCCGCCGACAUUCCACCCAGACGCCUCACAUCCGGAAUUCUUCCCCCGCCGCCAUUCCACCCGGAUGCCUCACAUCCGGAAUUCCAUCCGGCCAACGUUCUACCUUAUCCGGAUGUCUCACAUCCGGAACUCUCCUCCGCUGACAUUCCAUCCGGAUGUCUCGCAUCCGGAAUUCUCCUCUGCCGAUAUUCUAUCCGGAUGUCUCGCAUCCGGAAUUCUUCUCUGCUGCCCCAUUCCACCCGAAUGCCUCGCAUCCGGAAUUCUUCUCCGCCGACAUUCCACCCGGAUAUCUCACAUCUGGAAUUCUGUCCGGCCGACAUUCCACAUUUUUCUUCAUAUUUAGAGCAUUUUCUUUAGGUUCCAAAAUCACAUCUUUAAUAAAGCUUUGCUGCCACUUUUAUUUCCGGCAAGCAAUUUUCAUACUUCCUCUGUUUUUUAAAAUGUUUUGAAAUAAGCAAGGAAUCAAAUUCCGUAAUUCCGAACAAUGGAGUUAUCGGAAUUGAUUCAGGCAAGAUAAAACGUGCUUUGGUGGGGGCCCGACAUAUGAGAUUUGAUUGGCUUGAUUAUCAUACAUAAUUGAUUUAUCCUGUUCUUUGAUAUGUAUGCAAUUAUUCCUUAAUUGUGCGCUAACCUCACUUCUUGAUAGCGCUUUAUGGAUCACUGCCUAGGUACGUAUCCACAUCCGCUCGGGUCAUUUUCUGUAUGCAUGUUUAGAUUCUCACAUGUGCAUGAUCACUCUGAGUAUUCAUUGAUUUCCUCAUCAAUUGCCAUGUCAGCUUCAUUUUAUUAGUAAAGACCCGACUUUAGGGACUUAAAAAGGUGCUACGGUCUGUACCGUACCUUUCGGAUAAGUAACCUGACCUCCGAACCCGAUCCGAUUUUUCGCAGAUCACCUUUUCCAAAUAAGGAGUCACACUUAGGGUUUUUCUUUCUUAUUUUGUUUACCCUUUAAAAAUAAAACAAAAAUAAGUGGCGACUCCAAGUCAAUUUUCUUAAUCAAAUAAAAUCGAAUUUUCCAAAAAUGAAAAUCGAGCUCGUCAUUCGAGUGGGAAACGCAUUGAGCCGAAAUGCGGGGUCCACAAAAUGGCGACUCCACUAGGGAUUUUUAGAGGGUCAAGCUUGAACUUAGAAUGAAGCAAACGUGGUAUUCGAUUGGACGAUCAGUGGAUGCUCAUAUCUUGAUUGUACAUUGAGGAUUUCUUGAUGCAUGCUUAGAUGUUCUAUUCAUUUGAGAUUUUGACAUGUUGGAUUAUUGAUGAUUGAUCUUAUUGCAUUGCUUAGCAUAUUGAUUCUGAUUUUGGCAUUAUUGUUCUGAUCACUUCACAUGCAUACACUCACUACUGUAUAUCACUUAGCUUGACAUGUUGAUUCUCUUACUUGUAUACUAUUUUGAUCGUCUUUGAGCAUGAUUUUUGUAUCACUGUUCAUCUUGAUUGUUGUAUUCUCGCUUAUCUUGUGUGUACAUGAUGAUAUAUCUGAGCUUUGCCUGAUUGCGUGUUGCAUGACUGCCUUUCUUUGCGUGAUUGUAUGCCGCUUGUCUAUGUGGGUAGCACAUCUAUCCCCUUAUCUCCAACCCUCUAGUUUCGGUCAUUUCCUUCAUUUCGGUUCUCACUUUUGCAAGUGUGAGGCCUUGUAUGUGCUUGUACUCUGACCGAGAUAGAGGUUAGGAGUAGGGUCUAGCGACGGGCUACAUCGAUGCACGGGAGCAUUCUGGAGGAGAGCGGCACUUUGAUAUCGGGAGGAGUCCGAUCGUUGAAGACCUGUAUAGCCCGGAGCUAAGUUUCAUGGAUAUUUGUGUAGCCAGUAUGUUUCCUUUCUCGUUUUAGCUUCUUAGGGUUAUUAGAUGCACCCACACCAUUCACUGUGCACUCUAGUUGGCUAUUGAGCGUUGAGAGUUUGAGAGGUUUCACCAUAGGAAACCCCCUGGGAUGUCGAGGUAGUGCAUGUGCGGAGGUGAUGACCACCUUGCAUGGAAGUGCCCCGUCUCUUCGGAGGCGUGCAGAAGGUUGUGUACCGUCGGAGGGUAUGAUCACUUCUGCUAGGGUCCUUUAAAGUCCACCCAUAUCCAUUUAGAGUCACCUUGACCUUGUCAGUUGAGCCGUAGAUCCUUCGAUUAGGACUCCCUCCCUACACGUGGGUGCAUCUGAGGGCCUUCAGAGCCUCUUUAGUUACAGUUCGGAUCCAGUAUUCCCUCUUUUUAGUCUCCAGUUGAGAGUGCUCGGAGAUCGGUAUGAGUUUGAGUAUCGGUUGGAUCACCUUUCGUCUUGUCGCCUUAGUUUGUGUUUUUCACUUGACGAGUUUAGCAUGUUUUCUCCCUAGGGUUUUUGUUCUUAUUUCUUGGCUCGACACACCCCUUCACUUUGUUUUCACUCACUCGAUACUUUGGGAUAUGUUCAUUGAUCAUCUUUUUACACUGUACACCUAUCACGGGCUCAGUACCUCAUUCUUUGUUUGAUCAUUGGUUCGAUUUUCGACUCGAUGCUCAUAUUUUCAUUACAGAAAGGUGAAAGACACAUUUUCAUAUUCACACAUUUUUUGAGAGAUUCGCCUUGAUCACCUUAUCAUUUUUUUUCUCUUAUGGAGCUCAAGUUGAAGGUUGAAUUAAGGAUAUUUUGUUAUAGAUGGAGUAUCGAUCUCGUGACAGUGUUGUUUUUCACACCUCAUUCAUUUUGUGGAUCGUUGAUAGAAAUUCUUUAGUCACAUUUGUAGCCAUCUCACAGUGGACACCUUCAUGACCUUAGAGUUUCUGUCAUAUUUCCAAUUAUAGAUUGCCAUCGCAGGACCAUAUAUCAAAUGAUGUGUUGUACUUUUGACUUGGGGCGUUUUUUUCACUUGCACAUUGUAGUCUUGAGGCUUGACCUAUCAUGGAGGAUAUUGAGCCUAUUAGCAUAGGAUCAGAGAUUUGACUUAGGGAGCUCGAGACUGUGACACAUCUUCUGAUGAUCAGAGCAGUACCUUGCUCACUUCCCACACCUUGCUUUGUUUUGACCUACAUCCAUCCAUUAUGAGUUUUGCACAGCAUCACCCUUGAUGACCAUUAUAUGACCUUUCCAUCCUCGGUUUUUCUAGCUUUACACAUCCCUUCUCUGAUUCGACCAGGUAGAGUGUGAGGAGUUUGAGCCCAGGGUUGAUCUGGCAUGGCGAGAGUUAUCUUAUGAUCUUUGGGUGGCUUACGAUGAGGAUUGGUCGAUUGCUUGAUGAGACUGUCACUUAUUUUGCCGUGAGUAUAGAGAUUGAUCUUGUAUAAUGAGAGUUGGCUUGUGAUGGGUAGUCGCACCUGAUGGGAUCACUGCUUACUUUGCUUUGAGAUGAUCAUCUUUGAGAUUAUUAUGGAGCAUUUGGAGUACAGUUGGUGCAUGAUUCUAGAGGGUUGACAUGGUUAUAUCAUAUGGACAUCGAUCUUAGGUAUCGAUCAUCUGAGGGCUUGAGAGCAUGAUUUUUGAGACCGUGGUCGUAGGAUGGGUGGCCUUCAUUUCGGUUAGCUCACACCUUAUUACCUUUAUUGGCAUCUAGACCGUUGCUAGCCCUUUGAGCCUCGCAUGAGCAUCAUAGCCUUUUCUUUCUUAUAGCCUUGCUCACCUUUUACACCGGGAUAGGGGCCCUUCAGUGUAUGCAUGCAUUGUUUGAGAGUUCCAUGAGCCUUGGACCGAGGGGCACAUCUUUCUCAUUAUCUGUUCUCAUCACUACAUCAUUGCAUUUCAUCUCAUCUCACUGUUCGUGUUAUUCAUCUCAUCAUCCUAUUCUAUCUACUAUUCGUUUCACAUCAUCUUCCUUCAUCCCGAGGGGUGAUCAUCCUCAGUUCAUUACAUGGAGGGUAGUCAUGUCAUUUCCACUAUCUAUCUUAUGGACACUGAUCCAAGGAUCCUCAGUUUGAGAAGGUCACCUCAUCAGAGAGAGUUUGUGAUAUAUUGAUAUUUGAGAGCAUGUUUAUUCAUUUUUGAUCCCGUCUUUGGGUCUUCUUUGUAUGCGUUCAGAGCAUGUACAGUUCAUUUAUAUGUCGUUAUAAAAAAAAUAAAUAAAUAAAAAUUAAAAAAUUAAAAAAAAUGGAAAAAGAAAUAAAAGCAUGUGUGUAUUUUUAUCUAUCACUGAGUAUGUAUUGAUAUCUGAGGGUCACUUGAUCGAGCAUGUUUGUUGACGGGAGUUCGUAUGUGAGCUUCCCGAGAUCCCUCAGGCUUUGUAUUCAUUUUGUCGUAUAUCUUGUGAGCGAGAUGAGUGACCUUCUCUUAGGAGCUUUGGGUCAUUGUCCAUUCCAUCAUCGUGUUCAUAGUUGAUGUGACUUCACUCCAUGUCUGAUCCGAGUCGAUCAUUACUCCUUUUGGUGUUAUUUGCUUCAUUAUCAUCAUCCUCGUUUUCAUUUCUGAUUCAUCAUUCUCAUUUCACAUCUUAUUUUUUUCCUACAGUGACCCAUCUCGGGUUUGAUACUUCCUUCACAUCAUCAUCACACAUCUCACUAUCAGUUUGAUUUGCUUCAUUUGUUUCCUCAUUUACAUCAUGUUCAUAGUAGACACCCGUAGGUCCAUGGCUCACGAUAUUUUCUAUAUAUGUUGCAUUUUAUACGUGAGGGCAUGGGUUUUGAUCAUUGGGUAUUUGGGCCUAGUUUCCCUUUAUUUCUAUCACCCUAGCCUUCGUUACGUCUGUGGACCCGCAUUUUUCACGUGCGUCCCCACUCGAUCGGCCAGACUCGCUUUUUAUUUAUUUGUGAAAAUUUGAUCUUUUGAAAAAAAGUUGGAGUCGCCACUUAUUUUAUUUUUAUUUUUGAAGGGAAAAUAAAACAAGAAAUAAAACCCUAAAAAAAAUGACUCCAUAAUUUUUGGAAAAGCGUGUCUUUGAAAACCCAAGUCUUGGUCCGGGGAUCAGGUUACUUAUUGGGAAGGUACCUCUAGGAGGUAGCACCCCUCUAAGCCCUAAAGAGGUCUCUACUAAUUAAGUUAAGGGGAAUAUGGCAAUUAAUCGGUUAAUUAUGGAUACCUAAGUAGGCUAGGUGAUUUCAAAAAAUUUGCAUGCUAAACAAGAUCAAAUUGCCAUAAAAGAAAGGUUAGGAUGCGUACCCGGACCGCUUCUCAAGCGCUAUCAUAAAACAUCAGAGUUAGUAUAGAAGUAUAACACACAACAUNNNNNNNNNNNNNNNNNNNNNNNNNNNNNNNNNNNNNNNNNNNNNNNNNNNNNNNNNNNNNNNNNNNNNNNNNNNNNNNNNNNNNNNNNNNNNNNNNNNNNNNNNNNNNNNNNNNNNNNNNNNNNNNNNNNNNNNNNNNNNNNNNNNNNNNNNNNNNNNNNNNNNNNNNNNNNNNNNNNNNNNNNNNNNNNNNNNNNNNNNNNNNNNNNNNNNNNNNNNNNNNNNNNNNNNNNNNNNNNNNNNNNNNNNNNNNNNNNNNNNNNNNNNNNNNNNNNNNNNNNNNNNNNNNNNNNNNNNNNNNNNNNNNNNNNNNNNNNNNNNNNNNNNNNNNNNNNNNNNNNNNNNNNNNNNNNNNNNNNNNNNNNNNNNNNNNNNNNNNNNNNNNNNNNNNNNNNNNNNNNNNNNNNNNNNNNNNNNNNNNNNNNNNNNNNNNNNNNNNNNNNNNNNNNNNNNNNNNNNNNNNNNNNNNNNNNNNNNNNNNNNNNNNNNNNNNNNNNNNNNNNNNNNNNNNNNNNNNNNNNNNNNNNNNNNNNNNNNNNNNNNNNNNNNNNNNNNNNNNNNNNNNNNNNNNNNNNNNNNNNNNNNNNNNNNNNNNNNNNNNNNNNNNNNNNNNNNNNNNNNNNNNNNNNNNNNNNNNNNNNNNNNNNNNNNNNNNNNNNNNNNNNNNNNNNNNNNNNNNNNNNNNNNNUGUAUAGAUAAAUAAGUAAAUAAAUUAAAAAAAAUGGUAAAAAUAAUAAAUAAAUAAAUAAGUUAAGGAAAAUAAUAUAAAGAGGACGAUAACCAAUAAAAAGUGAAUGAUAAUCAUAAAAUUAAAAUUAAAAACAAAAUAAAUAAAUAAAUAAAUAAAAUAAAAUAAAAUAAAAUAAAAGUCUUCGUAGGCCUAGUGUGCCUAAACGGGCCUAAGGUGAGACUAAGUGGGCCUAGGGUAGUGCCUAAUGGGCCAAGUGUAUCUAAAAGCUAUCCUAAAAAAACAAGAAAAGCCUAAGUCUAAGUUAGGGCUGCCAAGGGUCACAAUAAGGGAUCAAAUAAUCCCUCAACCAAAAUCUCCGAGGUGACUCAGAAAAAGGUAAGUGGUAUGAGUAGCCAUGGGCCACCAAGGAACUAUUGUGGAGCAUUGAAAAUGAAUUUUAAAGACAUGUGCUAAAGGGACAAAAUUGAGGGUCUACAACGUCCUUGAGUCUUAAGACCACCCUGGGCCAUGACAUCACACAUUGUGUUUGAUAGCUCUUAUGUGAGCGAUACUUGGGAUUGAUUCGAGAGCAUUCUGAUUGUGAUGGACCGGGAGUUAUGGUAUGACCUUACACUGGGGCAUAGCCAUCUCAGAGAGUUUUUAUCGGAUGACCAUUAUGUCGAGGCAUACUCUUCUUAGUCGAUGACGGAUUUUUGAGCCACGUCCAUUCCUCGGAGGAUAUCAGAUGUCCUUUUUCACAUUGGAGCAUGAGACAUGAUUAGCGCAUUUCAUCUAGAGUACUUUGCACAGGGGCAUACCCCUUUCGGUCGAUGAUGGUUUUUAGGCAUAGUUGUUCCUUGGAGGCGAUUAGAUUCAUUUCACAUUGGAGUACGGGAUAUGAUUGGUUGAUAUCUUUGAUAUUAUCGUAGGAGCAUAGCCUUCUCAUCAUUGUUGACAUAUUUUUGAGAUGAUUGGAUCAGGACACCGACACUUAUGAGAGCAUGCAGCCGAGUUUAGUUAUUUCAGGGUUUGCCCUAUACUGGGGCAUAACCCUUUCAUUGGCGGCUGAUCUUAGAGAUAUUAGUUCACAUUGAGACAUGCUAUUUCUUUGGAGGAGGUCAGAUACUCUCUUCACAUUACCCUGAUGACUUUGAGGAGCAGAGUUUCAUUUUGAUCAGAUGAUGUAUGAUUGGUUGUACUCCUCUCAUUGAUGUUUGAUUUGGGGAUGCUUACACUGGGGCAUAGCCCACUCAUUGAUGAUGAUUUUAUGAGAUGACAAUUUAUGCCAGGCACAUAUUUCCUAGAGUUUAUCUUGCACUGAGGACUUACCCAUUUUGAGAUGAUGCAUUCACACUGGGGCAUACCCACCUUGCUGAUUUUGACACUGAGACUCCACAUCCUGUUUAUGAUUACUGCUUUCGAGGGAUCAUAGAGUCAUUGACACCCUGGGUUCAAUUUUCUCGACGUACUUGGUCCGACUUGGGUACCCACUUUCCUUUGUUACACACCUAUACAUCCUACAUUGGACUCUAUUAUACCUGCACCCAUCCUAUCAGAGCCUUACAUCUUUUGAGCCUACAUAUUUCAUCAUCUUACCUGACUUUAUCCCUUUCUCUUGAUCAGAGGAAUAUGUAGACCAGUCUUGAGCUUUCUGGUUUAGUUUUCACAUGCCUUUGGACAUUAGGUUCAACAUCUUCCAUGAUGGUAGGGCUUAUUAGAUUGUUGAUGUAUUUGUGAUGAUGUACUCAUAUUGAUAAUUGAGACACUGUGUCUUGAUUUGCUUACAUUUCAGACCUAGAGUUUUGGUUAGCAUUUGUUUGAUCCAUUAUUUUGGUUUUACUUUGUCAGCAUAGUUUUGGUGACGUUUGGUCUUGUUUUAGCAUUUGUUCAUUGAGGCUCUGUAUAUGUUUUUUUCAUUGCAUCAUCAUUGGGCAUAUCCCAGAGUGUCUUUGUUUGGUGACAUUUUGUGUCUUAUGUUGGUUACUAUCUUACACUAGGGCAUCCCCCCCGUCCUUGAGUUCAUCACACCUUUUGUGUACUUCCUCACCGCUUGAUCUAUUUCUUGAUCUUUGUGAGUCAUCAUACUGGGGCAUACCCCCUUUAGCGCUUUUCCUACUAGGACAUUCCCCUCUCUUUGGGUUCAUUAUGUCUCGUGCUGAUUUCAUGGUUGUCAAACCCCUAUUGUCAUUUCGUUUAGGGCAUCCCCCUGCUGUCAUUUCGUUUAGGGUAUCCCCCUGCUGUCAUUUCGUUUAGGGCAUCCCCCUACUGUCAUUUCGUUUAGGGCAUCGCCCUACUGUCAUUUCGUUUAAGGCAUCCCCCUACUGUCAUUUUGUUUAGGCACAAGUAUGCUAACCAAAUCAGGAUUCUGAUCCAGGGUGUGACUGUGUACUUUCGUCGGUUGCUAAAGAUGAUGAGGACGAUUUCUAGGAAGAGGCUUAGUGGAACUAUCAAGCGUAGCUCCCAUUCAUUCCAAAGUUUCCACACACUUUCUAGCAAUAUCUGCAUUGCUCUCGCUCCUCUUCUCUGUGAAAAUAGAGCCAAAAAUAGAAUAAAAGAAUAAAUUUGUAAAAUAAAAUUCUUAAAUCAAAUCCAUACAAAAAAUUUCACUUUUAUUAAUUUACCAGUCGUAACUUCCCAACAAUUUAUAACUCAACAUAAAAGUUUAGCACUUAGUUUUUAAUCUUUUAUUAAAGACCAUCUAAAUGAGCUUCACUUUUCACUUAAAAUUAGAAAGUUAAGGCAUGUUUUUUUAUAUUUGUUUUAAAUUAAGGAAUAAAAAAUAGUUUUUUAGAAUUUAUUAAAAUAAGGGUGUUUGAAAAGUUGUUCCAAAAAAAAAAGAAAAAAACAAAAACAAAAACUUACUUAGAUAAGUUAUUUUUAAAAAUAAUUUUUCUAUUUUGAUUUUAUAAAAACAUUGUAAAUUUAAUUUAUAUAAUAUUAAUUUAAUUUAAGUUAAGUCUUAUUAAAAAUAAAAUUAGUUCUAUAAUUAUAAAUAAAUAAAAUAAAAUAAAUAGCUUUUAGUAAAAACAUGAAUAAUAAUAUUAUAAUAAAAGCAUAAAUUAUAUUUUUCUUAUAAAAGAAUAUACUAUUUUAGUAUGUGUUAAAAAAAAUGUCAUUAAUUUAUUUUUUGUUAAAAGUGUACAAUAAUAAUAAUUUAACGAUAAAUUAUUAAUAAUAUUUUAUUUAAAAUUGAACAAUAAUAAUAAUUUAAUAAUAAAUUGUUAAUAAUAUUUUAUUUAAAAUGAAUAUAGAAUGAAGUUUAACUUUUUUAACAUGUAAAUAAACCAAAAUUUAUAUUACAUGUAUACAUUUAGUACUAAAUUACAAACACAAUAUUCUAGAAUGCUUUGAUUUAAUAAGUUUUUUGAAUUACAAAUUAUUAUUAAAAAUUAAAAAAUUCAUCAAAAGAAUUUAAAAAUUAAUAAAUUUUAUGUAUAAAGUAUAGUUUGAUUUGAAAAUUAUUUAAUUAAUGAAAAAUUAUUAUAAAGUUAAAGAAAAUUCAUAAAAACACAUAUAAUUCAAAGGAAUAUUAUAUUCAAAUAUUUUCGAUAUCUAUAUUGGAUUGUGGAGAGAAAAACAAUGAUAUCAUUUUCAUUUUUUUUAAUUCUUCUAUAUUUUUAUUUUUAAAAGAAAACCAAAUGAAAACAACUUCUACUUAUUCACUAAAAACUAUUCUUUAUUUUACUUUGUUUUAAAAUAUGGAAAUAAAGAUAAUGGCCAUAAAAAUUUUGUAUGCAAUUUAAAUGAGAAAUAUUUUAUCAUAUAUUAGUAAAAUUAUCAUUAAAAAAGAUUGACUAUGACUAAGAUAAGUUGUUUUUUUGUUCUCUUAUUUUCAAGUAAAUUUAGAAUUUAUUUAAUGAAUUCUUACUAAAUAAAACAAAUCAAAUAUUAUAAAAUCACUUGGUUUGAUAAAAAAUGAAUUUAAAAUAUAUCGACAAAAUUCCAAAAUCAAAACCGAGAUUUAACCACAUGAUAUUGUACCUCAUCCAAUUCUCAAUAAAAUUAUAAUAAGAAAAUUGUAUUAUGAAUGAAUUUAUUACAAAAUUUCUAAUUUAGCUCCUUAUAAUACAAUAAAAUUAAAAGAAAUCAACUAUCAUCAAUUUUAAUGAAAUUUCUCUAAUUAAAACUCUGGAGUAUAAUUCAAAUGCAUCUAAAUGUCCACAAGAGUUAAUAAUUUUAAUUAAUUUUGAAAAAUCAAAUGUUAGGUGGUCAUGUUUUUCACCUUCCAAUAUUUGGAAUUGCUCGCUUAAACCGAGACGGACAUAUAAAAGGCAGACAUGAGUAGUAGCUCCCUACCUCGUUGGAGCUAUUGACCGUGUUGAAUCCAUCCACAAUGACCUAGCAGCAUAGCACAUCUUCACCCACACCUCACUCAUUGUCUGAGGGGGUGGUGUACGAGGACGAUCCCUGUUUGUCAACCAUAUCCCUCAUCGUUUUUAGAGUUUAAGUUCAAAAUAAUCCAUUGGUAGAAAAAAAUGGUAAGAAUAGUACCAAUCUCAAAAUAUUUGUCAAACUAAUCUUUUUGCAUCUACGUAAGCAUCUACAUGGAUUUUUUUUUAAGUGUGUAAAACCACCGUUGGUGACUGUGGUUUUAAAAGUUUCAUAAAUAUCCUUAAAACCACAGUCUAUGACUGUUGUGUUACAAUUUUCCUUAGAACCACUGUUAGUAACUGCGGUUUUAAAAUUAUUUAUAGUUCAUCCAUGUUUUAAUAGUAUUAUGAUUUUAAUAUUAUUUUAAAAAUAUUUUUUUAUCAUAAUAACCAUAAAACCAUCAUUAUUAAGGAGUAACCUAAAAUCAUAAUUAUUAAUAUAAUUUUUAUAUGAAAAUAUAAAAUUUUAAAAUAAUAUAAAUAAUUUAUUUAAUUAUUUUAAAAUUUAAAAAUAAUAUGAAAAAAUAAUUUUCUUUAAUUCAUAUGUGAUAAAAUUCAUAAAACAAAUAAAUAUUUUAUUUACCAUAAAUAUAUAAAUUUUUAUGGGAAUACAGACAAAAUUAUUUUCUCAAAAUUUCAAGGAAAAUAUGAAAAAAUAAAGAUACUAUAUAUAUAUAUAUAUAUAUAUAUAUAUAUAUAUAUAUAUAUAAUUUUAAAACAGUUGUAAAGAAAAAAUUUAUUAAGGAUAAUUUGUAAAAAAAAAAAGUAAUUUUAAACUGACAAUGAAAAAUUGUAAGAAAUUUUGAAAAUAUCCUUAAAAUCACUGUCAUAGACUGUGGUUUUACAAUUUUUUUUUUAAAACCACAUUUACUAAUUAUGGGGUUUCACAAAUAUCUUUAAGAGAAACUCAUGUAACCAUACAUCAACUAAAAAAAUAUGAGAUUUUAAAACUUUGCUUUUUUAUUUUUUAAUUUUAGUGUAAAUUAUGGAUGUAUCAAAAUUUCUUAACGAUGUACUAGGUUUUCUUAAAGUUCUUUUUGGAGUAGGAAAAAUUUCUUACAAUUUUCCAUAGUCAGUUUAAAAUUAUUUUUAUUUACAAAUUAUCCUUAAUAAAUUUUUUCUUUACGACUGUUUUAAAAUUAUAUAUAUAUAUAUAUAUAUAUAUAUAUAUAUAUAUAUAUAUAUAUAUAUUAUCUUUAUUUUUUCAUAUUUUUCUUAAAAUUUUGAGAAAAUAAUUUCGCCUGCAUUCCCAUAAAAAUUUAUAUAUUUAUGGUAAAUAAAAUAUUUAUUUGUUUUAUGAAUUUUAUCACAUAUGAAUUAAAGAAAAUUAUUUUUUAAUAUUAUUUUUAAAUUUUAAAAUAAUUAAAUAAAUUAUUUAUAUUAUUUUAAAAUUUUAUAUUUUCAUAUAAAAAUUAAUGCCAAUGAUUAUGAUUUUAGGUUAUUCCUUAAUAAAAGUGGCUUCAUGGUUAUUAUGGUAAAAAAAUAUUUUAAAAAUAAUAUUAAAAUCAUAAUAUCAUUAAAACAUAGAUGGAUUAAAAAUAAUUUCUGAAACUUGUAAAACCACAAUUAGUUUUAAGGAAAAUUGUAAAAUCACAGUUACAAAUUGUGAUUUUAAAGAUAUUUUUAAAACCACAAUCAUAAAGGUGGUUUUACACACUUAAAAAAAAAAAAUUCAUGUAGAUGCUUACGUAGAUACAAAAUUAUUAUUAUUUUUUUUUUUCUAUCGAUGGACUAUACUGUUUGUUUUCUCCAUCGAUGCCUCAAUCCCCCGUAUUCGCUUUUGUGGUCCGUACGAUGAAGUUCCCCUUGACGGGAAAGAUUCCAUGGUCGGGAAAGAUUCCGUGGUACUAUUUUCGGAACAUUUUCACCUUCCAAUAUUUGGAAUUGCUCACUUAAACCGAGGUGGGACAUAAGAAGGCAGACAUGAGUGAGUAGCUCGCCUCCUCGCCGAAGCUGCUGACCGUGUUGAAUCCAUCCACAAUGACUGGCAGCAUAGCACAACAUCUCCACCCACACCUCACUCACCAUCUUCCAUUUCUCUCCCAUCUCCAUUUCCAGUGAUUUCAACGUUUUGGCAAGCCUACAUGCCUCGAAUAACACCGACUUGCUUUUAUCUCCUUUCACCAUUUUGGGAUCCAGGUCAACUUCAAGCAGCAAUCUGCAAGCUUCAUUUCUGUUAGAUAUGGACUCCCUUCUUUGCUGGAAGAAUCUUUUAGUCGCUGAACAAGUGUCGCGGAACCUGAACUCCCCUAUCCCUUUUGGCAGCAUAAAUGGACACGUGACUAGUAGAUACAACAUAUACUCAGACAAGCAUUUGCUUAUUUCACGUCUUGACUUGAGAUUGGUAUCUGGGGAUUUGUCCACAUCACAAGUGUAAUAGAGAUCUGUAGCAAUAUGCCAAAGGAGGAGGCUGUGAUCAAAUUCUACAUCAACUACACUCCAACUAAGUUUAACAAAAGACUUAUUUUUUCUGGUCACAUAACCACCUCUACGUUUGAGUAGCGACUUGAGAUCCCUGUCAUCCUUUGUCAUCUCUACGAGGUAUUGGAAGAUGGGUUCCUUCAUGUCAUCGGCCUUCUCCCAAGUCAUGUACCAGUACCUCUCCAAGAAUCUGUUCAUGUCAAAGAACCUGGGAACCUGAUUGAACUUAGUGUUGUCUCUGAGGCAAGAAUUAAUUAAGUUGUUCUGUGCCAUGCGUCCAGACCAUCUCUUGUCACUGGUUAAAACUGAUCGAAAAGGGGUGAUGGCCCGGCAAAUGGAAUCAGUGAGGGAGUUCUUCUUACUGCUCAACCAGACGAUGCUCCAGUCAGACAAAAUCAGCAUAAUGAUAGCAUAAAUCUCUAGAAAAAUAGCUCCAAAGAGUAACGCGUAAGUAAUGUUGAUGUCAAUGUUUGAGAACUCAUGCCUAUCGAUGAAGAAGUAGAAGGCCGCUAAGGUGGAAAUAGUGGACAAGAAGCUGGCAGUGCGGAGAAGAAUGCCUAGUAGAGAAUAAACCACUGUUGCCUUGGUGUAGAGCACAUCAUACAUAAAACUAAGCUCCACCUCUACCACUUUGAAGGCAUCUUCGAAUGACAAUUCCUUGAUGAUGCGCAUAUUGGUUUUUUGGUCAUUCAUGCUGAGGAUGAGGUCUGCAUAUAGAUGCCUGAAUUGCUUCUUGAAUAAGAAGUAAGCUUUAUCAAUAUAUGUUCCAACCGGAAUAGUCAUGCCUUCAUCAAUAGAUCGACUGACUGCAAUUGCCCUCACUUCGCCUUUCUGUAAACAAGAAUAAUCAGGUCCAGGAUUAGGAACUGGAAGCAAAGAAUCUCUAAAGUGAUUCUUGCUUGCAGAUCUCAGAACCCAGGUCCUCUCUCCAUACUUGAUCAUUCCAACCACAAACAUUGGGAUGGAUAGAAAUGUGAGUGGAGUUCCUGCCCAUGACCUCAGAAACACGUAGAAAGCCACUCCAACUUGGACAACUAGUCCUAGCAAGUGCCUUAACCACAACUCAUUAUAUUCUGAGGAGUAAGCCGAUAUAGUGUCCGGACCACCAAGGUGCAAGAGAAGGAAUGGCGCCCAAAAUGCCAUGAGGGUAUAGUUUGGAUCCAGAAGUUUCCCUUCCGAAUCUCCUUGGCUGUUGGAGAGGAUACCCAGGGAUACUGUCGCCACCCAGUCUGCGGACAAGUAUGCCGACCAAAUCAGGAUUCUGAUCCAAGGUGUGGCUGUGUGCUUUCGUCGAUUGCUAAAGAUGAUUAGGAAGAUUUGUAGGAAAAGGCUUAGUAGAACCAUGAAGCGUAGCUCCCAUUCAUUCCAAAGUUUCCGCACACUUUCUGAGAAUAUCUGCAUUGCUCUCGCGCCUGUUCUCUGUAAAAAGAUCCAACAGAAAACAACUAAACAUUCAAAAAUAUUAGAGCCUAAAAUGAAGAAUGAAAGAAUAAAUUUGUAAAAUAAAACUCUUAAAUUCAUACCAAUCAUUUUUCACUUUUAUUCAUUUGCCACUUGUAACUUUCCAACAUUUAUAACUCAGCAUUAAAAUUUAGCACUUAAUUUUUAAUCUUCAGUUUUAUUAAACACCUUAUGAAUAGCUUCAAUUUUCACUUAAAAUUAGGAAGAUAAGUUGUUUCAACAUUUUUUUAUACUUUUUUUUUAGAAACUAUUUUUAAAUUAAAAAAUAAAAUAUAAUUUUAAUAAAUUUUAUUAAAAGAAAUAAGAGUUUUUAACAAGUUGUUUUUUAAAAAACAAAAACUUGUUUCCAUAAAUUAUAUUAAAAAAUGGUUUUUAUUAAAUUAAUUAGUUAAAAUGGAUAAAAUAAUAUUUUUGAUAUGAAAGUCCUUUUACUAUUUCAAAUAGUUAGAUUUCAAAAUUUGGGUUUCAAAUAAUUCUUUUAAUCAAAUAAUCCUUUUCUGUUUUGAUAUUGUAAAAACAUUGUAAAUUUAAUUUAUAUAAUAUUAAUUAAAUUUAAUUCAAAUCUUAUUAAAAAUAAAAUUAGUUUUUUAAUUACAAAUAAAUUAAAAAAUUCAUAGGUUUUUGUAAAACAUGAAUAAUAAUAUUAUAAUAAAAUCAUAAAUUAUAAUUUUUUAUUUAAAAAAUCACUAUUUCAAUAUGUAUUAAAAAAUAUGGAUAUUAACAUGUUUAUAAAAGGGUCAUUAAUUUCUUUUUUGUUAAAAGUGAAUAAUAAUAAUAUUGUAUUUAAAAUGAAUAUAAAAUAAAAUUUAGCUUUUUUAACAUGUAAAUGAACCAAAACUUUUCAUUACACACACACUCGUUUAGAAUGUUUGGAUUAAAUAUAUAACUAAUUAAUUCAAUUUUUUGAAUUUAAAAUUAUUCUCAAAAAUUAAAAGGUUCAUCAAAAAUUUAAAUUAUUAAUUAUGUGUUACUUAAUUUAGAAUCUAGUUAUGUAAUUAAAAAAAUUAAAAAAUUAUAAUUGUGUAUAAAAGAGAAAUAGUGAAGUCAUAAUUCUAUUUUUUGAGUUUCAAUUAUAUAUUAACUCUUUAAAUUAAUUUAUCAAAUAUCAUCUUAUAUUUAGCAUUGAAACUUCAAUUAUAUUGUUCCCUAAAAUAAAAAUAAAAGUAUUAUGUCUAGUAACUACACAUGAACUUACAAGAAAUACUUGAAUAAAGGGCUGGUUUUGGCUCUCCUACGACUCCUUUUUGUGACUCACAAUUGGGAGUCCUUUGUGUGCGUAUUUAUUGGGGAAAAUAGAGUUUCCCUUGAAUCUGAGGAAAGGAUGCGGUGCAGGAGUUGUUGGUCACAGUACGCAUACUUUAAGGGCAUCACCCGCAAAAUGACAUUAUCUUUACUUCAUUAUAAUGCAAAUAUAACUCUUUUCCUUUCAUUUAUUCCCAAUUUUGCUAUGUGCAGAAUCAUCUGAUCACUGGGGUGUACUCAUAGUCACAUUAAUAAAUGUAAGGGAGAAGCCCAGAGUGUAGGACUUGGUCACAAGUCGAGAAACACAUACUAAUUUCGCCUUUGAUUUUGUGGAACAGUGUCAUGGCUGCAAUUUUGACCGGAUGAUUACUAACCCAAAUUCAAACCGAACUAAAAAGCAAUUGAUCAAAAUCUAACCCAACGUAACUUCUACCCCAAAUUUUUCAAUCAAAACCUAAACUAACCUCAUUUCUCUAAACCCCGAUUGAGUUCAAGGCAGUCAAGUUUUGUUUCAGAUUAAUUAAGUUACAUAAUUCAAAAUCCUUUUAUAAUACAUAUAACAAAAUUUUUAUAUAUUUAUAUGAAAAUUUAAAUAAUAAAAUAAGACAAAAUUUAGAUAUAGCAAAAAUGUAAAAACAAAAUUGUAUAUAUUUUUAUAAAAAGAAAUGAAGAUAUAUAUUAUAUAAUAUUAAUUUAACAUUUUUUCACAAAAAUAUAAAAAAAUGAAUAUUAUUGUACAAGAUAAUAUAUAUUAUAAAUAUUAAGAAACAUUAAACUGAAUUCAAAUUAGGUUUAUUCAAACCUGAGGAAAAUAUAAUGUUCUUUUGAAUUAUAUAAUUCAAAAUUUAUUUAUAAUAUUUUUUUAAUAAAAUUUUUAUAUAUUUAUAUGAGAAAUUAAAUACUAAAUAAAAAAAAAUAUAUGUAACAACAAAAAGUAAAAAUAAAUUUACAUUUAAAAAAAAUGAACAUGUUUAUUAUAUAAUAUUAACUUGAUAUUUUUUUAAAAAAAUCUAAAAAAAAUGAAUAUUUUUAUAUAAAAUAAUAUACAUUAUAAAUAUUACAGAAACGUUCAAAUUAGGUUUUUGUUGCCCAAACCCUAAUCUUAACCUAUGCACAAACCAAAUUGAAUUUGAUUUGAAAACUUUAACUCAAGCUCAAUCCCAAUAAUAAAAAUGAUUAUCUAAACCCGCCAAACAUUAUAUCAAGUUUAGAUUGAGUCGAGCUGACCCGCCCCAAAUUGCACCCUAAGCACUAUCCAAUGAAUAAUGAACUUGUGCAUUCACUUGAAAAGUUCCCUAUCAUAAGUGACAGAACAGUACUAUAUUCACUGAGUAUGGCUUCUGCUUUCUUUUUCUUUUUCUUUUUCUUUUUCCUUUUUCACACCUCACUUGUUAAUUUUCUUGUUUUUCAGAUCCUCCUGUGCCACAUUUUACCUUCUAACCAUUAUUUCUUAACUACGAAAAAACUCACAAGACUAGACAGAAGAUUAGCACAGAAAGAUGCAGCAGAUUCUCCAUCGCUUGCUCCUCUUUUUCUCCUUACACUCAACUCAUGUGUCAUUGACCAACUCAAAGAUCAAAGGGCAAUAAUAAUUUGUUUAAAAAUUAUUAUCACAUAAUUUUAUGUUAAAAAACGAUAUUGUAAAAAUGUAUAUUUUUUAAUUGAUGGAUAAUUAUGAUAUUUUUUUUAAAAAAAUUCUGUUAUGGUAUUAUUGUCUUGAUCAUUACCUUGUUCAUGGAAGCUAAUAUACAAAUGUCGGUAUCUUAAGUUUGCAACAUAAUAUCUUUAGAUCUUUGAAAAUAAUGUCUCAAAUCCUUGGGAUUGUAAGCUACAUAAGGGGAUUAGAGUGCUCAAAAGCCUCAGAAUGGUAAUCCUGAUUAUAAUGCCAUGUUAAAUGUUAUAAAAUGGUGAGACUAUGAUUGCUGAGGUGGUGGUUCACUGUGUGAAAGGCGGAGCGUAGUGGUGACUGGUGAGAUGGUAUGGUGGCCGACCAAAAAAAGAGAGGAAGAAGAUUUGCUGGGAACAAGGAAAGCACCCCAAAUCAGUUUUUCUUUUUCUUUUGACACUUUUUCUUUGUCCAGUUGGAAUUUUCUUUAGCUAGAUGGAGUGCUGAUCAGGUAAAUUUAGAACUCAAGCAUAGUAGGAAUAACCCAACCUAGAGUUUGGAUUAGGUCUUGGUGGACAAGAGACUGAUCACUCCAAAUCAAUUUCUCUUUCUUUCUUCUUUUAUCAGUUUUUUGAGCAUCACCCAGAAUUCUUUAUUCACAGGAACAUAUUUACAAGAUUAAACAGAAGAUUAGCACACAGAAAUACAGAAGAAGAUUGUGGUGAAAUGAUGUAGUACAGCAAGAGAGUUGACAGUGGCAGAGUGGAGAAUAAAAAAGAUCGAUCAGUCCUUGGUGUGACUACCCUAUAUAUAUACUAUAUUAAGAAUCAAACAGUCAAUAUAUAUAGUUUGGCAUCGUCCAGUUAAUAUAUUUUUAGACAUCUUCUCAGAUGAUUCUGAUCAAUGAUUCAAUCUCUUCUUGUGUCAAUUCCUUUUGGUAGUUGUUCUGAUUCAAGAAAAUCACAGUUAAGUACACGAUCAUGUGAUCCAUCCAACACCUUCAAUUUGGCCAAUUUUGGUUAAUUUCAUAGUUCUAAGGUCCUAGAAAAUCAUGCCAGACAGCCAGGACCAUUUUACAUGUUUUUUUUUUUACUUUGUUACUGUUGGGAUGCAUUUGGUUUGUGGGAAUCAAAAUGAAAAUAUGAUGAGAAUGAAGGUGAAUCAUAAUGUUACAUAGAAGAGAUGAAUCAAAAUACUAGUGAGAGCGAGAUUUGAUUUCUAUACUAAUGAAUUUUUUAUUCCUAUUUCCUUUCUAAAAAAAUAAUUCAAAUGAAGAAAUAAGUCGGAAUGAAACUAAUUUCCCAUUCUCCUUAUCUAUUCUAGGUUCUAAACCUAAUCUUAAGGUUAUUCUUAUGCAUUUUUCAUCCAUGUACUUCUGCAAUUUUGAGGAAUUCAAACUAUUUCCAAAGGACGAGAUAGAAAACAAUGUGCUUAAAGGAAAACAAAAGGAAGAUGUCAAAUGGUAUGUUUGGAAGUUAUUUUAAUACCUAUUUUUUUAUUUUUAAGAAAAAAAUAGGAAAACAUGUUUGACAAUCCAAAGAAAAAAAAAUCAGUUUUUAAAGAUAUAAAAUAAGGUUUUUUCUUAGAAUGAAUAUUUUAGUCGUUUAAUUGCAAUUAUUUUUUAAAAAUUGUUUUAAAAAAUAAUUACAUAAAUAUAGAGAAAAAUUGAAAAUAAAGUAUCAAAUAUAAAAACUAUAUUUGAAAAAUAUAUAAAAAAAUGUUUAAAACAGUUUAAGUUUCCAAAUAAACUUUUAUUUUAUAAAAUAUUGAAGAAAUUAUUUCAAAAUUAGUUUUCAAAAACCAUUUCUUAGAAUUGUUUUAAGAAAUAUACUUUCCAAAUAGAGUCAAGGCUUUUUAAUUUAGUAUAAGGAAAAAGUGUGUUUUGGUACAAAAGUAUUAAAAAAAUGGAAAAUAAAAACCUCCAAAAAUAAUUCAAAUUUAAGGCAUCAAAAUCGAAAAUCUUGAUGUUAGAGGAUGAUAUUAUAAAUAUAUAAUUUAUAUUUUAUGAAAAUUAAAAAUAAUUAUAAAAAUAUAUAAAUAAUUAAUAUAUUAAUAAUAUUUGAUAAAUUGGUGAUGACUUCUCAACCGACAAAAAACUCAUUAAUUAUCAUCUUAUUAUUUUGAGUUUCCAUCAUUACCUUCAUCAAGAAGGUCUUUUAUUCUCUUCUUAUUCCUUUGAAAAUAAAGCAAGAUAUUUUAUUUUCCUCUCGUUCCUUUUUUUUUUCUCGGUUAUUUUAUGUAUUUUCUGUUUCCCCCCACCUGUAUGCAUUCUCUAUUUUCUCUUUUUCAUUCCCUCAUUCUAAUUAUUUGCUUUCCUUUCUCUGUUUUCCUUUCAGUCUAAUUAUUUCACUCAUUCUAACAAUUGGCUUUUCCAAGCGAAGAGGGAUCUAGGUAAAAGAAAUAUCAUACAUGAGAGGAAGGCUUUCCGAGACCAAUCUGACCAACUAACAAGGCUGAAUCCAAAGAAUCGACUAACAGUGUUCUGUGCAUCAUCUACCGAAUCAAGGUUGCUCUACGAUCUUAGUGGCUGUAGAUAAGGUGGAAUCGCCCACCGAAACAGAGAAUCUGGUUCUUUCUGCCGAGCCACAGGCCAAGUCCUCUGUUUCAAACACAUCCGUAUCGGAACCGAAUGAAGUAGGCACCGGAACAGUACAUCCUGCAGUUCUUUCCUCUUGACCUCUUUGUUUCUUCCAAAAGCUCUCAACAGGCCUUGAUCCAGCAGCUGAUCUACCACCAGCCUAAACAUACCAUCCAAAAGCAUUUGCAUCCGUUUUUUUUCAGGACCAACUGGACCACAACGUUCAGUUUCUCUUCUCGAACCAGCAAAUCCUGGUCCCUUAAUAGACUUAUAAAUAUCCGAGCUUUAAGCUGCAAACUCUUACAUAGGAGCCAAUUGGAGAAGAGAAAGCUGAGUGGUUUUCCGCAGGAUCUUUUGCAGAAGUAGAGACGGUGUAUCGUUUUCAUAGCAGGCCUAGCUUUUCUCCGCUCACACGGUUCGCAGGUUGGAAAAGUCCCUUCGCAAGAGAGGAAAGCCAAAAAGAAGAGAUUGCUUUCCUCCUUCUCGAACUCUCGUGAUCUACGGCCACCCUUGGAAAGACUUUUUCCUAUGAUGGUGAUUCCUAAUAUGAACGAGACAGGGGGAACGACAAUUGCUGGCCUGGCCUACUCAUCGGGUUUGUGACAACAGUUUAAAAAAAUACUCUUGUUAAAAAUCUCCUACCUCCUCGCUCGUCGGUAUUAGGAAAAGGUCCAACGUGAUUGGCACACACAAAACAAGCCGUUCCUGAUCUUCGAUCACCCUGCCCUUCAUUCAAUAGAUCGCUUAGCUCUACUUAGUCGAUUCCCUGUGUUCAUGGCUUUGAAUUUUUGGAAAUGCUUUUAUUUUCGAUAAAGAUCUCGAUGACCGCUUAAUUCAUCUGUCCUUUCCCGCUUCUGGAUGAGAAGUUUUUUUUUUUAUUCCCUGAUCUACGAGCACCCUGAGAAAAGUGAUCUAUGAACCUUACAGGCUUUCGACUGAAAAGUGACCAAUGGAAUAGGCUUUAGAGUAGCUCUUUCCAAAUAGGUCGAGAAAUUAAAUUUUAAGGAGGUCUCUAGUUGGGAUUCACAAGUGUAAAUAGAAGUCAGGUGAAACAUAGGAAUUCCAGAGUAAGAAUAAUAGGCAGAAUAUCAGAUCAGUUCACCUUAAGACCUCAUCUUAAGCCUAUGUUCGCACGGUUAGAAAUAGAAUUUUAAGGAGAACAAAAGUCGGCAUUGUUUCAACCAGCCUAGACCUUGAUACAAUUUAAGCCGUUAAACGAACUCAACAUUCUCCGACUCAAUCCAUGCAAUCCAACCUCUCAUGAAUUUUAAACAAUUUCUCAGAAGAAUAAACAAAUAAAGCAUAAUUAAAAAGAAGAAGAAGAAAGAAGUCGGUUUGAAAGCAAACUAAGAAGGGAAAUGUACCAGAGUAUGACGAUGGUGGGUUGGUUGGAGCUGUUCACGAUGUUCCGCUCAUGAAGGUGGGAGUAGUGUACUGGUGAGAAGGUGGAUGGCCGGAGAUGGUGGCCAACGGCAGUGAGAAUGGUGACUUUGUGACCCUUGAAUGGGUUUGCAUUAGUAGUUUUAAACCAGAGAAAAGGCCAAAAAAGAAAAAGAAGAGAUAGAGAGAGAGAGUCGUCUCGUGGGGCGGCGGAAGCGUGUUUCUGUAGCAAUAAUUCGAAGAAAGUAGGUGGUCGACGGCAGUAGUACUAGUUUGUUGAGUCACUUUGAUUCCAAAAUUGAAAGUCCAUACCCACUUUGAUUUAAAAAUAAUAAUAUAAUAAUAAAAAUAAUAUCAAUAAUUCCUCCUUCACGUUUGUUGGAUUCAUCAAUGAAGUUUCUUGCAGUGGAGGCCAGCAGUGAUGCUUUCAGUUAUAUCACAGGGUGGCUUUAGCAGUGUAAAAAUAAACAGGUUUCACAUUUGAUAGCAUUCAAAUACUAAUGAAAUAAAACAUUUUAGUACUUAAUAUAUAUAAAGGCUGCAAUCCUCAAGCAACAAACAGGUUUUUGUAAUUGGAUGGAUGAAUUGAAUUAGAAAUACUAAGAAUCAUGAUUCAUUGGUUAGUGUAUUCGGGUCCAACUAUGGUCAAACAUAGUGAUGUGAUGUCAGGAUGACAUUAUAAAUAUAUAAUUUAUAUUUUAUUAAAAUAAAAAAUAAUUAUAAAUAUAUAAAUAAUUAAUAAUAUUUGAUUUAAAAAAAUAAUAUUAUUAAAUUAAAUCAUGAAAAAGAUAUAUAUAUAUAUAUCACUAUUUUCAAUUUUUAUGUGAUAAAACAUUUAUAAUUUUAAGUGUAAAGAUAUACUUAGGAUGAAAAUAUAUAUAUAUUUAUAGUACAAUCAAAUAUGAGAAAACUAUUUUUUAUUUUCAUUUUUUUUUUAUUUUCGUAAUAUUUUUUGAGAACCAAACAUAACCUUUAUAUAGAAGCCUUAAAAGAAGUGAAAUGAAUUUGAAAUAAUAUUUAACAAUAAUUUAUUAACUUUGAAUCAAAAUUUUAUUUUCUUUUCACUUUAUCUUUUUUAAUUUAUUUUAAAAUAUUAAAAAUAUAAAUUUAUUCAAAAUUUGCUAAAAUAUAAUAAUAAUAAUAAUAAUAAUAAAGUUCUAAUAUUUUAUAAACUAAAAUUAAUUUGACAAGAUAAGUUAUUAAUAUAUAUUUAAAUUAUUUAAAUAAAUUAAUGAUAAUAUAAAAAGUUAUUACCACAUAUUUGUAGUAAAAUUUUAGAAAUUAAAUUUCAAAUAAAAUAUUUUAUAUAAAUCAAUUUAUUUUUUUUUAUUUAAAAUGUAAAAAAACAUGUUUUAAUAAAAGUAUUUUUUAAAUUUUAAAAUAAUAAAAAGAUAUUUUAAACUAAUUUUUUUUUAUAAAAAUUUGAUAAAUAUUAUCUUUAAUUAUACUUAUGUAAAUUGCAAUUAUAAAAUAAUUUUAAUAUGUAUAUUUUUACUUAUUUUAUCAUUUUUUAAAAAGUUUUCUAAGUAUCUUCAUAAAUUUUGAAUCAUUUCUAUUUGAUCCAUAUUUUUGUCAAAAUACUCAUUGAUUUUUGUUAGAUAUUUUCGAUAUAUCCGCAAAAUCAAAAUACCAAUAUAUCCAUAUUUACUGAUAUUUCAAAUAUUACUUCUCAUUUAUUCAAUUAUGGAAACAUAUAAGACCACAAGUAAUCGGAAGAAGAUUAGAUUUAGGCGAAUUGAUGUAACAAUGGAGGCCAGUCAACAACAGUGGUGCUGUUGAAAUUAAUGGAUAUUUAGGGUUAUAGGUUUCAAAAAUUGUUUAGGCUUAAUUGAUUUUCCAAACCCUCUUUGGGAUAUUUAGGGUUUUAAAAGAGAAGUAAAAACAAUUAUUAUUACAUAACUUUAUGUUUAAGGAUGAUAUUUUCAAUUUUUCUUUUUAAGUUAUUGAUAGUUAUGAUAUUUAAUAUAUAUAUUUUUUUUUUGCUACGAUUAGAAAAUACACUAUUAUUGUCUUGGUCAUAACUAAAAGUGCUCAAUCUCUUUUGAGCUGUAUGAGAUUACCUUGUUCAUGGAAGCCAACAAUGAUGUCCAAAUAUAAAUGUUGGUAUCUUAGGUUUGCAAUAUAAUAUUGUUCUUUGAAAAUGAUUGUCCCAAGUCCUUGGGGAUUAUAAGGUACGUAAGGGGAUUGAUGUGCAGUAGAGCCUCAGGAUGUUAAGUCUCAAAAGUCGAAAUAAUGCAAAGUUGAAUGUAUAUAAAGGCUUUACCUCCCUACAUUAAUAAUCAAUUUGCUUUAAAAUGAGAUGACUAAACCCUUGAGCUUAGCAAGUGGUCUCAAGUUAUGGAUUCACGUCACCAAAACCUCAUGUUCUCAAAUUUUAAAUUUGCGAUAAUAACGCUAUAGCAUAAACACUAAGCCCCAAAAUAAGCUUCAGGCAAUCCUAGGAUGGAAGUACUAUAAAAUAAUAAAUUUAAAAUUUCAUAAUUAUUAAUUACUUUUGAAGCAUUUUCUCUUCUUUGAAUUCCAUCCAUAUGACCUACUACUUAAUUUUUCAAAAUUAAUUAUUAAUAAUAUAUAAUGAGAUUUUAAAAAUACAUAUGAAAAAAGUCAAUCUAGAUACAAAUUAUUAUUAUUUUUUUUAUAAUCAAGGAACAUUUCAUAGUUAAACUCUUAGGACUUUCAUGAAGACCCAAACUACCUCGUGGUGCUGACCAUUUCGUAAUAAUUAAUACUAGAUAAAUUUAGGGUAUCAUUAAUGAUAAGAUUCGAAUCUAAAACCACGUGUUACUUACCUGAACCACACUUCCUAGUGUUUGAUUGUAGGUACAAAUUAUUAUUAAUUAUAAAAAUUAAUAAUUAAAAUUAAAUUUAAAAUAUUAAAUUAUUGAUAUUCUAAUUUAGUUACCAUAAUAAAUUUUUAUUUAAAGAAUUUAUUUGCUGAUUAUAAAAAAAAAACUAAAAGUGUAAACGAUAAAAAGAACAAAUAUAUCACCCAUAAGAUGGGUAUAAACAAUAUUGAUUUUAAAAAACAAAGAUAAAUAAAAUAGUUAAAAAUAUAGCCACUUUAUAAAAUAUUUUAUACCUAAAAUAACCUUUACAAUAAAUUUUAUUUUUCUAUUAUAUCAAACAAAUAUUAAUAUUGAAUAUCAAUUUAUUAUUAAUUAAUUUAUUAUAAAAGAUAUAUGAAUAUGGAUUUAUUAUUAAAGAUAUGAGAUAAUAAGUAUUAAUAUUAUGUAAGCAAAUGUGUGAUUCAUAAUUAUUUAUUAUAAAAAAUAUAUAAAUAUAAGAAGAUUAAGUAUCAAUAUUAUGAAAAUAAAUUAAGUAAUAUAAAGAAUUAUUUAUUUUUAAAAAUAAUUGAAUAUAAUAAGAUGGUAAGUAUUAGUUUUAUGUAAAAUAUUGUAAAUUUAAAACGGAACUUAUAUUUUUUAACCCUUCAAUAUCUAUAGGAAAAUCAUUCAAAAUAUAUGAAUAUAAAUUAAUUACUAUUUUUUUUCAUUAUUAAAGAUAUAGGAAUAUGAGUUUAUUAAUAUAGAAAGUUGCUCAUUUACUAUAAACUUUUUUGUUUAAUUUUUUUUACUACAUUUUGUAAAAUAUUAAAAUAUAUAUAUAUAUAUAUAUAUAUAUAUAUAUAUAUAUUUUGCUGCCUCACAUGCAUGACACGUGUGACAGAUGAAUUCCUUGCAUGGCUGUAGGCAGAGAGGGUUAGACACCUAUGUCAAGUGUAAGUCAUAUAUCCCUUAUCAUAUAUGAAGGCAACUAGAAGUCUAUAAAAUGCACAAACUUCUAUCUCCUUUCACUUCCAUGGGUGGGAGAUAUGAUCUGAUAGCAGGCUUGAAAGCUAUGCAUUUUGUACUCAACCAAGCUUGAUUUUGUUUAGAUCAGUAUAGAUAAUAGAAGUGGUCAGUUGUAAUGUGCCUGAUGAGGAGAAUGCUCUGAUUGAACUCUUCCUCCAUGCUCCAACCAAGGAGAUCAUUCAUUUUUUCAGGCACAUGAUCACCUUGAUAUAGUGAUAUACAUGGAGAAGAUAGUGUACUUGUGCAGUUUCCUGGCAGCCUAAGAUUUCUGAGGCCUGUGAAUUUGGUCUAUCUAUAGAGUAUGGCAUAAUGUUUAUCAGCAAGCUUGAGUAUUACACCAAGCAGAAAGUAGUUUUUGAGUCUAGAUUGCCUUCAUUCUCCGAGGUUGAAAUGAAUACUUGAAAUGUUGAUUCGGUCUUGAAGUCCUUACCAAACUUUUGAAUAUCUCUAGCCCUUACUUCCUUCAAAGCUUAGAGAACCAUUCUACCAUAUUUAGCUACUUUCAGACAUCUUUGUAUUGCUAUUCUGAGUAGCAGCCAACCGUAUUGUCUAAAAAAUAUCACAUGGCCUGUCACUUGGCAAAUACUACUAGACGCAUUGUAGUUUGGGCAGGAAAGUCAGUAUGCAUUUCCCACCUUACCUUAGUCUUGUGGAAGAGAAGGAUUUCCACACUGGAGACCUUUGUUUAUUUGUGUUGACUCCUCCUAGAAAAAGAACUGAUGGUCCCAUCCUGCACUGUGGAUUCUCAAAGGAUAGUACUAAAAGAAGAUGAGGGCAGCCAUCAUCUUUGAACACUACAUAUUGAGACAAAAAAAGGUAUCAUUUUUUGGGGGAAAAAAAGGGUUGUGAUCCCCACCCCACCUAACCUUGGAAAUUUCAAGGAGACUGCAAAAUGGCUUUUCAAAAGACUCAGAACAUUUCCAAAGCGAAGUCCAUAUUAUUAUUAUUAUUAUUUUGUGCUAAUUCCAUGUACAAGACUCAUAAAUUUUAGUGUGUUGCAUAGACUUAAGAGUUGUGCUUUCUUCAAUCAAAUGGAUCUCCCUCAUCUCACUCAGUAGAGCACAUAGGCCUCAUAUUUGGCUUGCAACUGUGGCUUUUGCCUUCAUCACACGGUGGAGUGGAGGCUUUCAGUUCUAUCACACGGUGCCUUUAGCAGUGUCAAAAUAAACAGGUUUCACAUUUGAUAGCAUUCAAAUACUAAUGAAAUAAAACAUUUUAGUACUUGAUAUAUAUAUAAAGGCUGCAAUCCUAGCAACAAACAGGUUUUUAUAAUUGGAUGGGUGAAUUGAAUUAGAAAUACUAAGGAUCAUGAUUCAUUGGUUAGUGUAUUCGGGUUCAACUAUGGUCGAUCAUCGUGAUGUGAUGUUAGGAUGACAUUAUAAAUAUAUCAUUUAUAUUUUACUAAAAUAAAAAAUAAUUAUAAAUAAUUAAAAAUAUAUAAAUAAUUAAUAUAUUAAUAAUAUUUGAUUUUCUUAAAAACUUUAAUAUUAUUAAAUUAAAUCGUGAAAAAGAUAAAUAUAGAUAUAUCAAUAUUUUCAAUUUUUAUGUGAUAAAACAUUUAUAAUUUUAAGUGUAAAGUUACACUUAGGAUGAAAAAAUAUAUAUUUAUAGUACAAUCAAAUAUGAGAAAACUAUUUUUUUCUUUCCUUAAUAUUUUCUGAGAACUAAACAUAACUUUUAUAUACAAGCGAAGUGAAAUGAAUUUGAAGUAAUAUUUAACAAUAAUUUAUUAACUUUGAAUCAAAAUUUUAUUUUCUCUUCACUUUAUUUUUUUAAUUUAUUUUAAAAUAUUAAAAAUAUAAAUUUAUUCAAAAUUUGCUAAAAUAUAAUAAUAAUAAUAAUAAUAAUGAAGUUCUAAUAUUUUAUAAAUUAAAAUUAAUUUGACAAGAUAAGUUAUUAAUAUAUAUUUCAAUUAUUUAAAUAAAUUAAUGUUAAUAUAAAAAGUUAUUACCACAUCUUUGUAACAAAAUUUUAGAAAUUAAAUUUCAAAUAAAAUAUUUUAUAUAAAUCAAUUUAUUUAUUUUAUUUAAAAUGUAAAAAAACAUGUUUUAAUAAAAGUAUUUUUAAAAUUUUAAAAUAAAUAAAUAAAAAUAUAUUUUAACCUAAUUUUUUUUUAUAAAAAUUUGAUAAAUAUGAUCUUUAAUCAUAUUUAUGUAAACCGCACUUAUAAAAUAAUUUUAAUAUGUAUAUUCUUACUUAUUUUAUCAUUUUUAAAAAAAGUUUUCUGAGUAUCUUCAUGAAUUUUGAAUCAUUUCUAUUUGAUCCAUAUUUUUGUCAAAAUAUUUAUCGAUAUUUGUUAGAUAUUUUCGAUAUAUCCGUAAAAUUCAAAUACCAAUAUAUCCAUAUUUACUGAUAUUUUAAAUAUUACUUCUCAUUUAUUCAACUAUGAAAACAUAUAAGAGUACAAGUAAUCAGAAGAAGUUUAGAUUUAGGCGAAUUGGUGUAACAAUGAAGGCCAGUCAACAACAGUGGUGCUGCUGAAAUUAAUGGAUAUUUAGGGUUAUAGGUUUCAAAAAUUGUUUAGGCUUAAUUGAUUUUCCAAACCCUCUUUGGGAUAUUUAGGGUUUUAAAAGAGAAGUAAAAACAAUUAUUAUUAGAUAACUUUAUGUUUAAGGAUGAUAUUUUCUAUUUUUCUUUUUAAGUUAUUCAUAAUUAUGAUAUUUAAUUGAAAUUUUUUUGCUACUAUUAGAAAAUACAUUAUUAUUGUCUUGGUCAUAACUAAAAGUGCUCAAUCUCUUUUGAGCUAUUGGAGAUUACCCUGUUCAUGGAAGCCAACAAUGAUGUCCAAAUAUAAAUGUCAAUAUCUUAAGUUUGCAAUAUAAUAUUGUUCUUUGAAAAUGAUUAUCCCAAGUCCUUGGGGAUUAUAAGGUACGUAAGGGGAUUGAUGUGCAUUAGAGCCUCAGGAUGUUAAGUCUCAAAAGUCGAAAUAAUGCAAAGUUGAAUGUAUAUAAAGGCUUUACCUCCCUACAUUAAUAAUCAAUUUGCUUUAAAAUGAGAUGACUAAACCCUUGAGCUUAGCAAGUGGUCUCAAGUUGUGGUUCACGACACCAGAACCUCAUGUUCUCAAAUUUAAAAUUUGUGAUAAUAGUGCUCAUUGGAUUAAUAUGAUAGCAUAAACACUAAGCCCCAAAAUAAGCUCCAAGAUAAGGGUGUUGCACCUAGUUUUCAAUCCUAGGAUGGAAGUACUAUAAAGCGCUAGCUAGAUAGUAAACUCCAAGUUUUCAACAUUAGGAUGGAUGUGAUAUAAUUCUCAAAGAUGGUUAACUCAACAACCUCAAUGUAAGUUGUUUCAGGUUUUCAUCUCUAUGAUGGGUGUGUAGUAAAGUCUCAAGAUGGGUGUGUUCCAAGCUUUUUUAAGUAAGCUUUGGAAAGUCAUCAUGUCCUCCUCAGAACAAUAAGUGUCGAGAUAUUAGUAUUAUAAAGCCUUGGGAUGGUCGCUUGGCCUAGAAUGGUUAAUCUGUGAGAUGGGUGCACUAUAAAACCUUAGAAUAGGUUUAUUGUAAGCCUUUGGGGAUGUUAUUGCUUAUAGCCAAUUGACUUGGGAAAGUGUGUUGUGAACCUUAAUAUAGUAAUAUAAGGGUUCGUGUGUUAUUGAUUUUAGGAAGUUUUUUUAAUGUAAAAAGUAUUUAAAAUAAAAAUAUUAGGUGUUUGUCAAAAUUUAGGAAACAUUUCUAACAACCUAAAAAUCAUUUAUAAUAUUAAAAAAUCACUUCAAAUAAAACACUUUCAAAUAAAACACUCUCACUAAAAAACUUCAAGUAGAAAUAUUGUCAAACACAUUUUAAAACAUUGGAAUGGAUGCGGUGAAGACAACCUUUGAGAUAAGUGUGUUUAAGCAUUAGUAUGGUAAAUCCUAGAUUAAAGUAAUAUCAAAUAUCAUAAAAAAUUUGUCUUCUUUUAUUGAUGCUUAAUCGAUGUAUUCAACUAUCAUGAUGAAAAUCUUAAAACCGACAAUAAAAUAGGUCUUGAAUGAGAAGUAAGCAUUAUGUACACAUUUUGGAUUAGGAAUAGUUGUACGUGUUUCAUUUACGAAGACUGUAGAAAUGCUUUUUUGUGAUUUUUUUUUUGAAGUACCCUGCCUUUAAAAUCUUUAAUUAUUGAAUUUUUUUAAAUCAAUGUCUAUAAUUGUAUUUUAACUACCUAGCUACAAUCUAAAAAUUAAAUCGAGGUAUUAACUCCACUAAAUAAUAGAAUGACAAUAGCUUGAAUAAAAAUUAAUUAAACGUGAUAAAACUAUAGACUAAGUGGACAUUGAUGGUUUUGGACAAUGUAAAACCAGUGUGCACCCAAGACUCGAAGAUAUCGAAUUGAAUCAAAAGAAAAGUUCAGGUAUUCUCUUGAAAAGUUUAGGUAUUUUGUAUAUUGUAUUGCAUUAUGCUUGAUUGGUUCAGGAAUGCAUUAAGAAAAAUUACUUUUUCAUAUAAGGAUAAUUUCAUUUAUCUCUCUUAAAGCUUUGACUAAAUAUAUAUAACUUUUAUUGAUUUGAAAUUUCAUCAAAUAUCUUUCAUAUAUAUUUAUAUUUAUUAUUUUCAUUCACCUCUCAUUUCAUCUAAAAUAAGAAAGGUGUUGGGUGAAAUUUCAAACAAAUGGAGGUUAAGUGUAUUUGAUCAAAUAUUGAGGAGAGAUGAGUGAAAUUAAUCUUUUAUGUUUGGUUUUAUCAUUAAAAAAAUAAAUAUAUAUAUAUAAUUAAAAUUAAUUAAACAUAAAAGUAUGUUUAAUGUGGAAUAAAGAGGUAAAGAGAAUAAACGAGAAGUAUAUUAUACAUAUCAUACAACUUUGUAGAGAGAGAUGUAUGAAUUGGCACCUAAAAAAUAGUACUUUGUAUCUAUCUUGCAAAUGUUUUAUAAGUAUCCUAUAUGCAAUAUAAUUCGUUGAGUCAAAUACAAAAACAUAUGAGUAUUUGAAAUAUUAAGGAUGGCCAAGGAUUGGUUUUACUUCAUCUAAUAUUUGGAAUUGCUCACUUAAACCAAGAUGUGCAAUAAGAAGACAGACAUGAGUGAGCAAGCUCUCCACCUCGCCUAAGCUGAUGGUCGUGUUGAACCCAUUCACAAUGAGUAGCCGCAUAGAAUAGCCUCUCCGUCCAUAUAUGACUUAUUAUAACCCAUUUCUCUUCUGUCCCCGCCAUUUCCUCUAAUUCUAAUAUUUUGGCAGGCUUACAUGCCUUGAAUAAUACAGACUUGCUUUUAUCUCCUUUCACAUCUCUAGGUAGUGGUUGCGUAUCAACUUCAAGCAAUGAUGUGCAAGCUUCAUCUCUAUUAGAUAUGGCCUCCCUUUUUUUGUUGAGAAGCUUUUAUCUCCCUUUUUGGUAGGCCACUUAUUAAACCAAAUUUCAUGAGAAGCUUGACAUUACCAAAAUAAAAAUCAAAAUCAAAAUUUCCCAUAAAGUAAUGUACGAAAUCCAUGGACCAAAGAUCUUUUGAAAAGAUUAUAUUAGAAACUAUAGCUUAAAUUCUAUAAAAAUAGGGAGAAAAAAAAAACAAAAAAAUACAAUUUAAGCCAUUAAACGAAAUCAAUAUUCUCUGAACCAAUCCAUGCAAUCCAAAAUCUUAUUAAUUUUGAACAAUUUCUCGGAAUAAAAAACAAAUAAUAAUUAUAAACUAACAAAAGAAGAAGAAGAAGAAGAAGAAAGAAAUCGGUUUGGGAGCAAAAUAAGAAGGGAAAUAUACCGGAAUAUGACGGUGGGGGCUUGAUUGGAGCUGUUCACGGUGUUCAGCUCAUGAAGCUGGAAGUAGUGUACUGGUAAAAAGAUGGAUGGCCGGAGAUGGUGGCGGACGCCAGUGAGAAUGGUGACUUUGUGACUCUUGAAUGGUUUGCAGUAGUAGUUUUAAACCAGAGAAAAAGCCAGAAAAGAAAAAGAAAAAGAAAAAAGAAGAAGAGACAGAGGAGCAAGACUGAGAGAAUUGUCUUGUGGGCCGGCCGGAGUGUGUGGCUAUAGCAAUAAUUGAAAGAAAGGAAUCCAUCCCUUUUUCACUUUCCUUUCAAUCUCUUUUUUGUCGCCAUUAAUCAAUUUUCUGUCAAUAAUUGGCAACAGUGCAUGUUGAAGUUAGGGGAUGGUUUUUUGGAAGAAACGAUGGAGAGCAUAUUGAAGUUGGCGGGGCAGAUGUGAAUUUGGAAGAUGUGAUGUUGGUAUUAAGGUUUUUUGCAAAUUUAAACUAUGUGAAUGUAAGAGACAAUUAUAUGUAAGUAUAUAAUAAACAAUAUAAAGACAAUUGCAUAUAAAUUAAAAGAGUAGAGAAGAGAAAAUGCAAACACAAGAUUUUAUAGUGGUUUGGCGCAACCCGACCUACAUCCACUCUCCUCUAUCUUCAAGCCCAAGCUUGAGCUUCCACUAAUUUAAGGCUUCCAAACCAAGCCUUCAAGCAAUACAAUUGGAUUAUGGUUCAAAUUCACCCUCUUGGACUUUUGGCUCCAAGCACCCUUUACACUUCUCAAGAGAUAUCCCACUCUUGAACAACCCCUCAAGUGAUACCACAUACUUGAGAAACUUCCUCUCAAAGAUUUACAAAUAAAUGAUCUCACAAAAUUCUAGUACAAAAACUUUAAGCUCAAAUGAUACAAGAAAACUAAGAUUGAAAGGUGCACUAAAGAUAUAAAAGUUUUAGAACAAUGGUGCACUCAAAAACACUAUUACAAGGCUCAAAUAUAUUCAAGAAAUGUUUGGGAAGGUUAAACUCUUUUAAACAAUGAAGAUUGGAGCAUUUUUAUAGAAGAAAAAAAAUCAAACUAGCCAUUGGGGGUUCGAUCGAUUGACUAACUAUUAUCAUUUAAUGCUUGGUAGGUGAUCGUUGGACCUCGACCGGGAAGGGGUGAACCUUAACCGGGAAGAGGAAGCUAUUGGAUGAGAGAUAGUGUUUUUUGGCACUCCUCGAUCGGACCUCGACCAAACAAGGGUAACCGGUAGACCGGUUCCCUAAUCGAUUGAGCCGGUUGGCCAAAGCCUCGACCGGUUCAGCCUUUUGGUCCCGAAAACCUAUCUUUUUGAAUUCCUUUCUUUUCUAACACUUAGGUAAGGUCUUUAGGUGAAUGCCAAUUUUAAAACGUUUUGCCUAAGGUACAUUUGAUAAAACUCGGGUUUUAAUGAAAUCGAAGUUUUAAAGGAUAAACCGAGUUUUCUAAGAUGCAUGAAAUGAUAUGAAAAUCCUAAGUGCACCAACAACCUUCCAAAAAGAUCUUAUGAAGUUUGGGUCUUGAAAAACACUUCUCUUUGAGGUGGUCUUCUUCUUCAUGAUUUCUUUUUGACUUGGUUUGUCUUUGUGAUUGCCACUUUGGAAAUCAUCUUGCCUAAUCACACUUGAAAUAUAAUCAUUAGUUCUAAACCUUGUUUUGUUAUCAUCAAAACCGAGAUUAACCAAACCGUGGUUUCACAAUCUCUUAUGAUGACAAAACCAAGGUUGCUAAAGAGCUCCCCUUCAAUAUAUGCUCCUUUGAAUUUAGAAAAUAUUCAAGUUUAGAAACUUCAAGGAGUAUAUUAAAGAUGCUCAAAAUGAUAUAAUUAAACAUAAAUAGCAUAAAGAGCAAUUUAGCAAUUGCAAAAUAUUAUUAUUUAAACAUGAUGCAUGUAAUUAUAACCAAUAAAGCACAUAACAUCAAUAUGAAUAGGAUUGCUGAAACAAAAUUGACAUUUCUUCCCAAGUUAGCAACCUACCAUUACUUCUCCCCCUUUUUGUCAUCAACAAAAAGUUUCAAUAAAGUAUAUAAGGGAAAUCACAUGUUAUCAAAAGUUUAAAAAAUAAACAAUAAGCAUGAUAUGAUUUCUCAUGAAAAUGAAUCUCCCCCUUUUUCAUUUGAGAAUAGUUUCCAAAUAAAAGAUUGCUCAUCCUUAGAGCAUUUCCAAUUUAAAGCAUGAUUUGGAAAUAUAUGUGAGAGAACAUAUGCAUUUAAAAAGAUAUAUAAUAUGCAUUGAAUAACACUAUUAGAGUUUACAAGCAUAUGAACAUUCAAUUUUACCUAGGUAUAUUAAAAAAAUUUCUUUUUAAUCCAAACCUUGGUUUAAAGAUAUACCAAUUUUAUCAAAGUGAUGCCAAAUGUUAUAUUAUUGACAAAAAAUAUGCCAAGUGUUAGAAAAAUAAUAAAAUGAUAUUGCAAAUUAAGCUUUAAAAGGGAUACCAUUACCAAUAUUAUCAACGCAUUCUUUCUAAGGUAAGCAUAUCCUCAUUUUUGCAUGGAUCCCUACAAAAACAAAUUAAGUAACCUUUGGUACCCAUAUCUUUUUGGGUCCUAGAGGGUUAGUCUUUCUUCCAUUUGGAAUCCAAAAUAAUUUAGAGUUUUGAAGAACAUGAGGGGAUUUACCAAUGUGACCUCCUCUUUCACAAAGAUUGCAAAUAGUUGAAUGUGAAAAACUAGAGGUUUCCUUUACAAAAUAAUUCUUAAAAAAAAAAUUGAUUUUUGAAAGGCUUGUAGCCUAGCCUUUUUUUUUUUUUAAUAUCAAAAAUGCACUUUUGAUUUGCCAAAAUCAUAUCAAAAGUCUUUUGGCCAUUUCAGAAUUUUUAACUCCUCAUUUUCCUUUUCAAAAGGGAUUUUUGCCUUCUCAAUAUUUUCAAAAUUUUCAUUAUGCUCACUGAGCUCAUUUUGAAGACAAUAAAUCUUUUUCUUGAGAGAUAUAUUUUUGAAUCCAAGUUUUUCAAGAUCAAAAUAUAAUUCUUGAAGUACAUCUUGAAACUCGUUAUGGUUAGAGUUGGAGUUUACCUCAUCUUAAUGUUCUUCCAAAGCCAUAAAGCACAUAUUGGCAUCCUCAUUUGUGCAUUCUUCUUCCAUGGAGUCUUCAUCACUUUCACUUUCACUCUCCUCCUCUUCAUCAUCAUUUAUUGAAGCCAUAAAAGCUAUACUUUUCUUAUUUUCUUUAACUCUUUGAAAAUUGUUCAAAUUUAUCUCAUAAGUCAUGAGUGACCAAUGAGUUCUUCAAGUGAGAGUUUGGUGAGAUCCUUUGCUUCUGGAAUAGCCGUCACUUUUGUUUCUCAUUUCUUUGGUAGAGACCUUAAAAUCUUCAUGACUUUCUCUACUUUUAUGUAGGUCUUUCCCAAGGCUUCAAGUUCAUUCACAAUCACCAUGAACCUAGAAAUCACCUCAUGAGUGAUUUCUAAUAGUCUCCAAAUUUCUUUAGCCGACUUACAUUGCCAAAUAUGAUUAAAUUUAUUUCUAUAAAUAGCACAAUGUAAGAUAAAAACGGCUUUGGCAUUUAAUUGAACUUUCUUUCUAUGAAGUUCAUCUCAUUCAUGCUUAGGUUUUGGAACCAUCACUCCAUUUUCUAAUUUUGAAGGAAUGUGGGGACCAUCUUUAAUGACAUCCCAUAAAUCAAGAUUAGUAGAUUGGAAAAACCAAGUCAUUUUAAUUUUCCAACAAGGAUAAUUGGUUCCCAUGAAAAGUGAAGGUCAGGUGGUUGAAAAACUUUCAAUGUAAGAUGAGCUUGAUGGAUUAGCCAUUACUACUUAGAUGAUUAAGUCUUAAACAAGAAGCCUAGUUCUGAUACCAAUCGUUAGGACCUCAGACACUACCAACUCUCUUAAAAGCAAUUGCUUGUAGGAAAGGCGCAUACCCUAACCUUAUAGUGGAUUCACCCAAGCACUCAUGGCGAACAUAAGGGGAGUUGAUGGAUGCGGCCAACCUUCCAAUUGCUUUUAGGAGAGUUGGUAGCGCCUAAGAUCCUACAAGUGGCAUCAGAGCCGAGGUCACGGGUUCGAACCCUAGGGGUGUCGCUGGGAGGGAGAUUGUUGGCAGAUCGGAGGGUUGACCGCAUCCAUCAACUCCCCUUGUGUUCGUCAUAGGCGCUUGGGUGAAUGCACUAUAAGGUUAGGGUAUGCACCUUUCCUACAAGCAAUUGCUUUUAGGAGAGUUGGUAGCACCUGAGGUCCUACAGGAUGGAUGUGAUAUAAUUCUCAAACAUGGUUAACUCAACAACCUCAUUGUAAGUUGUCUCGGGUUUUCAUCUCUAUGAUGGGUGUGUGGUAAAGUCUCAAGAUGGGUGUGUUCCAAGCCUUUUUAAGUAAGCUUUGAAAAGUCAUCAUAUCCUCCUUAGAACAAUAAGUGUUGAGAUAUUAGUAUUAUAAAGCCUUGGGAUGGUCGCUUGGCCUAGAAUGGUUAAACUAUGAGAUGGGUGCACUAUAAAACCUUAGAAUAGGUUUAUUGUAAGCCUUUGGGGGUGUUAUUGCUUAUAGAUAAUUGGCUUGGGAAAGUGUGUUGUGAACCUUGAUAUAGUAAUAUAAGGGUUCGUUUGGUAAUGAUUUUAGGAAGUGUUUUUAAUGUAAAAAGUAUUUUUUUUUAAAAAUAAUUAAGUGCUUGUCAAAAUAAUUAAGUAUUUUUUUGAAGUACCAUGCCUUUAAAAUCUUUAAUUAUUGAAUUUUUGAAAAUCAAUGCCAAUAAUUGUAUUUUAACUACCUAGCUACAAUCUAAAAAUUAAAUUGAGGUAUUAACUCCACUAAAUAAUAGAAUGACCAUAGCUCGAAUAAACAUUAGUCAAACGUGAUAAAACUAUAGACUAAGUGGACAUUGCUAGUUUUGGACAAUGUAAAACCAGUGUGCACCCAAGACUCGAAGAUAUAGUAUCUAAUCAGAUGAGAAGUUUGGGUAUUCUCUUGAAAAGUUUAGGUAUUUUGUAUAUUGUAUUGCAUUAUGCUUGGUUUAGGAAUGUAUUAAGAAAAAUUAUUUUUUCAUAUUAGGUUGAUUUCAUUUAUCUCUCUUAAAGUUUUGACUAAAUAUAUAUAACUUUUAUUGGUUUGAAAUUUCAUCAAAUAUCUUUCAUAUAUUUUAUAUUUACUAUUUUCAUUCACCUCUCUCAUUUCAUCCAAAAUAAGAAAGGUGUUUGGUAAAAUUUCAAACCAAUAAAGGUCAAGUGUAUUUGAUCAAAUCUAAAGGAGAAAUGAGUGAAAUUAAUCUUUCAUGUUUGGUUUUAUCAUAAAAAAUAAAAAAAUAUAUAAUUAAAAUUAAUUAAACAUAAAAGGUAUGUUUAAUGUGGAAUAAAGAGGUAAAAGAGGUAAAGAGAAUAAACGAGAAGUAUAUUAUGUAUGAAUUGGGAUCUAAAAAAAUAGUACUUUGUAUCUAUCUUGCAAAUGUAGUUUGUAAGUAUCCUAUAUGCAAUAUAAUUUGUUGAGUCAAAUACAAAAACAUGAACCCUAAACAUAGGAGUAUUUGAAAUAUUAAUGAUGGCCAAGGAUUGGUUUUACUUCAUCAUCUAAUAUUUGGAAUUGCUCACUUAACCCAAGAUGUGCAUUAAGAAGGCAGACAUGAGUGAGCAGCUCUCCACCUCGCCUAAGCUGAUGGCUGUGUUGAACCUAUUCACAAUGAGUAGCCGCAUAGAAUAGCAUCUCCAUCCACACAUGACUUAUCAUCUCCCAUUUCUCCUCUGUCCCUGCCAUUUCCGGUGAUUCUAAUAUUUUGGCAAGUCUAUAUGCCUCGAAUAAUACGGACUUGCUUUUAUCUCCUUUCACAUCUCUAGGUAGCAGUUGCGUAUCACUUUAAGCAACGAUGUGCAAGCUUCAUCUCUAUUAGAUAUGGCCUCCCAUUUUUUGCUGAAAAAAUCUUUUGGCCUCUGAACGAGUGUCUCGGAAUCUCCCCUAUUCCUUUUGGAAGCAUAAAUGGUCAUAUGACUAGGAGAUGGAGCAUGUAAUUAGAUAAUAACUUGCUUAUAUUGUACCUUGAUUUAGGAUCAGGGUCUUUAUGAUCAAAAGAACUGCCAUACAUAUCUGUAGCAAUAUGCCAGAGAAGGAGGCUGUGAACAAAUUCCACAUCAACUAUACUCCAACCAAGUUCAUUAAUAAACCCCUUUUUUGUAAUCACAUAAUUACCUCUGUGUUUGAGUAGCUGCUUGAGAUUUCCACCUUCGUUUAUCAUCUCUAGAACCCACCAGAAGAUGGAUUAAUUUAUAUCAUCCACUUUCUCCCAAGUCAUGUACCAGUACUUGUCCAAGAAUUUGUUCAAGUCGAUGAACUUGGGAACCCGAUCAAACUUGGUUUUGUCUCUGAGGCAAGAAUCAAUUAAGUUGUUCUGUGCGAUGCGUCUAGACCACCUCCUGUCACUGGAUACAACUGAUCGAAAAGAGGAGAUGGCUCGACCAAUGGAAUCAGCCAGGGGGUUCCUCUUACUGCUCAACCAGAAAAUGGUCCAGUGGGACAAAAUCAGCAUAAUGAGAGCAUAUAUAAAUCUCAAGAACAAUAGCUCCAAACAGUAACGUGUAAGUUACGCCGAUGUCAAUGUUUGAGAACUCGUGCUUAUCAAUGAAGAAGCAGAAGGCCACUAAAGUAAAAAUUGUGGAGAAGAAGCUUGUGGAGCGGAGCAGAAGGCCUAGUUCAGAAUAAGCCACUGCUGCCUUGGUGUGGAGCACAUCAUACAUGCAUAAAACCGAGCUCCAUCUCUACCACUUCGAAGGCAUCUUCAGAUGGCAAGCACCUGAUGAUGCUGUCACUGAUUUUUUGUUCAUCCAAGCUGAGGAUGAGGUCUGCAUAUAGAUGCCUGAAGUGCCCCUCGAAUAAGAAGUAAGCUUUAUGAAUAUAUUUUGCAUCAGGAAUAUAUAGUAAUGUCAUCACCGACAGUAGGUGGUGGAAGGGGACAUUUAAUCGCCACCUGAAAUCCUACAUCCUCUCGUUUUCUUGAACUAUAAUCCUCCAUGAAUUUAUCAUAAUCAGGUCCAGGAUCAGGGGGUCGGAGCAAGGAGUCUCUGAAUUGCUUGCUGCUUGCAGACCUGUGAACCCAGGUCCUCUCUCCAUACUUGAUCAUUCCAGCAAUAAACAUUAGAAUGAACAGAAAAGUGAGUCCAGUUCCUAUCCAGUACCUUAGAAACACAACCAGCCGCUCCAACUUGGAUGACUAGUCCAAGCAAGUGCCUCCGCCCCAACUCGCUGUCCUGUAAGGAGUAGGCAGUGAUGCUAUCCAGCCCACCAAGGUGGAGGAGAAGGAAGGGUGCCCAAAAUGCCAUGAGCGAAUAGUUUGGAUCCGGGGAGCUUCUGGAGAGAGUACCAAGCGAAACAGUUUGCCAUCAAGUCUGCUAACAAGUAUGGCAGCCAAAUUAGAAUCCUAAUCCAGCUUCCAGCUAUACGUUUUCGUUGGUUGCCAGAGAUGACAAGCAUAAUUUGUAGCAACAGACUGAAUAAAACCAUCACACGGAUAUCCCAUUCGUCCCAAAGUUUUUGCACCUUUGAGAAAAUCUCCAUUGCCUGCCUCUUCUCACUACGUAAUUAUGAGAUUAAUUCACUUGCAGUUUUUUCAGAUUCUCCAGUGCCAUAUUUAUUCCCUAAUCAUUAUUUAACUAUGACAAACUUACAAUAGUAGGCAUAGACCUCCAAUGGCCUUGAGGGGACUCUAACGGGUGACCAUUAGAGAGCAAACCCAAGGCCGGACCAACUGAGCUACCCUCAGGGUUAAAAAAAAAAAAAUGCCUUUGUAAAUUAUUUGUAAAAGGAAAACCAUUGGGCAUUAUGGGGUUCUUUAAUCAUUUGUUGAGAAACAUAUUGAAGAAUAAGAAUUGUCCUAAAAGAAAGAAAGGUGGCUUAGACAAAUAGAAACCGACAAAAGUGGAGUUGUUAACAAAUCUUUCCAUAUUUCCAUAAUUUAUUUAAACCUAUUAUUUUAUGAUGAUCAUGUGAGUAAAACAUUUAUAGAUUUAUAUAGUUUAAGGUCUUUUUGGUAACUUUCUUUAUUUUUUAUUUGAAACAACUGUAUAAAAAAAAGCAAUUUUUUAGAAUAUUUCUUUGAUAUUUUCUAAAAUAAAAAUCUAUUUGAGAACUUUAAAUAUUUUUAAUUUAUUUUGUAUAUUUUUAAAUAUUUUUUAAAAUUAAGUUUUAUGAGCUUUAUUUUCAAUUAUUAUCCAUUUUUUAGAAUUAUUUUUUUUAAAUAUCAUUUUAAAAACAAAUAAAAAUUAUUAAAAUAUGUCAUGAGAAAACAUCUCAUUUUUUCAAGGAAAAAAAAUUCAAAAAUUAACAAAAUCAAAUUCGGAUUAUGUUAAGAAUAAUGUGACUAAGGUCGGAAGACUUUAUAGUGGAUUUGUAUUGCCUAGGUUAAAUCAUUUUGAGAAAAUUAGGCCAAAGAGACUUCACAUGCAUUAUUUAGAAAGAGGUGUUAAUUAACUUUUAUUCAUAAAAAAAUAAAAAAUAAAAAUAUGAUUCUUUCUAAAUUAAUUGUGAAAGGAAGACCAUUGAAAGUUGAAACACCACUGUGGGCCUUGAUCCCACUGUUGAUGCCUCGCGCUCCUGGUGUUCCACGUAGUUGCCAAAUGAAUGGACAUGCGAUCUCAACCCACAAAGGUUCUUGAUUCAAUCGUUGUACCUGCAAAAGACAUCCGGACAGGGUGUCCGGACGCACCCUCCGAUGGUUUUGUUAGCCAUGGUUAGAGAGGGAGAUAUAAAUCAGUUGACCUUUUACUAGGUAUCAGGAGAUCACCUUCUUCUUCGUGCGAAGGUUCAUAUAUAGUGUCAGGAGUACUGUUCCUCUCAUUAAUGGCGAGGAGAUAUUUUAUGUUUGUCAUGAUGACAUUCGGAGGCAGCAUGGUCAUCACCACCCUACUGGCGACUGUCAGAAACCGUGGUAGGUGAUGCUGCUGUCAGAGAUCGUGGGAAGUGUUCAUGUAGAAUGAUCGUGGAAAGUGACUUGUUGUCACCUCAACUCGUCCUUUCACUCUACAGGCAAUGGGACGUGGGCCAUGGCUGGUUUGUUGCGAUAGCGUGUAAGACUCGCUUUACUUUAGUCAAUGAUCCAGACAAUCAUAUCCGGAUAGCCCAUGUUGGUUAUCCGGAUGUAUUGUGGAGCGGACGUAUUUAUGGAAGUCGUCCGGAUGCCUAUGCUUCGUAAGCGUCGUUUGCUCUUCCUUGAGGCAGUCCGGAUAUACAAGGUGCGCCAUGUGUGCUUUAUAAGAAGGUCCGGAUGAGGGUGACCCGGAUGACAAUGCGUGCCAUGUGUCACUGUAAGAUACGUGCCACGUGUCUUGGCCAAAUGCGUGGCACGUGUUCUCAGAGGGCGGGGUCCCUACAAUGCCCUCCUUUUUUAACUUGCCUAUUUUGCCUUAGAAAAAAUGGGCGGGUUAAAAAAUAAUUGGUUUUUGAAACAGAAGUCGACCUUUCGUCUGGUUGGGCCACAUGGCGAGUGGGGGUGCGGGAGCCAAGAAAGGCAUUUAUAAUGAGCCGCCGACUCUGGGUAUUCCCAGGCAGCAUGUCGUUUCAAUGAUGGCGCUGUUUGGGUGUUUGGUUUUCCGAGGGCUUGUCUCCCUAUAAAUAGCAUACUGUGCCCAUUGUUGCUUUUUUUUCCUACUGCUUUUUCUGAGAUUGCUUUCUUCUUCAACUUUGUACGUACCUUCGCUUUCUUCCGAGUAAAACUCAAAAUUUUCCUAACGGUGAUUUGCGCUUUGACGGUGUUUGCCUUGCGGUUUUGCAACCCUUGCUCUUCUCUUACAUUUGGUACGUAUUCUUUGUGCCUUGUUCUUUUCUUUUCUGCGCUUUGGUGUUUGUUGGUUUGUUGCUGGUUUGUUUGGGCGAGUGUUGUUUGUGACUGGGUAUUUUAAGGGUUUCCGUUGCCCCCCUGUGUUUUUGUGGGUUGGGGGUUUCUUGUUGGAGUAGAGUCAAGGAUUUUUGGAAUGGGUAUAUUGGUGGUGCGAGAUUUUCUGAGUGUUGUUAUUGUUUAGGGUUUGCGGGGUUGGUUGGCUGUGUUUGACUGUUGCAUUUCUUGUAUGUAGGUUUUGGUUCAAUCUCGGCCUAAAAAUGUCUUCAAAGAAGAAAGCUGCUUCAUCUGCCCGAGUCGGCGACGCUCAUGAGAAGUCUACAGACAAACUGAGCGUAAAGGAGUUCCGAGAUCGAUUCUACAUUCCAAAUGGCGUAAUUGUGGAAUUUUUGAAUGGGGAGGAUGUCGUAUCUACUGAAAAAGCUGAACAAGAUACCGUCAUCUUCUCCAAGGAACAAUUCAAUGCGGGGCUCCGAUUCCCUCUACCGGCGUUGUUCAAGGAAUUUCUUCAUUUCACCAAGAUUCCACCCGUCUUCAUUCACCCCAAUAUCAUCCGGGUGCUGAUGGGAUGCAGCAUCAUAAACAUGCUGUACAACCUCGAUCUCACGCUGCUGGAGGUGUUUUUUGUCUAUUCGCUGAAGAAGGCAAAAACUGACAUCUUCAGCCUGUCCGCGCACCUACCCUCCCUUCAAUUGGUGACGAAACUGUCAGACUCGACGAAGGGAGGGGCGAGGGGACACGUGAUGGUCCGGGGUGCAUGGGCGGGGUCGAAGCAUCCGGCGAGGCCCUUCUCUCCAAACUACUCCUUAGUGAUUCCGGGUAAGUUUGCUUUGCGACUUUUGUCCGACUUUUACUUUGUUGUCUUUUUGUUAAUUUUUCCGGGCAGUAUUCUCAUCCUUUGUUUGCUGUCAAUGCAGGUUCGGAAAGGAGGGGCCACCUCGUGGAUUGGGUGGAAAAGACGUCUUUUGCCUGUCUCAGCAAGUUAUUUGAGAUAGACGCCAAGGAGAGGCAGUGCAAGACGCUGCUGACUGCGUGGAACCUGAUGGCGGUCGUCCGGGAGCCCCAAGAGUAUGUCAUCAACAUUCUCCCCAGGAAGAUGCCAAAGGAGGUAGUGCCUGGGGAGCAUUACACUGUGAAGGAUCUCCCGAUCUACCAGGAGUUCAAAGAGGUUGACGCUGAAAAACGCCGAGCACUCUUGGAUGAUCGGGAGAAGAGAAAGAACGAAGGAACCCUUCGGAAGGCUCCCAGACAGAAACGCGGCGCGACCUCUCCUCCAAAUAAAACUCCAGCAAAAAGAAGGAAGUUAGUGAAGAAGAAUGGGAAGGGGGUGAAGGAGUCCACUCCUCUCAAGGAUUUUAUCCCUCCGCCAAUUACUCAUGAGGCGGAGGUAAUAAUAGAGGAACCAGUGAACCCUGCUCCUCAUUCUAUCUCAAGCGGAUCCGGACACGUCGCGAGGCUGAACCACUCAAGUACCUUCUUAGCAGCGGUUGCCCGUCUGGCAAAUUUGGUUGAGGAAGCUGCGUUCAUCAACCAUCCGGACUCCCCUACUCCGGAUGUCGAUGCAGUUGAAGCCGUUUGCGCGGCCCCGAUGGAGGAAGCAGGGGCAGAAAGCCAGAGUCAGCCCUCUGAUGAUUCGGACCGUCUGGCUCUUGUUCUGGUGAAGGAGCCACCUUCAAAGAGGCCUCACUCGGCGCGCAAUCUGAGGUCCGGACUCCUCGGGCGGCUUCAAGAUCGUCAGCAAGAGAUCGAAGUUAGUUGCUCAUCCGCCCACGACGCUCAUCCGGAGGGGGGCGAAGUGGAGAUGACAACUGAGCCUCCAUCCGUCCCUGUGAUGGUCCCGGCUGAGGUUGCACCCGGGGAGACCCAUCCGGUCGUAAAUGUUGAGGCCCCGAAUCCGGAACAAGAGUCUCGUUCUGUUGCCUCAUCAGGCGGGGAUCCUGUUAAUGAUGCGUCUUGCACCUCCGCUAGCCCUUUUAGCUACGCGGAGUUGGAAGAUAAGCUGAAACAGAUUCCACCCGACUUGACCAGUGUUAUGCCUUCAGCCAAGAUGUUCGAGAUGGUGGAAUCGGUAUACUGUCUUUGUGCUUUUUUAUUUUUUGUCCUUCUGAUAUGUGUUUGUGGUGUGAUUUCUAACUUUGCUUUUCUCGUUUGACUGUUUACCUGCAGCUGGUGAGUGGUCUCCGUGGCAUGGUCAAUCAAUACGAUCUUUUCACUGACCUGCUGCGGACCACUGAUUACAUGAAGGCCUUCGCCGCUCGGCACAAAGAUACUGAAGACCAGUUGCGCCUGAGACUGGGGAAGGCUGAAGCUAGCGUAUCCACUGCCCGAGGGGAGAAUGAGGCCCUCCGGGCAGAUUUGGCUGAUGCAAAGAGCCGGGAGGAAUCAAUGGAGGCCCGCCUGCAGGAGGCAGAGGAUGAGAUGGCCCGGCUGCGGGGGGAGGUGAGGCAACUCCAGACCGAGGCUUCAAUUGAAAAGAAGCAGAAACAAGAUUUGCAAUUGCGCUUAUCAGCGCAAAAAGAAGAGCUAGAACGGGAGUUUGCUGCAGAGAGGGAGGAACUUGAAGCGGACUACCAAAAACAAGUGGAUGACACCUUCAUCUUUGGCUAUCGCUGUUGUAUGAAGAAGAAUGGCAUAAAGCGGGAUGUCCCUUCAAUUCCUCCGGGUGAAGAGAAGAAACUUUAAGGUUCUCCCUGAUAGCUUUUGUCUUUUUGCAACUGUUUGCUGUAAUCUUCUUUUUGUAUUUUCGUGGUCCGGAGACCUCUUUGCACAUUCAUUGAUACAUAUCAAUAAAAUAUGUCUUUUUCUUCUAUUUGUACUUGUCUCUCUUUUUCAUUGAUAAUACUGUUUUAAAUUGGACACAUUCCAUGGUCUAAGUAAUGGAGUCCCGUCUAACUUUUGUAAAUGAUAGGCUCCACUCUCACUUGCCUUAGACACUAUAUAGGGUCCUUCCCAGUUAGCUUGGAAUUUCCCUGCACCCACUUCAACAGUGUUUUCAAAAACUUUUCUAAGGACUAGCGUACCAUUUUUGAAGUUUCUGGGCCUUACUUUGCGAUUGUAGUGGGCGGAUGCUCUUUGUUGAUAGUCUGCCAUCUGGAUGGCUGCACUUUCUCUUACUUUAUCCGUCCAAUCCAAAUUUCUUCCUAAUUCCGUGUUUGCAUCAUUUUGCUUUGCUGCAUCAGUCCGGACAGUAAGAAGACCUAUUUCAGUAGGAAUGACUGCGUCCAUUCCAUAUGCGAGGGCGAAAGGAGUGUUUCCUGUUGGUCGUCCGGGUGUGGUUCGAUAGGCCCAUAGGACGCCGGGUAGCUCCUCCACCCACUUCCCUUUGGAUUGUUCAAGCAUUUUCUUUAAGGCAGUGAUUAGGGUCUUGUUUGUGGCUUCUGCUUGCCCAUUACUUUGAGGAUAUCGUGGUGUGGAAUAUGAAUUCCGGAUGUUCAGCUUCGAACAGAAAUUCCUGAAAGCAAUGUUGGUGACAUCUUUGUCUUUGAUGCUAGCAUAUGCUUCAACUUCCACCCAUUUACUAAAGUAAUCAGUGGCAACAAGGAGGAAUUUCUUCUGGGCAGGCGCUGCUGGGAGGGGUCCCACUAUAUCCAUGCCCCAUUGUGCAAAAGGCCAUGGGCCUGAGACUGACUUCAACGUUGCUGACGGCAUAUGUGGAAUGGGAGCAUACCUUUGACAUUUAUCACAUCUUUUGACAUAUGCUGCCGCGUCUUUCUUCAUUGUUGGCCAAUAGUAUCCUUGCGAAUGAGCCCUAUGUGCCAGAGAUCGUCCUCCCGAAUGAUUUCCGCAUAUUCCCUCAUGCAACUCAGUUAACACAUACUGGGCCUCUGAAUGCCCUAGGCACUGGAGGUAAGGUCCUGUGAAGGAUCGCUUGUACAGGUGCCCCCCAAUCAGGGUGAAACGGGCAGCUUGCACCCGGAUUUUGUGUGCCUGCUUGGGAUCUCCGGGUAGAGUGUCUGUCCGGAGAUAUUCUGCAAUAUUGUCCGUCCAUUCUUGGUCGUUUGCUUGGGUUGCCUCAAUGGUGUUGCAAGUGGAGGUUUCUAUGACAGAAGGGCUGGUUUGCACAUGUAUAGGCAAUAGAAUGGCUUCUUUGAUGGGGAGGGAGACAGCUAUGCCGGCCAAGGCGUCAGCGCGCCUAUUGUCAGCUCGCUUGAUUUUUUCGAUUGUCCAUUCGAUGAAUUGCUGUAGGGUGUCUCUUACUUUAGCUAAGUAUCGCGCCAUGCGUGCGUCCUUAGCCUCAUAUUCUUCCUGGACAUGCUUUACCACGAGUUGUGAGUCGCUGUAGAUCUGGAGUUUGGAGACGGAUAGAGCAAGGGCGAGGUCCAAUUCGGACAAGAUGGCCUCAUAUUCUGCUUCAUUGUUAGAGGCAGAGAAUUCCAGCCGGAUGGCUUGCUCCAAAUGUUCCCCAGUUGGGGACUGUAGUAGAAGCCCAACUCCAAAGCCUGAUGAGCGUGAGGCUCCAUCAACUCGCAGAGUCCACCAUUCUUGUUUACUUGAUUCGUGGUGUUGGCUGGGUCUUCGGGAAUAUUCUAGCACGAAGUCAGCCAUUACUUGGCCUUUCAUGGACAAUCUGGGUUGAAAUUCGAUUCCAAAUUCGCUUAAUUCGAUGGCCCAUUGUAGCAUUCUUCCGGUUAAAUCUGGUUUGUGCAGAAUGUUGCGAAGGGGCUGGUCAGUUAGUACGAUCACUGGAUGAGCUUGGAAAUAAGGGCGGAGCUUCUAGGCAGCGCUUCGAAGGGCUAAGGCUGUUAGCUCCAUUUUUGAAUAUCUGGUUUCUACGUCUGCCAAUGCCCUGCUGACGUAGUAGAUAGGUUUUUACUCCUUGGGCGAGGGGCAGCGGAAUAGAACGGCGCUGAUUGCCCAUUCUGAUACCGCCAGAUACAUAUACAAUUUCUCCUUUGGAAUGAGACUGUUCAAGAUGGGCGGUUGCGUAAGACAAUGCUUAAUCUUUUCGAAAGCGUUCUGGCAACUGUCCGUCCAUCCGUGUGCUCCAGCUUUUCAUAUUGCCAAGAAGAAGGGUCGCAAUUCAUCAAUGAAGCGGGCUAUAAAACGCCCUAGUGCGACGAGCUUGCCUGUGAGUCGUUGUAGCUCCUUCUUGUUCCUGGGAGGGGGUGUUUCCAUGACUGCCUUGACUUGAUCUGGGCUGACUUCUAUGCCCUUUGGCUGAUCAUAAAUUCCAGAAAUUUGCCAGCACUUACGCCAAGGGCGCAUUUAGAAGGAUUUAGCUUCAUGUCAUACUUUCGUAAGAGGUGAAAAACUUCUUAUAAGUGAAGGACAUGAUGCUCUCGGGUUUUGCUUUUAACCACGAUAUCAUCAAUAUAUACCUCUACCGUGUGGCCUAUCAGAGGUUUGAAGAUUUUAGUCAUCAAUCUUUGAUAAGUGGCGCCAGCAUUUUUGAGUCCGAAUGACAUGACUUUGUAGCAAUAGAGGUCGUGUGGCGUUAUGAAUGCUGUCUUUUCUUCGUCAUCCGGGGACAUGGGGAUUUGAUGAUAUCCGGAGAAGGCAUCCAAGAAAGAGAGCAUCCCUUGCCCGGAAGUGGAAUCCACAAUUUGAUCUAUUCGUGGCAAGGGAAAACUGUCUUUUGGACAUGCAUUGUUGAGAUUGGUGUAAUCUACACAAACUCGCCAUUUUCCUUCUUUUUUAGGUACCACCACUACGUUUGCCAACCAAUCCGGAUAAGAUACUUCUCUGAUGAAUCCAGCUAUUAGCAAUUUGUCAAUCUCAUUCCGGAUGACUUUUUGUCUAUUCGGGUGGAAACGUCUAAUUUUCUGUCGGACGGGUCUGGCAGUUGGAAAGACGUUAAGCCUGUGAGAUGCAAUAGAGGGAUGAAUUCCCUUCAUAUCAGAGUGUGCCCAUGCGAAAAUGUCAUGAUUCUGUCUGAGAAUGUUUUGCAUGCUCUGAGUUUCUUCUUGUGUCAUGAGGGAACUGAUGUUCGUGAGGUGAGUGUUUUCCUCCGAAAUUUGGAUUGUUUGCAAGGGGUAUGCUGUCGGGGGAUCUUUGUCCGCCGGACCCAAUAAUUGCUAUUGGUCAUGUGUAUGGCUGGGUUUAGGGGGAGAUGCAUCUUCCUGGUUGACCCCUGCUUCACGUGCUAUCUGAUAGCAUUGGCAAGCGGCUAAUUGACUGCCAUAUAGGUCGAUUUGGCCAUCGUUGGUGAGAAAACUCACUAUUUGAUGAUAUGUAGAGGGGAUAGCUUUCAUGUAGUGGAGCCAUGUGCGCCCCAAAAUGACAUUGAAGGGUGAUAACUCCUGUACUACUGAAAACUGUACGUUGAGAGUGACUGGGCCUACUUGGACCGGCAGUACAAUGUCUCAUAAGGAUGUAGUUGAAGACCCGUUGAAUCCGGAUAGGAUUCGUCCAGGGUUUUCGAGGCCUGUGAGAUUGUGUCCCAUGUGGCCAACAACUGAUGCUUGCACAAGAUUGGCCGAACUGCCUGGGUCAACCAAGAUACGCCGCACAUCGAAGUCCCCAAUUUCCAGGGACAAGAUGAGGGCGUCGCGAUGUGGUUGCAGUGUCCGGGUGGGAUCUACUGGUGGGAAAAUGAUUGUCCCAUCUAUGGGGCGAGGGCCCCCUCCAGUUAGCCCAGGCCAGAUGGAAUUGAUGCGUUCGUGUAUUGAUGCGGCCCGCAACAAUUUUUGUCUCUUUCGCCUAGAGUCGUACUCCUCGUCAGAUGGACCUCCGUUAAUAUAGUUUAUAAUGACCUUGGGGGCAGCUGGGGCCCUAGGGGUCCCGGGGUUGUGAUGUUGGGAUGCGUCCCUUCCUCCAUUAUCUGAUCGGAGGUAUUGCUUCAAAUGCCCUGCUUUUAUGAGUCUCUCGACCAGAAACUGGAAAGCUCGGCAUGUCUCUGUUGUAUGGCCAUGAUCCUUGUGGAAGGCACAUCUCCUACUACGAUCCCUUGUGGAUGGGUCCGUUCCAAUGGGUCUAGGCCACUUGAAGUCGGACAAGCCCUGGAUCAUUGGGAGAAGUUUCUCAUAUGAUAUGGAAAGAGGUGUGAGAGGUGGCAUUUCCGGGCGACUUGGCCCUUCCUACCUUCGGUCAGACGGCUUUGGCCGAUCCGGAGGUUUAGUGUUUCUCUCCGCAUUACUUCUAGAUGGUCGUCCGGCAACCAAAACUUGCUGGGUGGCUGCACGUACGUCAUCUUCGAGCAUUGAAUAUUUGUUGGCGCGCCUAAAUAAAUCAUCCAUUGUUGUAGGAGGUUUUUUAGCCAGUGAUUCGAAAAAUGGAGUGUCUGGACAGAUGCUUCGCUUGAAGAUCUGUAGGACAGCAUCCAUACUACAAGCCUCUACUUGAAGCACGGCUUGGCCAAAUCGCUUCACGAAUUCCCUCAAGGAUUCGUUAUCUUGCAUUUUUAUGUUCUGCAGGGUGCUGAUAUUUUGCUUGUGUCGAGCGGAGCACAAGUAUUGUCCCACGAAAGCUUCGGACAGGUCCCUGAAAUUGCCAACAGAGUUGGGAGGUAGGCGAUGAAACCAUGAGAGGGUCUGUCCUUGUAGGCUGACGGGAAAUACUUUGCAUAGUAGUGCAUCAUUGCCAAUAUCGAGCGUCAUUAGCUGUCGAUAAUGCAUGAUGUGAUCGAAGGGAUCGUUGGUUCCAUCGUAUGUGGAAAACUUUGGUACGAGGAAUCCCCUUGGGGGCUCGUAAUUAAUGAUAUGAGAGCAGAAAGGCGUGGAGAGCAUGUCAUCCAGCCUUUUGCUGAUGGAGCCAAUGGGUGGCUCGUUUGGGAUGUUUCUCCUAGUUGGUUGUUCCGCUGGGUGCGAAUGAACGUUCCGCAUCACGGGGGUGACUACGGGGUCACGAUGCGGGUGAACGUUUUGCACCAUGGGGGUGGCCAUGGGGUCAGGGCGUGGUGCCCAGGUUGUGGCCAUUGGUGACCUUGAUCUUCCAGGCUCUUAUGGGCCUAGUCUUGCGCGCAUCGAAUUUGACAACUGGGAUUUUUUAUCACGUUGUCUUUUUGCUGAAAAGUGAGUAGAGUCUGAGCUUUCCUCACGGGGAGCUCGAGGCAUAGGCGUGCGUGGCUCAUGAGGUCUUACGUUGCAUGCUCCUGGGAUAGCUCCUGUUGUCCCAGGAUAUAUUGAUUCUGGUUCUUGUUGAGGCCUUGAGUUUGCUACUUGGCCCCUUGAACGCUGACGUCGAGGAGGCCCUGAUGUUGAAGCCUGGAUGCGUAAUACAUCGUUUUCUUCUCUCAAUCUUUCUGUCUCCUGGAGGAGAGCUUUCAGUUGUUGCUCGCUUGCCAACUGUCUCCUUUCGAUGGCUUGACGCCAUUCAAGAUUAUCCUCCACUCCUUUACCAGAUGAUCGGCUUCGGGAAGGUGUGGCCAUCUUUUUUAGUGACUGAAUCAAAGUAAAAAAAAGUUCCCACAGACGGCGCCAAUGUUGAUGCCUCGCGCUCCUAGUGUUCCACGUAGUUGCCAAAUGAAUGGACACGCGAUCUCAACCCACAAAGGUUCUUGAUUCAGUCGUUGUACCUGCAAAAGACAUCCGAACAGGGUGUCCGGACGCACCCUCCGAUGGUUUUGUUAGCCAUGGUUAGAGAGGGAGAUAUAAAUCAGUUGGUCUUUUACUAGGUAUCAGGAGAUCACCUUCUUCUUCGUGCAAAGGUUCAUAUAUAGUGCCAGGAGUACUGUUCCUCUCAUUAAUGGCGAGGAGAUAUUUUAUGUUUGUCAUGAUGACAUUCGGAGGCAGCAUGGUCAUCGCCACCCUACUGGCGGCUGUCAGAAACCAUGGUAGGUGAUGCUGCUAUCAGAGAUCGUGGGAAGUGAUCAUGUAGAAUGAUCGUGGGAAGUGACUUGUUGUCACCUCAACUCGUCCUUUCACUCUACAGGCGAUGGGACGUGGGCCAUGGCUGGUUUGUUGCGAUAGCGUGUAAGACUCGCUUUACUUUAGUCAAUGAUCCGGACAAUCAUAUCCGGAUAGCCCAUGUUGGUUAUCCGGAUGUAUUGUGGAGCGGACGUAUUUAUGGAAGCCGUCCGGAUGCCUAUGCUUCGUAAGCGUCGUUUGCUCUUCCUUGAGGCAGUCCGGAUAUACAAGGUGCGCCAUGUGUGCUUUAUAAGAAGGUCCGGAUGAGGGUGACCCGGAUGACAAUGCGUGCCAUGGGUCACUGUAAGAUACGUGCCACGUGUCUCGGCCAGAUGCGUGGCACGUGUUCUCAGAGGGCGGGGUCCCUACACCCACCAUUGAUAACUGUGGAGAUCUGCCAAACUUAAUUGGAGAUGGUGAGGGGUUUUGAAAGUUGGAGUGAUGGAGUUGAGUUCAAAUUUUCAAGAGACAGACAUACUCUGCUUCACCUAUUAUAUAUUCAAUUUUUUUUGUCACCUUCUUUCCUCAGUUUUCUUCUAAUUUUCUCCUCUGUUUUUCUUACAAUUUUGGUAACUACAAUAACAUUUAAACCCAAUUUCUCAAUUAAAAUUAAAUUAAAUUAAAUUAAAAUUUAAAAUUUUUCUAUGUAAUUUAGAUGAAAAAUAAUUUAUCAUAUAUUAGUAAAAUUGUCAUUAAAAAAAGAAUGAGUAUGACUAAGAUAGACUAAGAUAAAUUGUUUUUUUCCCUCAUUUUGUUCUCUUAUUUUUGAAGUAAAUUUAGAAUUUAUUUAAUGAAUUCUUACUAACAAAAAAAAUCAAAUAAUAAAAAAAAAAUCACUUAAUUUGAUAAGAAAUGAAUUUAAAAUAAAUCUACAAACUUCCAAAAUGAAAUUAAAAUUGAGGUUUAAUUACAUGAUAUCAUAACUCAUCCAAUUGUCAAUAAAAUUAUAAUUAAUUUUUUUUUAUUAUAAAAUUUUAAGUUUAGCUCAUUAUAAUACAAUUAAAAAAAAUCAACUAUCAAUUAAAAUUGUAGAGAAUAAUUCAAAUUGGGCUAAAUAUCCACUAGAGUUAAUAAUUUUAAUUAAUUUUUAAAAAUCCAAAUUUAAGCGGUAAUUUUUUUCCCUAAAUUAAAAAACCAAAAAUUAAAGAAUUAAUUUGAAUAGUCAAAUAUACUUUCAAUCACAAAUGCAUAAAUUUAAAUGUAUGUGUCACAUAAAAACCACUAAGUAAUUAAUACAACUUAGUCUAGAAAAUUUUCAUUUCUGUUAGAUAUGGACUCCCUUAUUUGGAAUUUUCUCCUUCCUCUGUUUUGCUUGCAUUUCAUUUUUUGGGCAGCUGUAGCCAUUUGGUAACUACAAUUACACUUACACCCAAUUUCUCAUUUAAAAAAUUAAAAUAAAAUAAAAUUCAAUCUUAAAAAUUUUGUAUGCAAUUUAGGUGAGAAAUAAUUUAUCAUAUAUUAGUAAAAUUGUCAUUAAAAAAGAUUGAAUAUGACUAAGAUAAGUUGUUUUUUGUCCCCAUUUUGUUCUCUUAUUUUCAAGUAAAUUUAAAAUUUAUUUAAUGAAUUCUUACUAAAUAAAACAAAUCAAAUAUUAUAAAAAUCUCUUGGUUUGAUAAGAAAAGAAUUUAAAAUAUAUCCAGAAAGUUCCAAAAUCAAAACUGAGAUUUAACUACAUGAUAUCGUAGCUCAUCCAAUUCUCAAUAAAAUUAUAAUAAAAAAAAUUAUAUUAUAAGUGAAUUUAUUACAAAAUUUCCAAUUUAGUGAAAUUUCUAUAAUUAAAAUUCUAGACUAUAAUUCAAAUGCAUCUAAAUAUCCACUAGAGUUAAUAAUUUUAAUUAAUUUUGAAAAAUCAAAUGUUAGGUGGUGAUGUUUUUCUCUAAAUUAAAAAUCCAAAAAUUAAAGAAUUAAUCUAAAUAAUCAAACAUUGGAUUCAAUUACAAAUUCAUAAAUGUAUCACAUAAAAACCACUAAAUAAUUAAUACGACUUAAUCUAGAUAAUUUUCAACACUUUGUUAGUAAUCAAACAUAAUUAUUAUAAACUUUUGUUAUUAUAUUAAAUCUUGUUAUUUUGAAGCAUUUAGAAAUAUGUUAAAUUACUCUUUUUUUGUGCCCAACCCCCUCUUUCCUUAUAGGCGAGACGAAGGUUCUAUCCUCAUCAUGUGAAUCUGAAAAUUCUCUAAUCACACUUUAGGUAAAAAAAAACAAAAAAAAAAAAAGAAAAGUAAAGAGUGUUUUAUGGACCUAAUCUGUUUUUAGAAACUUUUUAUUUAAAAUAAAUAAAUAAAGCCUAAGGCUAUGUUUGGUUCCCGGAAAAUUUGAGGGAAAAUACGAGGGAAAGAAAAUACAAAAGAAAAGUAGAAGGAAAGAAAAAGUGAAGGAAAAUAAAAAAAUAGAUUAAAAUUUGAUAAAUUAUUUUUUUUGUUACUUCAAACUCAUUUUAUUUAUUUUAACUCAUCAAUAUAAAGAUUAAAUAAUUUAAAAAUACAUAAGUUUUUAAUUAGUUUUAAUUAUAUUUGAUUUUCUUUGAUAUUUUUCAUAGGACAACCAAACAUGAGAAAAUCAUUUUUCUUAGCAUUUUUUUUCUUUCCUUUGUACUUUCCGGGAACCAAACAUAGCCUAAAUUUCCAAUUUAGUGAUCGGGUUUAGUGCUUGAGGGAACAUAAGGCCGAGGAAGUGUGGGCCAUAGAAUUGGGCCUUCUUUCUAUAUUCUUAUUUUGGCAUUUCUUUACCCUACUUGAAUCCCAUCCCACAUCGAGCAGUCACGAAAGAAAUGAGAUGUUCAAAUUACAAGCUUCCUCGUGAUCAAGAAGUGGCAUCAAAGUUCCGGGGAAAUAGGGGGGGGGAACUCCAGGGGCCCAGGGGGAGGGGGGGGGGGAACGCCAGGGGAAUCAGGCAGACAUGAGUGAGUAACUCCCCGCCUCGCCGGAGCUGCUGACCGUGUUGAAUCCAUCCACAAUGACUGGCAGCAUAGCACAACAUCUCCACCCACACCUCACUCACCAUCUUCCAUUUCUCUCCCAUCUCCAUAUUCAGUGAUCUCAACUCCUUGGCAAGCCUACAUGCCUCGAAUAACACUGACUUGCUUUUAUCUCCUUUCACCUCUUUGGGCUCAACUUCUGUGUCAACUUCAAGCAACAAUCUGCAAGCUUCAUUUCUGUUAGAUAUGGACUCACUUCUUUGCUGGAAGAAUCUUUUGGUCUCUGAACAAGUGUCUCGGAAUCUAAACUCCCCUAUCCCUUUUGGCAGCAUAAAUGGACACAUGACUAGCAGAUACAACAUAUACUCAGACAAGCAUUUGCUUAUUUUGCAUCUUGAUUUAGGAUUGGGGUCAUCAUCAGAAUAGCUACAGAGAUCUGUUGCAAUAUGCCAAAGAAGGAUGCUGUGAUCAAAUUUCACGUCAACUAUACUCCAACCAAGUGUCUCAAUAACCCGCCUUUUUGUAAUCACAUAAUCACCUCUGUGUUUCAGUAGUGACCUGAGAUCCCUGACAUCAUUUGUCAUCUCUAGGAGCAAGCUGAAGAUCGGUUCCUUCAUGUCAUCCACCUUCUCCCAAGUCAUGUACCAGUACCUCUCUAAGAAAUUGUUCAUGUCAAGGAACCUGGGAACCUGAUUGAACUUGGUUUUGUCUCUGAGGCAAGAAUCAAUUAAAUUGUUCUGUGCCAUUCGUCUAGACCAUCUCUUGUCACUGGUUAUAACUGAUCUAAAAGAGGUAAUGGCUCGGUAAAUGGAAUCAGCCAGGGAGUUCGUCUUGCUGCUCAACCAGACAAUGCUCCAGUCGGACAAAAUCAGCUUAGUGAGGGCAUAAACCUCAAGAAAAAUAGCUCCAAAGAGUAAUAAGUAAGUAAUGUCGAUGUCAAUGUUUGAGAACUGGUGCUUAUCGAUGAAGAAGUGGAAGGCCGCUAAAGUAGAAAUAGUGAAGGAGAAGCUGGUGGAACGGAGCAGAAUGCCAAGUAGAGAAUAAAUCACUGUUGCCUUGGUGUAUAGCACAUCAUACAUAAAAUUGAGCUCCAUCUCCACCACUUUGAAGGCGUCUUCGGAUGACAUGUACCUGAUGAUGCCCUCACUGGUUUUUUGGUCAUCCAAGCUGAGGAUGAGGUCUGCAUAUAGAUGCUUGAAUUGGUUCUUGAAUAAGAAGUAAGCUUUGUCAAUAUAUUUUCUACUAGGAACAGUAAUGUCAUCACCAACGGUAGAUUGAAGUGGAUUUUCACCAGUCUUUUCUUUCCUGAUUCGCUCAGCCUGCGUGUCGUAAUUCCGUGAACUAUAUUUCUCCAUGAAAUGAGCAUAAUCAGGUCCAGGAUCAGGAACUAGAAGCAAAGAAUCUCUAAAGUGAUUCUUGCUUGCAGAUCUCAGAACCCAGGUCCUCUCUCCAUACUUGAUAAUUCCAGCCACAAACAUUGGAAUGGAUAGAAAUGUGAGUGGAGUUCCUGCCCAUGACCUCAGAAACACGUAGAAAGCCACUCCAACUUGGACAACUAGUCCAAGCAAGUGCCUUAACCACAACUCAUUAUCUUCUAAGGAGUAAGCCGUGAUAGUGUCCGGACCACCAAGGUGCAAGAGAAGGAAUGGCGCCCAAAAUGCCAUGAGGGUAUAGUUUGGAUCCAGAAGUUUCCCUUCCGAAUCUCCUUGGCUGUUUGAGAGGGUACCGAGGGAUACUGUCGCCACCCAGUCUGCGGACAAGUAGGCCGACCAAAUCAGGAUUCUGAUCCAAGGCGUGACUGUGUACUUUCGUCGGUUGCUAAAGAUGAUUAGGACGAUUUGUAGGAAAAGGCUUAGUAGAACCAUCAAGCGUAGCUCCCAUUCAUUCCAAAGUUUCCGCAUACUUUCUGGGAAUAUCUGCAUUGCUCUCGCGCCUGUUCUCUGUAAAAAGAUCAAACUGAAAACAACUAGACAUUCAAAAAUAUUAGAG